rnacentral:lncRNA from 1 species
UUUUUUUUUUUUUUUUUUAAAUCUAAUGGCGGCAAUCUACAAUACUACAUUAUGGGAGAAGGGGAACCCAAUUGAGGUUGUAUUGGGGUUGGAGGGUGAACCUCAAGAUCAGGUAAAUACACUGCUGCACUCUUGAUUUUUCUUUUUUUUUUUUUCGGCCCAAUGGUUAAAUGUUGCCUUAUCAAGUGGGAUUGAUAGUUUAACCAAAGCCUUUCUAGACUCUGAGAGCACAAGGAUUCCAGCAAGAUUUAUCCUUCAGCAUUAGAGAGCACUUAUUAACCAGUAAAGACUUUUUGAAAAAGCAAACAAAGACGAGAAAAAAACAUAGAAAUUUCAUUGGUUAAAGGGAAAAAUUGCCUGAAUUUACAUCAAUGGUUGGACGAAAUCUGGACUCUCCAAGUCAAGAUAGACAAAAAGCGAGAAAGUUUUGUCUAUUCCAGCUCCACAACACACAAGUAUGCUAGCUUCUAUGAAAUCACAACCACAACUAAAUCGCAAGAUCAAGUGCCAUUAGAAACAAAUUAGAAUCUCAUUAACAUCAUUUUUUCCCCAACAACAGAGGGAUGGGACUUAAGGGAUGGGAGAGGGGGAUUAUAAAUUAGAAUCUCUGAUCACGUCCUGCUGAAAAUCGAGCGUACUGUCAUUCUCCCAGACCUCCCGCUCCCCGGCCUCCUCCUUUAGACGAGCCUCCUUUCCUCGCUUCUCGAGUCGAUUGAUUAUAGUAUCUAAAAUUUCCCUUCGUCGCAUGUCAUGUGAACGAGCCUCCUCCUUUUGGAUUUUUUCUGGAAUUAUCGUUGCUAAAGUCCUGGCAACUAAGGGAAGGCCAGCACAUUCUUUGCUGAUCAUCUCCUUCAUCUUUAACAGAGUGCUGUUAUUCACAGCAACUCUUCGAUUUUCACGGACAUCCUCAGAAAACACUGACCAGCCAAUCUCUUGGCUCAGCAGAGUAUCAAUUGGCAUCAAGUUCUUCUCACCUAUCAUUUCUGUUGCAACACUCUUUCGCCUAGUUGUGACAAUAAUUCUCCCACCACUGUCUUUGGGCAAUGCAUGAGAUAUGCAGUCCCCGAAUGAUGCAUCAUCGCCUUUUGGCAGCUCAGAGCAUAAAUCCCCAUACCAACCAUUAACAUGCCAGGCCUCAUCCAACACAAUAAGAUACCUCUUGCACAUCAGUCGACGGUAAAGCUUCUCAGUGAGAUUGGGAAUAUCGCCAACAUUAGCAGUCGGCAUUUCCGAGACAUCACCACCAGCCUGCUCCACCAUUUUCCUUAAAAUCUUCACUCUCAAGUCCCCGCUCACCGGCGCAUCAUAGAGGGUCCCAGACAAAGAAACCCAAAUCCUUGGCCAGAACAUAUUUCUCAAAUUCCGGAAAACCAUCCGGGCAAGUGUGGUUUUCCCUGAUCCCCCAUACCCCACAAUUCCAAACCCCUUCAGUAUAGUAUUAGUAUCAUCUUCACAUCCCUCAAGUAUCAAUUUCUCCACUCUUUCCGCUGCUGGAUCCAAUCCUACAUACCCACCUGAAAAGCCUGCUUCUUCGUCCUCAUUAUUACCAGCAAUCGAGGCGGGAUCUGCCCCUGUUGAAAUCUCUCCACUGAAAAUUUGUUUGAGCCUCUUGUCUAGGUCAUCCAGCUUUCGAUUCGUGCGACUAAUGAACCACAAAUGCUUGAAUCGCAAGAAACCCUUCUUGUGCCCGACGGCCCCAAAACCACGGUGCUGUUGGGCAAAAACGCGGCACUCCGAGAGUUCAGAAAUGAGGUCAUAAAUCAACUUCCGGAUGUCAAGAUCCGUACCAGAAUUAGCACGGGUGGUUAUUUUGCUAUUAUUGAUAGCGUUGGCGUACUUGGAUUUGAUGCGGGUCUCUGCACUUCGCAAGCGAGAGAUGCAAGAAAGUUUGCUGACAUCUUUAUCUCUUUCUGCUUCGUCAAGAAGGGCAGAGAACUUAGCUAAAAGAUAAUGGGAUACUUCUCCAAAAUCCACCGAUCCCAUUUUUUCUUUUUCCCCCACUCUCUGGAGUAAGAAUCAAUCCUAAAACUGGAAGAGAAUCGGCAGAUGGAACCGACGGAAUACAGAGAGAUGGAAGGAAGAAGACUCGAACACUCUUGAGGCUGAAUUUAGAUAGAUGGAAGGAAGAAGACUAGAACGAGUGAGAAAGUCCUUAUGCUGAGUUUGGAUAGAGAGAUUUGACAAAAGUCCUUUCAAAUUUCUCUAGUUGUUUAGGAAAGAUUUACUCUAUUUAGCUUAUUUAAGAGGUAUUCAAAUUUGUCAAUCACAAAUUAAAAUUAUUAUAGCAUUUAAAAUGUGAAUUAUAAAUUCAAAAGCCUUUUAAUUUAGACAUUUUCUUUAAUUUAAAAAAAAUUCAAUGCCUUUAGGCCUUUUAAAUAAGUCAAAUAACUAGAGAGAUUUGAGUGAAUUUCAAAUCUUUUAUCAAAUUUCUUAAUCCAAACGAAGCCUAAAAAGAAAUUGAUAUGUUCUUAAGGGAAAAUUUUCAGGAGCAAAUUUAGUCAUCUAUGUUAUUAAUUUGACGCAAAUUUAGGACAAUUGAUUGAUGUUUCCACAUAUUGGUGGAAUUAAUUACGUGCGUGUGGAUGUUUGUUUAAUUAAACUUUAAAAGGAAGAAAACUAGCGAAUACUCUUGAACAAUAAGAACAACUUAUAUGGUGGCACGUUAGUAGCUAGUUAACUAAAAAAUGAAAGAAAAAUUUGUUAAUCUAUACGAAAAGUUAAAUUACGAAGCUUGGAAUAGUGGGGUUUGAGAAAGAAAAUGAGUUCUAUAUUAAUGAACUAGAUACUCUUGACUAGUUUUAGUUUAAAUUUUUUUCUUUAUUUUACUAGUUAAUUAGUUUGCACUAGUUAUUAGUUCUUAAUUUUGUUGUUUAAAGUUAGAUACUGUUUUGCUUCUUUUGUUUUGAAAUUUAAUUUCACAAACACAAUAUUAGAUGUGACUAGAAGUGGCAAAAUGGAUAUAUGGUUGAUAAAUGGUUUUAGUUAAAUGGAUAGUGGAUCAAAUUGAUCCAAUCCAAUUAAAACCAUUUAAUAAAUGGAUCUAAAUGGAUGUCAUUUAAAUGGAUAGUGUAAACCAUGAUCCAUCCAUUAAUCCAUUUACUCUCCCAAAUCCUAAAUUUAAAAUCCAAAUGUUUUUUUCCAAAAAAUACAUAUCCCCAAAGUUCUAUCCUUAAAUCACCUAAAACCUUUUGGUAAUAACAAAUGCUUAUACUAUUACUCUAUUUCAGUUUUUCAUAAAAUUAGUUUAGUUCCAAGAAAAUUUAACUGUUGUGGUCAAUUUAACCUUUCAUCAUUACAUUAAGUAUCAUUUUGUAAAGUAAUGAACAAUUAAGAACUUGGCUACAUUUUUAUAACUUUUGGGUGAAUUUACGGCUUUACAGUGAAAAGAAGUUUACGUUUCCAAUUUUAUGCACUCCUGUUCAAGAGAGAUGCCUUGAAUAAAAGUGGAGUUCUAAUAAGAAAUCUUAUGUUAUUUGACAAGUAAAAUAUUUUCAUCGCAUGUGCACGUAGUAUCUAAAAAUGUAUAAAACUCCUUAUUAUACCAUUGAUAUACAAGUUACCUUAUAUUACUUAGUAAAUUAGGUGUCCUUUUUUUUUUUUUUGAUAGUUGGGUUGGGUGAUAAGGGGAGAGGGAUUAUAAGUAUGAGGAUUUGGAUUCAAAACCUUUCACUUAUUAAAAAAAAAAAUGUGUCAUUUACGUAUCUUAACCAAUGUUGCGAGAACACUCGUUAGAAAAAUUCUUUUUAUAAAUAAAAGAAUUAAAAAAAAUUAUUUUGACACUGCAUGAUGCAUUCUCGCUUUUUCUUUACUUAAGAAUGUAAAUGUUUGUAAAUCAUUACUACACGAGAAUUUAAUUAAAAAAAACAAGAGUAGAGACUAAAAUAUAAUUUUGAAAAGGAUGAAAGAAGUCUAGGAACUAGAAGCAAAUAAAAUGCAAUUAAUGUUAUUGGCAACUUAGCAUGUGAGAGGAAAGAAUAGGUGGUCCCACAAAAUUAAUUUGACAUAUGAGGAAGUUAGGAAGAAAAGAAUAGAUGGUCCCACAAGAUUCUAUCCCACGUUUUUUAUAAAUAUUUGCAAGCACUAUGUGUGUUUACUAUUUUUUAAGUUAAGUGGAUGUAUAUAGAUGACAUGGAUAAUCCAUUUAAAUCCACCAAUAUAAUUGGAUUUAAAUGGUUAUCCAUUUAAAACCAUUGAAUUUAUAUGGAUCAUCCAAAUCCAUUUAAGGUUGGUUUAUAUGGAUGGAUUGGUGGAUAUGAAUCCAUUUUGCCACUUCUAGAUGUGACUAAAUUUUGUGAAUAGUUGGAAAAAAAAUUUCAAAUAUCCUAAAUUUGCUUUAAAUUGGAUACAUUAGGAGCCAGAUUUACUCUUGCUAAAAUUUCAAGGACCAAAAUUGUAGUGGCUAAAUAUUGAGGACCAAAUUUGUUUUUGUCAAAAUUUUAAGGACUAAACUUGCAUUGGGGCUAAAUAUUGGAGAUUAAAACUGCAUUUUUCUCAUUUUAAAGAAUAAUUUUUUGUACACUAUAUCAUUGUUAUGCAUGACAACAUGUGUAUGUGUCAUAACAAUUAAUCUAAAUUUUAAUUUGAAAUUUAGAUUUAAUUUUGCAUAUGUGUUCAUCAAACUGUGAUAAUAAUCUAAAUUCAUCAGUGCGUCCAACUAUGAUUGCUAUCAAUAUACAGAAGAAAAGGUGUUAAUUACACUAAGCCCCUAUAAUUAGGGGUAAGUAUCACUUUGCCCUCUAAGAUUUUUUUUAUCAUCAUUUAACAGCCACAACUAUCCAUGAGCCAUUAUGGUUAACUUUACCAUUUGAAAUAUCAUAUUUAGUAUCACUAGCAGCUAUGCCUGGGCCCAUUAUUUUUUAUACCUAAAAAUUUCUCCUCAAUUAGGUAAAUUAUACGAAACUAUAAAAGAGGACAUCAAAGUUCAACUUUUGUGGAUGUAGAAAAGUGUGUAUUCAAAAUCUGAACAAUUUAAACUACAAAACUUCAAAGUUCAGUCUUUGGACCUGCACUCCGGAAGUUAAAAUGAUGAAUUAUAAGAAAUAUGACAAAUAAAUUGUAAUGACUGGAGUAUAUUUAUUUCGAGAAAGUAAUCUUUGCUCCAAAUAAAAACAAAAAAUACAACAUAAAUGGCAUAAUAAAUUUUAAACAUUCUGCACCAUGUCAAUUAGAGAAUGGAUUUGCCAUGAUAUGAGAUUGGAAAAGUGUAUUAAUAAGAGGAAUAGUAGAAGUUUUUCCAUUAAUAGCAAUCAAACAUUAGAAUAAAGCAUGUCGAGUGAAUCAAUCCUAAUCAGUUGUGUCUUAACUACAUAAAACGUGCUGAUUGCAUUGCCUUGAGAAAUUAACAUUUCCCUAUCCAUAAUUCAUGUUAUCAUCCAUAAAUCAGGCAGGUUUUAGUUUGGAGGAGUAAAAAUCUGAAUCUGCUUGGUGGAGUAAAAAUCUGCUUGUCACUAGUGAUAUCUAUCCAGGAAACAUCUUCAAGCGCCCGUUUCAUGUCUUCAUACGCAGUCCUUAGACUAAGACGGAGCAGUUUCUUGCUCGUAUAAGCUUAACAGUGCUGUGUCACUUGCUUAUUUGCUCCUGGAAAUCUUUGACAUGAUGGCGAACAGAGCAAAAAUGGAAUGGUUCUCAAAAGCUGCUGCAAGCUGACCUUCCAGUGGAAUAUCCCUUUUUUUUUUUUUACUUGUAAAUGAAGAAGAAACAUGUUAUAUGGUAUGCACUUUAAUCUGAAAUAGCAUAAAACUUAACAAUGAUGAUAUCAUCUUAUUAUGCCCUGUUCAAUUUAAUCUUUCUGAUUUGCUUAGUUAUCAUAGCAAAGAUUUAUUGCAUAGUAGUGUAAUGAGUGCAUGAUUUGGAACUUUUAUAUGAUAGACAACUAGGGUGUUAGUUUUCAAGAAUGUUCUUUUGGAAAUAGAUUUUUUUGCAAAACUCCAUAGUUAGCAACAACAACAUCCAAAAACUUAAGACUUUAUGUGCACAAUAAUUUGCAGAGUAUUAGUUCAUAAUUUAAAUUUUCAUGAGCUUCUUUAAACUAAAAAGUAAAGAACGGAGUCAGUUUUCUAGCAUCUGGAGAGAAUAUUGCUGCAUUAAUGUUAGCACACAAAAAAUCACGUAUAGCGAAAGCAAUUUUGAUACAUAUAAAAAUAUGUAAGAAGAGGAGGAGAAUAAACACUCAAACAAAUAUUUAACUGUUUAUUAAUCCAAAACUCAACAAUAGCAAUAUUAAAUCGUAGCUUUUUGCUCAUAACAACUCACAAGUCUCAACUGUGAAGUUUUUCCUCAAACCUAUUCUUUAAAACUCAACUCGACUCUUCAAUUAAUAAUCUACUAGAUUGAUAGUAUUUCUAGAUUCCAAAACUUUCUAAAACAAAUACAAUUAUAAACCGAAACAUACUUGAAAACUGAUUUGGGAUUUCCUAAUUUAAUAUGAAGACUAAACAAACAAUACAUCAAAAAUAAUUAGAAAACUAAAUAUUAAGAUAGCUUGGUUUAAUUUCCUUCAUUGUCUUCCUUAAACCAAACUCUUAAUGUUGUUAUCUCCAAUGCCAUCACGAGCUUGAAUUUUCAUCAAAAGCUCAGUUGUGGUAGACACAACAUUUAACCCCAACUUAUGAUUGGUUUUCAUUUUCAUCUUUAAACGUGGUAGUGGAUGAAUAUUAUACUUCUAGGACAAUUUUUUCACUUCAUCACUCUUAUAAAAAAAAUUCAAACAUAUUUACCCAUUCUUCAUCAAAUUCUCCAUAAUUUAAUUCAUCCACGUCACAAAAAAAAAAUCUUCCAACACUAGAAAAUCAUAAUUUUCCACCACUGGGAUUUUCAAUGUCACUAUGCUUUUCCUUUACUUUUUCCACACUAACAAUCGCAUCAAUUUUAGUAGUACCACAAAUUUCAAUUAAUUUAUCCAGUCCACAAUUCAUUAUCAACCAAUUCUAACACUAGAUUUUUAUCUUCAAAAAAUUCACCAACUUCGAUAAAAUCAAUAAUAUCUACGUCGUCACGAUCUUAGCCACAAUAUCAUCCUGUAAAAACUCCAAUAGCCACAAAGGGAAAGCUAAUCUUCCACUUUACAUCAUUAAUUAGUUUCUGUUGCAAACAUCGCUAGCUUAUGACUACAUUCAUUUCCUGUUCUAUAGAUAAAAGAAAAUGAGCAUUGUUCAAACAAGUCUCUCAGGCUUUCAAUAUCUUCCAAAGUGUUGCAAUCAGAAUACGUUUCCAUCUUCUGCCAGUUAGCUUCCUACAUGCUUGCAUUACCUUUUAUUUUUCCUGCAUCUCCCAGGUUUUAAGCAGUGACCCUGUCCAAUUUCUUGCAAUUAUCCCUAUUCCUGUUCUGAUCAUAAUGACCACUUGGUCUAGUGGUUUUCAAUCCCUUGUCUUUUAAUGUUGACUUGCUUCUUCAAUGCUCGCAUUUCUUGAACUCUUUUCUACUUCUUUGUAGUCCAACCAUUCAUGCUGAGCCUUCCGUAAUAUAAUUGAUGGGUGUCAAACCACUAAAAAUAAAAAUUCCUACUCUAAAAACUUAAAUUCAAGUAUAGCGGUGAGUAGGGUCGUCUCCUUACGGACUGAAUGAUUUAUUUCCUUCCAAACAAGAAUUAAAUAGGGGGUUUUAGAAAAUUAAAGACAAUAACUAAUUAACUAACUACUAAAGAAAUUCACAAAAAUAAACAUAAAAUUUUCAAUAAUAACAUGACCCUAGUCAAAGGUGUAACUUUUCAAACACGGCCUACACAACUGAUCAUCGAUGUAAAGAUAAUUUAAUUACUCAUUAAUAGAUUGGUUAUAGCCAUCAACAAGUUCUGACAACCAACUUUUCCUUACUUUAUCGAUAGUCAAGGUACAACUGUUAACUAUUUCUCUAACCAAGAAAUAACUCUAGAUAUGACCGUAUGAUCUAAUUUUUUGAUUGCCUUAAAAGCUAGAAAAGCCCAAUGUUACAAGAGUUUGUUUAUAUCAGAUCACGCUAGUCACCACUGAUAUCAACCAAUCAAACGAUUACGGAUUUAAUUGAUUAAUAUGGUAGCAGAUUAUUAGAUUAAUUCGAAUAUCAGACCCUUGACAUUCAAAUAAUAAAACAAUCAUAAGAAGUUAAACCAGAAAAUGUACGAAUACGAAUGAAUAAAAGAAAUAAGUAAAAGUAAUUCGAUUUCACAAAUAUUUAGAACCGCAUUUUCAAGUUGACCCUUGACUAUAUUAGAAAUUUAGCUACUUGUCGUUGAGUUAAAUCCCAAUGUGAAAGCUUUUACAAGUGAUAGAGACAUUCAGCUCCCCACCUCCCCUCCCCAAAAGAAAUCAAAGAGGUGCAAACGAGUCGAGUCGAGUUGAGUCGAGUUUUGACCUAAUCAAACCGAAUCUCCAAUUAAUUUUAUAAAGAUCGAACUCGAACUCGAGCUCGAUGAGCUCAAAAUGUCAAGUUCGAGUUCAACCUCGACUCAAAUUCGAGUUGAGCUCGAGUAUAAAAAAUAAAAAAAUAAUAAUAAUUUUAUUUUUAAAAAUGAAUAAAAUAAUAAUUUUUCUUAACAAAUAAUAAAAUAUUAGAGAUAUGUAUAUAAUUUUACUAUUAAAAUAAAAAAUUUAAAAAUAUAUAUAAUCGAGUUCGCGAGCCAACGAACUUAAUAUUUUUGAGUUCAAACUCAACUUGAUUAGCUCGAGCUCGAUAUUGAUUGUAUCUAGGGCUGUAGAGCAGCUCGAAUACGAGCUCGAUAUUGACCGAGCUUGAGUCGAACUUGUAUUUGAGCCGCUCUACAGCCCUAAGCACAAGCCAUCAUUUUCUUUUUUAAGCCAAAAACCCAAAACUCUUGUUUCCUUCUUAUCUAAUGAGUCCCAAUGCCACCCAAUUUCUUUUUGGAAGUACUAAUCAAUCCAAUAGCCAACCGACCCUUUCUCCUAUUUUAUCUCCUACUUUAUAACUUUUUAAAAUGAAGUAAACUCCUAAGUGGAAAAGAAAACUACCAACGAUAAUACCCAAUAUUUCCUAACUAAAUAGUCUGCUAACAAAAAUAUGAAUCUUCUUAAUCUUUAGCUGAAGUCUUGCUCAUGGUUCGAUUUGGAUUAGUAAAGCUCCACGCAUGGGAAAAUCUUGAGUCUUCCGAAGAACAGGUUCAUAAUCUUCUGAAAAAUCGUCCUUUCAACCACUUUUGCUUCACCUCCCUACAAUUAACACCAUGAACUAAAUAUAAGUAGAAUUUAUCAAUUAAUAUAAUAUUUGGCUAAAAUUAAGGGGAAAACAAUCAUAAAUUUAAUAACAAAAAUAUAACCUAUCAAUUUUUCCCACAUCUAAGUCGCGCUUAUUUUCAAGUAUGAGAACAACAAAUCAAACAAUUAAGUUCAAACAAUGACUAUCACUAAAAUCAUCUAUUGCUAAGAUACAAUUAAAACACGUGUCAAGCAUUAGUGGCUAGAUUCUAAGAAAUAUCUCUCCAGUUAAAGUUCAAAAUCAAUGACUUUUUCAAUUUUUGACUAACUAAUUUAAGAAAAUAAAAUACUCAACCAGCAUUCAUCAGCAAAUGGUUUGACAAUUAAGCAAAUUUCAACAUUAAAACCCUUGAAUCAGCAGGCUAAUAUAACUAUUCACGUACUCUUACAUUCAUUCAUAUGCACAUUUUCAUUUUUCACUACUAGCACAACUUUUUUCUUUUCUAAAAUGUUCCCCACACUUGAGUUCUUUUUUUUUAGGAUAAAAAUGUUUAGUCCUUAACCAUUCAAAUUUUUUUACGUGAACUCUGACAUCUCCCAAAUGAUGGAAUCCGGUUUCUCAACUCUUAUCGUUUAAAGACAUUUGAAUAUAUUAAGUUUAAGUAUUGAAUUGAGUUAUCAAACAGACCUUAAGUCAUCGUUUUGUUUAGUCAAAGUGUUUUACACUUUUUGUACUCUCCUUAGUUGGUUUUUGGGAUAAAUUUGGAAAUCUCACCUGAGAUUUUUCUUAAUAUUAUUUAGCACCUCUAAAGUUUUUAAAAUUUCACUUACUUCCUUUGUCAGCUUGAUAAGGCUAGAUAUCCUUUUCAACAAUCACAAAUUGAUGACAUUACCCUUACAAUCUUAAUAAUUAUUUAACAAAAAAUUCCAAACAAAAACAGAAUUUUUUAUCCAAAAAAAAAAACCAAAUGACCAUCCAAUAUUAGUCCAUAUUUCUAUAUAUCCAAAUCGUGGCAGGGUAGCAAAGGAGGCGAUUAAGUUAAAUUUAGUAAUGUCAACCAUUUAAAAGGAUUUUGGUAAAUAAUUUACACCUACGUAAACUUUGUGGUACGGAUAUAAAGAAGUCAAGCAAUGUUUUCAGGAAAUAUGUUUUAAUACAUAAUGUAAUUCAAGUUGUAUUCAAAACUAAAAUAAUCUUUUUUUCAUGCGGUUUGUGCCUACUUAUAUAAAAAAAAUAUUAGUAAGCUAGUAUUAAAAAGAUUAAUCAAAAAAUGAUCUUAUGAUAAAAUAUCAAAAAAUUGCCUAUGCUAUUUUUUUCUAUGAUAACAACAUAGGCAAUUUCUAUUUUUUUUUAGCUUGGCUUUUUGGCCUUAUUGUAAUUUUUAUUAUCGAUGUAAGUUUCAUGAAUAGGUUAAUAUAAGAAUAAUAUUAGGAGUAAAAUUUUAUCUUUUGUGGUUUUCUCCCAAAAGAGUUAAAAUGUUACAAAAAAAAAGUGAAUUCAAUAGAGAUAAAUGAAAUUUUAGAAACCUUAAAAGUGCUAUGUGAUAUUAUGAAAAAUCUCAAGGGAGGUUUCUAAAAUUAUCCCUUAUUUUCCAUACAAGUCUGUCUACUUAUGAAAAGAGGAAACGACUUAGGUCAAUCCGUAAAUUAAGUGGUUCAAAAUUUGUCAUAUCAUCUUAUCAACUCAAGCAUUACAUGCACAAUGAAGAUGUGUCAAAAUUUGCACAUUAGAUCUAAUAAAUCAAGUCUAUCCAAGUUUUUGCCAUAAGAAGAGAGCAGAAUAAGUUACCAAAUAACAAAUGAGCGUAACAUCUAUUCCAAUGCCAGCCCAAAAAGUAAAUUCAAGCUGUAAUUUUUCAAGGUUAGACCAAAAACACAAAAAUAAAAAAUAGCCUAAAAAACAAAAAAUUAAAUAAAAUGCGUCUAACAAAACACGCCUACCAUGGAUGACUAUGGGGAAGGGUUGUAAGUUCCCUUUCAAUCCAGCUAGAAUGAAUUAUUGAAAUGGCCCAGUAAGUUAAGACAUCUGAGCAUAGACUCAAAUGAUAAGAAUCCAACGAAGGACUAGUCACCACAAGAUAGAAAAACACAUGGGUAGACUCAAUCAUCCUUUGUAUAGUCCAAGUCUUUUGCAUAUUUUGCUUUAGUCAUUUUAUUUCGUACAAGUCUGUCUAAUCGUGAAAAAGAAAGCAGAUAAAUAGCAAACAACAAAUAAGUGUAAUUCUUUUUCAAUGUCAGUCCAAUUAGUAAAUGCAAACUGUAAUUUUCUAAGGUUAGAUGCAGAGAAAUUGAAUUUCAACUUCCCUUUUUUGUUUUUCCUUUUCUCAAUUGAAUGGAAUUCCAUCUUAGAUGGUAAAUUCAUAUACCUUAUUGAUCUUUUGUAGACCUUCAGGAACAUUCAAAAUUAUCCUGUAUUAGCUUUUGUUUAAGAAACCAUCCUACUAGUGUUCGUCCGAAUAUUUAGCAUCUGAUUUUCAACUCAACAGUAAGAUGAUUUUAAUCUUCUAUAAUCUAAGAUAAAGUAAUAUUUGGAAAUUAAUCAGUACAUAUCACUUAUUAUCUAUGUCAUCUAGUUUUUCUAGCUUUAACAAUCAACAAUAUUAAGUCCAUAUAAUGAGGAAUAAGAUUAUUAUACGGUGACUAAAAACGAAAAUUUCAGAAAAAAAAAGAGAUUAAAUUUGGAUUAAAUUUCACCUUUUCUACUUUUUUUUUUCUUUUUUGUCAUUUGUGUUUUAACAAAGAGAAAAAAAAAUGAAUGGAGAAAGAAGUGGUAAGGGUGGUAUUUAGCGGUGGUGGCAAUGGCACAGGUGGAAAUGGAGAACCAAUAAUGUCUAAGUAGAUAAACAUUGACAAAAAUAGGAGGCGUUGGGCUUUCAAUCUUUUUGCCUUUAUCUUCCUCUCCUCCUCUUUUUGUUCUCCUUUAGAUGGUUUUCAAUUUUGCAAACAACUUUUUUUUUUUGGUUGAAUUUAGUUAGUGUCCUGCCAUGUCUUUGGCAGGAUGAACCAUGCUGACGAAAGCAUUCUCCAAGUCCAUGAGAAGAUCGCAGGGUGACGUUUGUGAUGUUGGGUGAUGGAGAUGAUGAUGAACGAUGGGAAAUGAUGAUUGUGGAUUAUUAUGGCAAAUAGCUCUGCUCUUUCCCAUCUUUUUUCCUUCUUCUUUUUUUUUUUUAAAUCCAUUCCCUUCAUUUUUUUUCCCUCUUUCUUUUUCCCCCAAAACAGUUGAUUUCAUUUAUGCUCUUUUUUCUUAAUUCUUGCUACUCCACUAUUUUUUUUUAUAUUUGUUUUGUUGUAUUGGGAUCUAUCUUUCCCUUUUUUUGACCUUUUGUUAAAAGAAAUGUUCAUUUACUGUGUUUCAAAUAUUAUUUUUUUUAAUUCUCUUACGCUACGAUUUUUUAGUCAUUUUCACAUAUCUAUUAACAGGGCUUGGCAAUAGUUAUUAACCGGGGGUAAGCAUUAUUUGAUCAAACUAUAGGGUUCUUUUAGUAAUAUAAACAAAUUCCAGGGAAGGUAAAUACAAUUAACCCCCAGAAAAGUAACAAUGUCACCUUUUCCAAAGCACAAGAAAGUCCUUUUCCAAAUAUAAGGAGGUUUUGUGUGCAUUCGUCGUACUCUAAGGGGUUCUAUGUAUUUAACCCAGUAUCAAAUGAAAUAGCAGAAAACAUUCGCCUAGUGCGGCAAGCUAGCAAACAUGUGUUCGAAUCCCCUUUCCCAUUUAUUCAGCCUUCAAGUUUCCGCUUGCACCAAAAUGAUCAGAAUAGGCUAAAGCGAACAGUGAAAAACAAGCAAAUGGUUUGUCUUGAGCAUAAGGUUCACAAAGUUUAUCGUCUCAUAUCAUGCAAAAGGUGUUUCAUCAAUUAACAGAUGCAAUAUAAUUCAGUAGGGGUUUCAAUAGCGGCGUCAAUCCGGUUUUCUAAGCCGAGCUUUAACAAGUUGAAUUUUUAUUAGUUCAAACUCCGCUCAUAAAUUGAAUAGGAUUUUCAGAUUUUAUGCUUUCGAAUUUUGGGCUCAAAGCAAAAUGCUCAAACUUAGCUCACACUUUUGUAUGACUUUCAGGCUCAAAUUAGACUAAACCCAAACUUAUAAUGAAACACAUAAUUAUAUAUAAUAUAUAUUUAAUAAUUAUGAAUUACCAUAAUACAUAUUUAAAAAUUUUAUACUCACAUGCAUACAUACGUACAUAUAUAUAGACACAAACGAGUAGAGCCUUAAUCGGGCCUGAGGCUUGCAAGAUUCGAACUCAAGUCACAUUUAAUUUGGGUUUAAUAUUCAAAUCCAAACUAUAUCCGACCCAAUUAAAGAUUAGAUUUAACGGAUCUUAUCAAGUUGAACGAAUCGAUCUCAAGUAGGCCGAGCCCCAUCAAGAGUACCAUGUUUCAGUACCUAAUAGGUCCACCAGCUAGUAGGACGGAGUUGGAACCUCCCUUGUACUGAAAAGAUGAACAUCCUGGGGGCACAGGCAUUCUCUAAACAAGGCAGACUAUUAUCCGCAUCUACAAGCAAGGAACUUCUCUAGGGGAAGAAUGCUGUGACAUGACUUCAUAAACUGGAAGAUAACAUCCUUUGUUUCAUGUACAAAGGGGACGGAUUAUAGAUCUCAAUCGAAAAUAUCCAAUUGCGCAUAUCAUAAGUUAUUUCAUUAUCCCUUUAAUUUCUCUUUGAAAGAGUGUCUUAACAAAUCGACCCUUAGUUUCCUCAUAUCAGAAUCUCUACUCUUAAUACAUAAUUAGCAUAACUCUUAUGUGAAUAACUUCUAAAGAACAAAAAGUACUCUAUAUAGACCAACUCUUUAGUUUUCUUGCAUUAAAUACUAUACAAGUAGUAGGAAACAAAAGGACAAAGAAAGGAAAUUCAAUCAACAACUUUAUUUAUACCAGACGCUAACCACGUAAGGGCCUUUGCUGUCCAGAUAUCAGAUUAUCAGACCAAGUCACCAAAAGUUUGUGAUCCAAGUCUGACCAAGAUGAUUGAUGAAUAUCAAAUUCCACAUUGUCUCAGGUAAAUAAUGCAAAUACACAGAUACAUCAGGCCUCGUACUUUUUCGUAAAUAGCCUAUUCCAAACUACAAGGCAGGUUAGGCAGCUGCAAUUGCAUUCACUUCUAGAUUUGGUUAACUUCCAGGAGCCUGCAACAGUGAAGAAAUUCUAAUGCAGAAGGAAAGUUGAAAAGCCCAGAAAAUGGAUCCAUAAAACAUUAAGCUUUUCCCCUUGAUCUGAGUCACCACUAGGAGCAACUCAUCAACAAGAUCAAUCACCGCAUUAAAUGGGCAUCGCGUCGAACAUUGCCUCAAAUUACACCAUGCAAACACUUUGCGCAUGGAGAGACUGGAGCAGUUUGAGACCUGCAACAUAGGCAAACGUUCACUCACUCACACACAAAAUGGGGAAUCAUUGACAGCAAAAAGCCAAAGCAUUAGAUAAGAAUCAACAGAUGCUAAAGAAGCUAUCAAAGGUAGCUUUCGUUUUGUAUAUUUAGUGUACCGACAUUCCCCAUCGAAUCAGCUAUCCUUUUAUGCACAGGUAUUCCAUUUCCAGAGGUCAAGUUUAGUGAGUCCCAAGCCCCCUUGCUCGUGGGCGAGAAAUUAUUAAUCCAAAGGUCAAGUUUAUUCAGUCCCAGGCUCCAUUGCUCACUGGUUAACAGAUGUCAGACCAAGUUUAGCUCCAAAGUACUUUCUUUCCUCACCAGACCAAAAAAGUUGCUGAUAAACUAUCUAAUUUCUUAAAUACUUACUUUAGAAGUACAAACACAAUAGUCCAAUACAAACGAAUAUUUAGAACACAUUUAACGAGCUGAAGUCUGUCUACAUGAUCAUUGUCUUGACAGUCUAUCAUAACCUUCCAAUCAGCAAAAAACAGCCUGAAGAGGUUAUUGAAAGUCCUAGAUAAGUCACAAGCAACUGUCCAAGAGGCAUACAAUUAAAGACUAUCACACAGCUGCAUACUUCUCCCGAAAACACUGCAAAUUAGGACACAGAUCAGACAAUCCCCAUAUUCUGUUGAAGUACCCUUAACAACUUCAAAAGCUUUAUCAGAGGUAGCACAUAGAAUAAGGAAAUAGUACGAACGUACAGUAUGUGACAAUUUCAUAUCAGCAUGCUUAGGAUGGUAAUCAAAUUACUGAUUAUUAAUAUUCCAUUCAAACAAUUGAACUGAAGAUUUGUAGUUAUUCUAAAACAUCUCAGAGGCUUUAUUUAGACACAUCAGAUUUCCCAAAAUCAUUUAAUGCAUUUUAUAUUGCACUUUCCUUUUCUUCUUAAUCAACUAUCAAAUCUUCAUUUUCUACUUCAACGUGAUGCUGGACAGAGGUCUGUCAUCAUCCCAAAUACAGCACUUGGACACUAUGGAAUCUUGAGAGGAAGUAAAUCCAUGAUAUUGCUAAUUUACAUUGCAAGGUUUAAAUGUUUGCUUGCUUAUACUACUAUAAUUACUCAAAUAAGUUGUGCAUAAGAUAUUUAAUAAGAAAGGUGAAACACUUGAUGAAUGAUGACUUCUGUUGAAGGUGAAACGCUUGCAAGGUGUAACUGUUGCUCACUCAUUGUUUUUUGUCUCUAGUUUUUCUCCCUCCCUUCUUGUCAGAUGUCAUUGCAGGUAGACUUCUACAACUGUACAAGAAAUUUUCUUUCUGGCUGAACCUGGAUUUUGACAUGUCAGAUGGCUGGCCUAUUAUGUAUGUCAUGUCUAUCAACAAACCAAAUCCAAUCCUGCAUCUUGUGACAGGAGAUGCUCAAUAGUUUUAUAACCAGUUGCAAAUUCACAAUUCUCUUACCAGAGUUUACUUACCAAGUACUCCAACUGAUUUAAUGCAUAGAAUUGAAAAAGAUGCCUGCAUAUGGUUCUAUAAGAUUAUUGGUCCUCUAGUAAUUUCCAUUUUAAUUUUCACAAAGUUGUGGCACCCAGUAAAAAUAAAAUAAACAGCAUUGUAAUGUAGUGAAGACAAAACUGCAUUUGUUAUAGACACUCGAGCAAAUAAUUACUGCCAAAAUCUCUUUGAUCUAAGUAGCCAAAGAAAUUCACAGGCGUGGCAGCACUCUGAAGAAUAUAGCUCAGGUUUCUGGGGGCUGAUUCAAGAUAAUUGUUGAAGAUGACUGACUCGCUUCAUUGGGAAUUUGGCCAUUGACCCCUUUAUGCAACCAAACAAAGAUCCAAUUGCUGUUUCUUCAAUUAAGACUUUUAGUUCAGUUUCCUAAUUACUCCAAUCAAGAGGACAGAAUGUCAAUCGGUUGGCUAUCACGAGAGGAAUGGAAACUGGAAAAGGUGUAGAAUAUGUUGUAAAUGAUACUAGUGUAGUUUGGGGCGAGUGUAAGAAAAGAAUGGAAAUGCACAUCACAAGCUGGAAGGCACCAUUGGAGAGCUUAUCUCAUGAUAUUGCAUCUAUAAAAUGUAAAGACCUGGACAGCAGGCAGCAUUAUGUUGAUCUCAUGGACAAGAAAAACAAUCCUUAAAUACAUAAGACAAUAAUCCAAUUUUCCCACAACAGAGGAAAAAAUAUUUCAAUUGCAAUCGAGGCAGCUAAAGAAGGAAACUCGAGAGGGUCGCCUUUGGAAGUGUUCGCCGGCAAAGCCUGGAGCAUCAAAUGAUUCAUUAGUUCUUUGUUUCACUCUACUUCAUCCUGUUUUUACUUUCAACCUGCACUCAAAAUUGCUUGGAUCAAAGAGGCAUGCUGAAACCUCACAAAUAUCCUCUUUUCACCUUACAAAUUUAAAGCAGGAGGAGUUAUCCAAGCAGCACUUUCUCUUUCUCCUACUCCUGGGACCAUGCAGGUUAGAUUAACUUUGUCUUGCCAAAAUAAGAGUAACAGUAAUUUCAUAUAGUUUUUCCUCAGAUUAUGUCUUUCCACUAUUCAUCAGUUUUGAGGGUAGUCUACUUAAAGAUUGAAACAAGGACCUUGCUCUGACAGGUGGAGUUAGGACGAGAAAUUUUAAUUGAGACUAAAAACACGAGAUUUCAGCACUAACAAGAAAAUUUCAGUUACUUCUGGAAAUAAUAUGCUCAAAAUAUUAACAACAAAAAAUCUUACAAGGAUUGUAGGGAAAAUAAAAAGAGAUACACGUAUUACCAACUGACACUAGAACACUCAAUCAUGGUCCGAAACAACAUAAGCAAUUGAUUCUUAGAAUUUGAGUAAUAUAACUCGCUUUAAAAAGGGAAGAUGAGGGAAUAUAGGAGAAAUCAGGAGCAAUUAACAAUGAAUAGUAAACAAAACAGUAGCAGCAAAACUCACUCAAGUAUUUGCUACAAUUGCUUUCUCAUGUGACGUUUCGUCCCAUUUGAUAUCUGGAUCAUAUGUACCUUGAUCAGUCUUGUUGCAUUUGAUUUUCUCCAAGUACACCACUUCAGGAAACUUGCGUUUUAAUUCUGACUCGUCAACUUUCAAUUGCUUCAGAUACUUCAAAAGGACAAUUUUAACUUUCCAGGUUUGUUUACCUUUAUUCUCUAAGCUUUUGAGUUUACCUCCCCUAAUGUAUAAUUUUUUCAAAUCUUGUAAUACAUCAGGCUCUAGCCAAUCAGGCAUUUGUUCCAAAGGGAUGCACCGGAGGUCCAAUUUCUUAAGAGUCAGUGGGGCUGAGAAGGUCUCUUAAGCAGCUUCUGUAUGUGCUCCACAUGAUAUUACCAGAAUUUCAAGGGCUUUAAAGUCCUUCAACUUUGAAAACUCCCCUUCUCGUACAGCUUCAUUCCCAAUUCGUAUACUCAAUUUCCUUAAACCUUUUAACUGAGCAAGUUGACUUAGCUUGCACGGAUUUCUUCCAACACUUCCUAUCACAAAACCCUUUAGUACUUGGAGAGCAGAGAGCUUAUGGAUACCGUCUGGCAUGCUUUCGAGCAGGUAACACUCUGACACGUCCAAGUGAGUAAGAUUUCUGAGUGCUGAUAUAUCAGAAGGCAGUUUCUCUAGAUUGUGACAUGCACGUAAAUCAAGAAUCUCAAGGCUUAUUAGUUUAAGCACAGAACGAGGUAGGUUAGUCAAUUUAGAAAUGCCUCUGAGGCUUAGAUAUCUUAGGGAUGUCCGACUUCCCAAACCAUUCAAAGAGACUUCAUUUUCCACUUCAAUAUGAUGUUCGACAGAGUUUUGCCACCGGCCCAACUGAAGAACCUCAACCCUAUUCAACCUCGAGAGCCAGUCAUUUUUAAAUCUAAGAUAUUGACAAUUCACAUUGAAAACCGUAAGAGUACCGUCAGUCAUUGCACUGGCUGGAUCACCAGGACCCGCAAGUAAGAGUGCAUGACAAAGAUCAUUGCCAUGAUGAUCAUUGCUAGGCAUCCCUGAGGAAGUAAAUUCAAAAAAGUGAAGUCCUUUUCCAACCGAGAUCAGCAUUCUUCGAAUCCAAGGGUGCACGAUAAAACUGUUUAUCCUGGAAGAAGGAUUCCCAAAUUUGGGGAAUUAUGAAGCUUUCGUUUAUCAAUUGUCCAAAGACAUCUUCUCCAACCUCCUCUGCAGUCUUUUCUGAGGUUUUAGUGACCAUACCCUCUCCUAUCCACCAGUAAAUAAGGGGUCUCUUCUUUAUGAUACUAUUCUCUGGGAAAAUUGAAAGGCACAAGGAGCAUACUUUCAAUUGAUUGUUCUCCAGACAGUCAAAACUUUUCCGAAAAUCUGAUAUUGCUUUGCUAGCAUAAAUUUUUUCCUCCACACCAAGUCUCGACCACUCUUUAGACAUUGGCUGAUCCUUCCCUAUAGCCUGAUCUUCAGACAUUGUCUGAUCCUUCCCAGUAGAAGGUUUUAUUUCUGUCACCUGACUUUCUUCUGCCGGAAAGAGCUGUUUUACAGACGCAACACUCUUUCUGAUGAGCUCCAAUCCAUUAAGAAUAUCAUCAGCGUUGCCAUGCUUCAAUCUAUCAAACCAAACAUCAUUAUCGAUGUCUUGCACCAAAGUUCUGAACCGUGUUAUGAGUUCCCCUUCCCAAUCUUUCAUCUUGUCAAGUUCAGUCUCAAUUUCUUUGAAUCCUGAAACUAUUUUCUCAUCUUUCUUAUGGAUGGGUUGUAAUGCAUCCCAAGCUUUUCCCAGACAAGCCAGUAGUGUUGGGACAAUUUCCUCAGGUUUUCUUUGAGCUGGCAUUCUUAACUACAGAAACAAUACUUCCUAUUAGCUAAGAAAACAUUAGCAAUCAAAUCUUCAAAGACAAAACUUUUAUAUACUUGAAACAAACCAAGACAAUCCAUCGUACUGCUGAUUAAUGGAAUCCCAAAUUGCAAAUCAAGAUUUACUUGAAGGUCAAAGAACAGUUGCAUACAAAACUUUACCAUUUCAAAAAAUGUCAGCUUUUUUACCCCCUAUACUUAUCGUCACAAUUAAUAAAUGUCUGAGCAAUCAAUGAAUCAAGAAGAAAUUUAAACUGGUUGGGAGAAUAUUAAAGUACCCGGGAGCCUGCAGUUUGUGAACUUUUAAGAGGGCUUCUUCUUCCUCCUCCUCAGUUGGGGAUCUUCAAAUGUUAUGUCAAUAGGCAGACUAGAUGGGGAGUAAAGAAUAAUAGAAUAUGUACAUUUACCGUAUAGACUAUGCUAUUACUUUGGUUGGAUUGGAUCUGGACAAAGACAUGGAAAUCUUCUCUAUUUUCUAAGGACAAAACCAGGUUCUCUUGCACCGGAUCAAGGACCUCUACAAUUUUCAAUGGCAAUUAUAUUUGCAAACAUUAUUAUAACUAAUAUAAAUAUUAGAUUACUAACUUGUUGAAAGUGGUGCCGAAAAAUAUGUUAGUAUCUAUACUUGUUGUUUUAACUCCUGUACACUGCAGUUACCAGUGACAAAUUGUACAUAUCCAUCACAAGAUAACUGCGAGAAAAAGAUUUUUCUCCUUUUGGUAUAGGUUAAUAAACUGAUAAAGGUAAUGACACAAAUAAAUUCCAAAGAAAUUUUUUGUGGGAUUCCACUGAUCAGAAGAGGAAAUUCCAUGUAGAAGGGUGGGAGACUGUGACUAGUGCUAAAGACCAAGGAAGGUUCGGUAUAAGAUAUACUGACAACAUGAAUAAAGCAGCCAUAGCUGGUUCACGCUUGAGAGUCAAAUGAACCAAUCUCAACUUUGAGUAAAAAUUCUGAAAAUCAAAAACUUCAAUAAAGCUGGUUCUAUCCAGAGAAAGGAGAUGGUUGGGUCUAUUAAUAAAAAAAAAAAGCCUAAAAUUGGGGUGGAUUCGCUUAACAAAGAUACCGGCUGGAUUACAAUUUACAAGGAAUGUUAAUGUGGAGGAGAAUUUGUCUAGAUAACUUGACUAGUCUAGUAGACCCCUGAGACACAAAAGACAAGGGCCACUUAGAUCUAGAGAAGAAGAUUUACUGGUCAAUCAUCCUUUUGGCGAGACGGGUUCUUGGAAUUUAGAGAGGUUAUCUUUUUUCUUGCUUCCCCGAUUGUUCAAAAGAUUCAAGUAAUUCCCGAACAACUUCAAUCUAAUUCUCAAGAUUUCUAUAGGUGGAAGGGCCAUCAUGAUGGAACCUUUUAUUUCAAAUCUUACUUCUCCAUGAUGCAAUUACCCCUUGGACGUAGGUCGAAUGAGUUAGCUAUCAGGGAGACACUCAAAACUCUUAUUGGGUGGCGUAGAUCAAGGGAUCAAAUCUCACGACUUGUAUUAUUAUUUAGGUUUUCCUGCAAAUUUCACCAACAGGUGCAUAGCCACUCCUUUGAUCCGGUGGCAAUUCAAUCCUCUCUACAUUUCACAUUGACUCAUUCGAUCCACCUCUUCCCUUUAGUAUAGAGUAGGAGUAGGAGUAGGUGUAAAAUAAGAAUUAUCAUGUCGACAAAAAAAAAAUGAUGCAAUUACCCCAUAUUAUGUUUGACAAUCAUCCAUGUGUUAAUCCCUCUUAGAUGUGGAAGCUGCAAGCAAAUGAAAGAGUUAGGAAUAAUCUGUGGCUUGCUUCUCAAAGUAGACUUGCUUCUAAAGAAACUCUUCAUAGAAGAAAUAUCAGUCAAGGGGGCACAUGUCACGUCUGCCCAGGGACAACAUAUUUUAUGUUUCUACCCUUUUGUCACCUGUAUCUGGCAAUAGUUGGCCAGUCCCAAUUGCCCUUCUUUUGAAGAGGAUUUAUGUUGAUAAGGGUAUAUUUUGUGAUUAUUUUUGAGAUGUUUCAUGUUGCUUUUGAGUCAACUUGUGAAAUGCUAUGGUUUAAAGUGCUUAUUUUGCCUUGAAUUAUGCAUUGAGUUGAUAAUAGGAAGUAUUUGUGAUUGUGCCAUUUUAUUUGCAAAUUCUUUACGUAUUUGUAGGGUUGAAUAAUCAAGCCUUAAUUUGGAACUAAAUGAGAGAAUAUUAAAGAGUGGAAAGAGGCUUGAAGCACGUUUGAAGUCACAAAUGCUAUUGGAGGAAGAUGCCCGACACAUGGAAAAAAUGAUGAAGUGUUGCACUUGAAUAACCAACUUGAAGAUGAAUGGAAUGGCAAUGAGCUGCCUCUUGAUUAGAGUUACAGGUCUGAUUUCGUGGAGUGCGUAUGAAUUUCUUUCUUGGCACUGACUGAGAGUAUUGCUUGAAAAUUUUGUUUGGUCAAGAACUAGGUACCAAACCACUGAGCUUUCACCAAAGAGGGACUAGAUCGCACCGAUAGUGAAAAAAUCCAAAAAAGGUGUCAGAACACCCUUUUGAUCUAAUUAGAUUCUUAUUUCUACUAGCCUCUUAUACACAGUUUCUUUAGGCUCCUCUUCCUGUCAUUAAAAAAAAGAAAAAAAAAAAAGAACUAGGUACCAAGCUUGCAAAUUUGUUUGAUAUCACUCGUAAGUAAUGGUAGGUGUCAUCGUCAUGGGAUUAUUUUUCGCACAAAAUUUGUGACGCAGGAUUGCAAAAGGCAAAAUGGUAAACUAAUCUACAGGCUAAUUUCUCAGAAUAUACCCAAAAAAAAAAAAGUCGGUGAAAUGUAUGUCUGACAAGGGCUAUGUACAAAAUUAUAUCUGCCGUGCUGACUGGGUACGAUAGAAAAUAAUUUUUUUUAAUCGUUGUAGGGUAGUAGCGGCUGCAAAUUUUUUUUAAAAAGGGUCGGUCGCUACCGUGCUGACACUGUGUCAGCGCUACCAAGGGCUAGAAUCCGCAAUUUUAGACCAAGGGCUUGCACAUGGAAUGGGCCACUUAGCAUCAGCCAAUGUGCCCUACUUUCCCCUGGCAACUGGUGGACCUCUCCAGCAUGCAGUCAACUCAGCUUUGCCAAACUAGGACAGAUGAAUUGGAUCAGACAAAAAUAUAUGACCUAUGACUACUGCAAAGAUACCAAGCGUUUCAAUAGACUAAUGCCAGCUGAGUGCUCGUUGGCACAGUAUUAGAAAUGAGGAUCAGUACUAGGGUUGUAAACGAAUCGAACCGCUCAAGUCAAUCUCGAUUCGAGCUCAAUCAAUAUCGAGCUCGAGUCGAGUUCGAGCUGGCUCGAGUCGAAAUCGAGCUCGAACUCGAGCUCAAAAUAUUAAGCUCGUUAGCUCACGAGUCGGCUCGCGAGCUCAAGUAUAUAUAUAUAUUUUUUAUUUUUUUAUUUUAAGUAUAUAUAUUUUUUAUAUUUUUUAAUUUUAAUAGUACAAUUACAUAUAUAUCCUUAAUAUUUUAUUAUUUAUUAAGAAAAAAUAUUAUUGAAUUUAUUUUUAAAAUAUAAAAUAAUUAUUUUUCAUUUUUUUCGAGCUCGAGCUCGAGCUUGAAAUUGUCUGCUCGUCGAGGUCGAAGUCGAGUUCGAGUUCAAUGAAACUAAGUCAAGGCUUGGCUCGAUUAGGCUAAAACUCGACUAGGCUCGUUUGCAGCCCUAAUCAGUACUCAGCAUAAUAACCCACCCUCAGUUUAUAGGGUAAUUUAACAAUAAAUCACACAUGUAUUCCUGUUUAAUUUUCUUGAUUUUAAUUCCCUGGAGAUAUUCCACAAGUUUAAAUUAUUAUUUUGAUGCAAAUUUGGAUUUUGAUUGGUUUCAGAAUGUAUUUUUCCAGUUUUUUCCUUUCCAAGUUGCAGAUUACAAUUUCUUUAUUUUUUGAAAAAUGAUUGUCCAUUUUCUUCCUGUUUUUCGAAGUUCAUGAGCUGUGUUUUGUGCUUUAAGGGUCGAAUUUCACUUACCAUUAAAUAGACUCAUACCACCAGCCAGAAACAAGAGAAGAAAAUUGCCUUUUAAUUCAUGGUCUUGAGGUUUUAUGUUCCCAAAUCAAGGGCAGAGUAGAAACCACAAAGUUGGACAGUUAUUAGACAAGUUUGUAGUACACAGACUGAGCAUAGACAAAAUUAUGCUGACGGAUAUAAAAUUUUAAGCAACUUUGUAGGUAAUCCUGAAUCAUAGAAUGAUAAAAUUAAGUAGUCACUAUUGAGCAACUACAAGUCUGCAACAUCAAUGGCAAAUCCACCGGCAAGAUCAGACUUAAGUACCAGAUCACAGAUAUGACCACUUUUAAUUAUCUAAAUAAUUUCUAUAUCGGUGACUGUUUUAGCCUGUUAUGAACUGUUACUUCAAAUAUGAAAAAUCAUGGAAAGCUAAUUUUUGACUCAUAAAAUCUCAAGAUUACCAAAGGCGCAAGGCAAAAUUGCAACUUUAUGCCCAAAAAUACAUACUGCACUUCGUAUAUUGACAUGAUGCAGAAUGAUAGUCUAACAAAUUCAAAUGCACACAGUUAAAACUUUUGGAUUCCAAACAGCACACAUCAGGUGAUGUACACUUAUUUGAUGUUCACUAUGGAGAUUAAAGUGGGACAAGGUUAAACCUUCUCUUAAUAUACAUCAUCAGAGAAGUGCCAUCAAGAAAAUCUAUGGAAAUAGCUACUAGUUUACUAAUCACCAUUCUUCUAAACCUGAACAUAUUCAAACCAUAGGAAAAGGUUUGAUCGCUCAAUUCUUCCUUUCCUUCUUUUCCUUUUUUUUUUUUUGGUUAGCUUCCAAUCUUGAGAAUACAAAAUUUGGAAAGGAAGAAGCUGGAAGGCGAUGGGGAAGAUGAAAAUUGAACCAUUCUUCUAAGAGGAGGAACAAAAAUCCCUCUGUUUGAUCACUUACUUGCCAAAAUCAUACUACCGAGAACGUCAAACUCUUAGUCUGAGAAACAAUCCAUGGUAGACAAAAAAAUCAAGAAGCAAAAGCAAAAGGACGGAUAUAACCAUUUCCGUCAAGCACCUGGCACAUGACCGCCUGUCCCCUGUCGUGUUGACUGUGCACGGUCGGGGACAGUCGAUUUUUUUAAAAAAAAUUUAGGCAGCCGCUGCCGUGCACAGCCAGCCCGGCAGCGGCUGACCUUUUUCAAAAAAAAAAAUUUGUGACUCAACGAUUUAGAAAAUUUAUUUUGCUGCCGUGCUGAUUAUAGUUUGAGAAACACCCCUUGUCAGAGCUUCAUUUGGCGGAUUAUUUUUUUUUUCACGUAUAUUCUGAGAAAUUAGCCUAAUCUACAUGACUUUAAAAAUGACUUAAAGUAGGCGCUUCUUGGUAAACUAAUCUACAUGAAUUCAACAUCACUAGCAAAGCUUUGCUAAACAAUGUAAAUAGCAGAUAUAGCUGAUGCCUUGACUUACCCUGUUAAAUAGCAAAUGGUGAUGCAGUAAAGUUGAAAUUGAUAGGUCAUACUUGUAUCGUUGUCUGGCAGGAGCUAUACCUUCCGGUUAAUUAAUUAUUGGUCGUACUACGAUUAAAACUGUGAAACUUUAUUAAGCAGGUAUGAUCUCUUUCUUGGAGUGCGUAUGAAUUUCUUUCUUGGCACUGACCGAGAGUAUUGCUUGAAAAUUUUGUUUGGUCAAGAACUAGGUACCAAACCAUUGAGCUUUCACCAAAGAGGAACUAAAUCGGGGUUCGAAUCUCACCUGUAGUGAAAAAGAACUAGGUACCAAGCUUGCAAGUUUGUUUGAUGUCACUGUAAGUAAUUGUAGGUGUCAUCGUCAUGGGAUUAUUUUUUGCACAAAUUUUGUGACGCAGGAUUGCACAAGGCAAAAUGGUAAACUAAUUUACAGGCUAAUUUCUUAGAAUAUACCAAAAAAAAAGUCGUUGAAAUGUAUGUCUGACAAGGGAUAUGUAUAAAACUAUACCAGCCGUGCUGAUUGGGUACGGCAGAAAAUAAUUUUUUUUAAUCGCUGCAGGGUAGCAGUGGCUGAAAAUUUUUUUCAAAAAGGGUCAAUCGCUACAGUGCUGAUUGUGCACGGUAGUGCUUUUUUUUUUAACAAAAAAAAAAAUACACGAGUGUGUUUGGAUACAAGAAUAUUUUUUAAUAUUAUUUUACUUGUAUCAUAAAUAUAUUUUUAUAUUAUUUUUAUAUUUUAAAUUAUUUUUUUAUUUGAUCAGGGUUCAAAUCUCACCUGCAGUGAAAAAAUCUAAAAAAGGUGUCAGAACACCCUUUUGAUCUAAUUAGAUUCUUAUUUCUACUAACCUUUUAUACACAGUCUCUUUAGGCUCCCCUUCUUGUCAUUAAAAAAAGAAAAAAAAAAAAAAAGCACUAGGUACCAAGCUUGCAAAUUUGUUUGAUAUCACUCGUAAGUAAUGGUAGGUCUCAUCGUCAUGGGAUUAUUUUUCGCACAAAUUUUGUGACGCAGGAUUGCAGAAGGCAAAAGGACUUAAAGUAGGCGCUUCUUGGUAAACUAAUCUACAUGACUUCAACAUCACUAGCAAAGCUUUGCUGAACAAUGUAAAUAGCAGAUAUUGCUUAUGCCUUGACUUACCCUAUUAAAUAGCAAAUGUUGAUGCAGUAAAGUUGAAAUUGAUAGGCCAUACUUGUAUCGUUGUCUGGCAUGAGCUAUACCUUCCGGUUAAUUAAUUAUUGGUCAUACUACGAUUAAAACUGUGAAACUUUAUUAAGCAGGUAUGAUCUCUCCUGGAUUUUGCUUGUAAUGGGUUGAUUCAUGUUGUAGUAGACAAAGAUUUUUUUUGUGGAAUCACCAGUUUGAAAGUCUCAAAAAUUACCUAAUUUCGAACAUCCUGACACAAAUCUUGUAUAUGGGUUGGGUAUGAUGAACCCAGGUAUGAUUAUUAAGUGUUCCAAAUUCGUCAUUAUGGUAAGACCAUGAAGGGGCAUACUAGGCUUCAUGUUUACAGUAGAAACACGAGUUCUUGGAAGACUAUUGAGGAUUCUUGGGGCGGUCAUCCUGUUGGGGAGAUUUAUUAUGUUAAUUGCAAGCUCCAUAGGAAAAAAAUGGAAGAUAUGACUGUUAGCCUUGAGUUGACGAAUGAGAUCUAUGGAGAGGUAGAAUAGCAAAAAAAUGACGAGGGCUGUUAUGCCUGGACUAUAUUGGUUAUAGGAGGAUGUCUUUCUGUGUUUUGUCACUAUACACAUCUUUGGAUUAUGAAGGAAUAUGUGGAAGGAAUUUUGGACAAAAGUGAUUUUGGUUUUUGGAUUGUCUUAUGAUCCUGCAUCAUACUACAAAUCAUUAUUUGAAUCAAGGGACGGCCUAAUUUUGAGCAUGUUUAAGAGGUGGUUGGCACUUUACAAUCCGAAACGUGAAUCCCUUGCAUAUUCUUGCAUAAUUUGGAUUGCGAUUUUCCGUCGGAAAAUUAUAUUGUUUUCCGUAAUCACAUUUUCCUAUUACCUUUUUCCCUCACAUACAUCAAAUCGCUACAAUAAUUUUUCCAUGAAAAAUCAUGAAAAAUGCAAUACAAACACACUCUUAGUUUUGCUCUCAACAACCAUGGCAGAGUAUAUAAGUCGAGGGCAUGAAACAGGAGAAGAGCACAGGCUAGCUAGGUGUAAAUGUUUACUGCUUCACAUUACCUGUACAUGUUGAAGAUCAAACUUGAACCUGUGGUCGGUCAAGUUGGACAAAUGUUUUACUACAGAAAAGCUCACUUGCCAAACGGGUGUGAAGGCCGAAGGGAAGGAAGAGUGAGAUGAAUUUUCUAUUUGAGUGGGGUUUCAAAGGGGAACUAGAAGUCACGGGGAAUUUAAUUUUCCCCUAGGAACUUUUUAAGGGUAAAGCUAUCAUAUUGUAAAAGUAAACUUGAGUCUUCUCUUUUUACCACCGUUUCAGACGAAUUUUGGGCGGAAAACAUUUUUGCUUUAGGUGGGAAACGAAAUUCAUCCAAUUCUUUCGUUAACCUUCCCAUGGUUUCUUCCAAACGACAGAAAUUAAAAAGUAUCUGACUAGAGAUGGCAACGGGGACGAGUAACCGCGGGGGGCUAAUGGGGAGGGGGCGGGGGGAAUUUUUUUCCCCCCUCUUAGAAACAGGGCGGGGGGCGGGGGGCGGGGGAGUGUACCCCCGCCCCAUCCCCCGCCCCGCCACCCGCUUUAAAAAAAUAAAUAUAUAAAAAAUAUAUAUGUAUAUAAUUAUAUAUAUAAUAUAUAAUUUAAUUAGUUACAAACUUAUAAUAAUGAUAUUAUUAGUUAUAUGUAUUAUAUGAUUCUAUUAGUAUAUAUAAUAUAAUUGAUAUUAUUAAUUAUACUAAUAAUUAUAUAUGUGUACUAAUACAAAUUAUUAAUUGGUUAUACUAAAUUUACUAAUACAUUUAUACUAAAUCCCUAAUUACACUUAAUACAAUAACAUUUUUUUCUUAAAAAAAGCACAAGUACAAUAAUGAAUUGGUGAUUGUAUUUGUGCCAAAAGUGAAAACUUGACUACUUUAGUUAUAUUUAUUUCAUCAUGUUGGAUUGUAUUCAAAUAAUUUUUGUUUGAUUGUUUUUAUAAGUUUCAAUUGUAAAAUUAUAAUGAAUAAUAAUUUGAUGAUGUGUUGAUAUUUUAGUAUUUGAUUAUUUGCUAAAAUUUAAUCAUAAUAAAAUUAUAUAACAAAUUUUUAUUAGCCCCACGGGAGCACCCGCAGGGGAAGCGGGGUGGGGUGGGAACGGGGGAUGGGGCGGGGGGAGUUUGUAGGCAGCGGGGUGAGGGAUGGGAGAGGGGUCCCCCGCCCCAACCCCGCCCCGUUGCCAUCCCUAUAUCUGACCAAAACCCUUUUCUUUUUUGACCGCUUCUUGCCUCCCAAAUGCACUAUUAGUUUUUUCCCAAAGAAAAAAAAGAAAAAUGUUUUGUUGUUGAAAACAAAUUUAUUUUGUCUCAGAAUUAAUUUCUCUAAAUUUCACAAUAGCCUUAAAGGAAAUUUCAGAAGUCAAUUAUCAUUUGUACAAAACAAUUAAAAUUUAAUAUCAAGGAAGAUUUAAGACAAUAACUUGUCAGGUGUUCUUACUCUGAAAGUUCAUUCUAGAUGCCAAACUUAUUUUUUCAUUUGAUAAAAUAUUGAAAUAUCACUCUAUACAUAUAAUCAAAUUGAGAAUAAAAGUUAGAAAAUAUAUUACAAAUACAAUAGCAACCAAAAGAAAUUACUGAAGAACAAGAUCUGCUUUACUUUCCAAACUAAUAGUUGUUUGGCAAUUGUGCACAAAAUACACAAAAUCAAUAAGAAACCAUCCCAUAUAGAGCUUCAUUUUCAAGAAUCUACAUGAUUUUCAUUAAAUUCUUGAGAAUUGCAUUGAAAUACAAGUAGAAGAGUGUACUAAUCUGAUUACUUAUUUAUGAUUGUCAACAUUUGUCGUGUCCAUCACCCAUUAUCCAAUGAUGGCGAUCACAUAGAGUUUGGAGUGAUUUAGUGCUGUCUAUGGCCUUGUUUGCAACUUGAGUUUUUGUUGCCAAAUUUGUUCGUUAUAAGUUUUUUAAAAACUUUAACUACAGUAAUCUCAAAAAAUUUUUCAAAAAUUUUAAAUUAUACACUUCAAAAUAUUCAAAAAUCUACACACUUCAAAAAAUUUUUUAAAAAUUUCUAUUGCAAGUUACAGUAAAAUUUUAGACAAAUACCCAAAAAAUUCACUUGUCAAACGAGACCUAUAUUUUAGCAUAGACAAUAGUGCUUUUUUUAACAAAAAAAAAUACACGAGUGUGUUUGGAUACAAGAAUAUUUUUAAAUAUUAUAUUACUUGUAUUAUAAAUAUAUUUUUUUAUAUUUUAAAUUAUUUUUUUAUUUGACACACAUUAUAUCAUAAAAAUUAUCAUAAUAAUUAUUUUAAAUAAUAUUCUAUAUAAACAUAUCAAAAAGUGCUAUUCGUUUUUUUUAUUGGUCCUCCAUUUUUUUAUUUAUUGAGUUUUUUUUUUUUGGUAACGAAAGAACUUAACAAUAAAUUAAAAAAAAGUUUAAUUUUUAUUUAUCAAAUUCGCAUGAUCGAAGAGUUCGAAUCGCAGCAAUUCGCUGUGAUCUACCGAAAAGACGCGCGUCAAGUUUGCGAUGGAAUUCGUACAUUUGCUUUUAUGGGUUCAUCAGGACCACAAAGUCUGUCCUGCAGAUCCCAACUACAGGCUUGUUCGGAUUCCAUUAGAAAUCUGCCACCUAUAUCUGUAGGAUAAUGCGGCUGGCCCUUUAGGCUUUGGAAAGGCUAAAAAACGAAUAAGCUACCUUGUAAGGCUCAUAAAUGCACUCCACGUGAUAGACAAGAAUUGCAAAUGAAUCGUUCACUUUUCUUACAUUUGUCUUGUUUAUUUCUAGCCUAUUCCAUACUCGUCCGAAAUUAAUUAGGAUCUUUUCAUUUAUUUCGAUUGAGGUUGACGCCUACCGGAGAUGAAAAUCCAUCAUAUUUAUUCUCUCUUUUUUCUGAAAUUUUCGUUUUUAGUCAGCUUAUAAUAAUCUUAUUCCUCAUUAUAUGGACUUAAUAGAGUUGAUUGUUAAAGCUAGAAAAUCUAGAUGACAUAGAUAAUAAGUAAUAUGUAUUAAUUAAUUUCCAAAUAUUAUUUUAUCUUAGAUUAUAGAAGAUUACAAUCAUAGAAAAAAAAUAGCAUAGGCAAUUUUUUCAUAUUUUAUCAUAAGAUCAUUUUUUAUUAAUCUUUUUAAUAUUAGCUUAUUAAUAUUUUUUCAUAUAUGUAGGGACAAUCCACGCUCAAAAAAAAAGGAUUAUUUUAAUUUUGAAGACAACUUGAAUUACAUUAUGUAUUAAAACAUAUUUCCUAAAAACAUUGCUUGACUUCUUUAAAUCCGUCCCACAAAAUUUUCAUAGGAGUAAAUUACUUACCAAAAUCCUUUUAAAUGGUUGACAUUACUAAAUUUAACUUAAUCACCUCCUUUUUUUGCUACCCUGCCACCAUUUGGAUAUAUAGAAAUAUGGACUAAUAUUGGAUGGUCAUUUGGUUUUUUUUUUAAAUAAUUAUUAAGAUUGUAAGGGUAAUGUCAUCAAUUUGUGAUUGUUGAAAAGGAUAUCUAGUCUUAUCAAGCUGACAAAGGAAGUAAGUGAAAUUUUAAAAACUUUAGAGGUGCUGAAUAAUAUUAAGAAAAAUUUCAGGUGAGAUUUCCAAAUUUAUCCCAAAAAACAACUAAGGAGAGUACAAAAAGUGUAAAAUACUUUGACUAAACAAAAGGAUGACUUAAGGCCUGUUUGAUAACUCAAUUCAACACUUAAAUUUAAUAGAUUCAAAUGUCUUUAAACAAUGAGAGUUGAGUAACCGGAUUCCAUCAUUUGAGAGAUAUCAGAGUUCACGUAAAAAAUUUUGAAUGGUUAAGGACUAAACAUUUUUAUCCUAAAAAAAAGAACUCAAGUGUGGGGAACAUUUUAGAAAAGAAAAAAGUUGUGCUAGUAGUGAAAAAUGAAAAAGUGCAUAUGAAUGUAAGAGUAUGUGAAUAGUUAUAUUAGCCUGCUGAUUCAAGGGUUUUAAUGUUGAAAUUUUGCUUAAUUGUCAAAUCAUUUGCUGAUGAAUGCUGGUUGAGUAUUUUAUUUUGUUAAAUUAGUUAGUCAAAAAUUGAAAAAGUCAUUGAUUUUGAACUUUAACUGGAGAGAUAUUUCUUAGAAUCUAGCCACUAAUGCUUGACACGUGUUUUAAUUGUAUCUUAGCAAUAGAUGAUUUUAGUGAUAGUCAUUGUUUGAACUUGAUUGUUUAAUUUGUUGUUCUCAUACUUGAAAAUGAGCACGACUUAGAUGUGGGAAAAAUUGAUAGGUUAUAUUUUUGUUAUUAAAUUUAUGAUUGUUUUUUCCUUAAUUUUAGCCAAAUAUUAUAUUAAUUGAUAGAUUAUAUUUAUAUUUAGUUCAUGGUGUUAAUUGUAGGGAGGUGAAGCAAAAAGUGGUUGAAAGGACGACUUUUCAGAAGAUUAUGAACCUGCUCUUCAGAAGACUCAAGAUUUUCCCAUGCGUGGAGCUUUACUAAUCCAAAUCGAACCAUGAGCAAGACUUCAGCUAAAGAUUAAGAAGAUUCAUAUUUUUGUUGGCAGAAUAUUUAUUUAGGAAAUAUAGGGUAUUAUCGUUGGUAGUUUUCUUUCCCACUUAGGAGUUUACUUCAUUUUAAUAAGUUAUAAAGUAGGAGAUAAAAUAGGAGAAAGGGUCGGUUGGCUAUUGGAUUGAUUAGUUCUUCCAAAAAGAAAUUGGGUGGCAUGAACUCGUAUUUGAGCCGCACUACAGCCCUAGGUACCGUCAAUAUCGAGCACCCCAAUAAAUACUUUUGAAGAUUUUUCAUCCCUGUCUCAAAUAUGGGAUAACCCUUAUUCCAACAUAUAUGAUUAGGGAUGGUGGGACAAUUAUAACUUUCAUCGUCCAGCAAGGCCAAUAGAUUUUUAACAUUAAUAUCAAUAGCAACAACCAUCAUCCAUAUUAGGGAUAUCUCCUAAAUAAAUGAUUGAAUCACUUACUAUUCACACAUAUCGAUUUCAACAGGAGACAGAUAUGAACAUUCAUAAUCUAACGGAUCAAAUGUAUCUAUUGAUAUCUAGAGUGACAUAAUUGACUUCUCAAAUGUGUGAAAAAUUGUUCUCACAAACCAUUAUCAACCUUGAAAAAGAUAAGAGUGCAAUUAUCCUGACAAGUAAUGAGGAAUUGCAAGAGUCUCAAGAAGAAGGAUCUAGAGAUGCAGUUGAAAAAGAAGUUGAAAAUGAAGAAAUGAAACCCCAAUCUCAAAUCGCUCAAGUGAAUGAAUCUAGUGAAUAAUUCUCAAAUAUUAUGAUUGUUAAUCUUAUUCCGCAUUAUAUGUACUAAUUAAUUUCCAAAUAUUACUUUAUCUUAGAUUAUAGAAGAUUAAAAUCAUCUUACUACUGAGUUGAAAAUCAAAUGCCAAAUAUUCGGACAAACACAGUAGGAUGGUUUCUUAAACAAAAGCUAAUACAGGAUAAUUUUGAAUGUUCCUGAAGGUCUACAAAAGAUCAAUAAGGUAUAUGAAUUUACCAUCUAAGAUGGAAUUCCAUUCAAUUGAGAAAAGGAAAAACAAAAAAGGAAGUUGAAAUUCAAUUUCUCUGCAUCUAACCUUAGAAAAUUACAGUUUGCAUUUACUAAUUGGACUGACAUUGAAAAAGAAUUAUACUUAUUUGUUGUUUGCUAUUUAUCUGCUUUCUUUUUCACGAUUAGACAGACUUGUACGAAAUAAAAUGACUAAACCAGAGUACGAUAUACGUAAAAGACUUGACCAUACAAAGGAUGACUGAGUCUAUCCACGUGUUUUUCUAUCUUGUGGUGACUAGUCCUUCGUUGGAUUCUUAUCAUUUGAGUCCAUGCUCAGAUGUCUUAACUUACUGGGCCAUUUCAAUAAUUCAUUCUAGCUGGAUUGAAAAGGAACUUACAACCCUUCCCCAUAGUCAUCCAUGGUAGGCGCGUUUUGUUAGACGCAUUUUAUUUUAUUUUUUGUUUUUUAGGCUAUUUUUUAUUUUUGUGUUUUUGGUCUAACCUUGAAAAAUUACAGCUUGAAUUUACUUUUUGGGCUGGCAUUGGAAUAGAUGUUACACUCAUUUGUUAUUUGGUAACUUUUUCUGCUCUCUUUUUAUGGCCAAAACUUGGAUCCACUUGAUUUAUUAGAUCUAAUGUCCAAAUUUUGUCACAUCUUCAUUGUGCAUAUAAUGCUUGAGUUGAUAAGAUGAUAUGACAAAUUUUGAACCACUUAAUUUACGGAUUGACCCAAGUCGUUUCCUCUUUUCAUAAGUAGACAGACUUGUAUGGAAAAUAAGGGAUAAUUUUAGAAACCUCCCUUGAGAUUUUCCAUAAUAUCACAUAGCACUUUUAAGGUUUCUAAAAUUUCAUUUAUCUCUAUUGAAUUCACUUUUUUUUGUAACAUUUUAACUCUUUUGGGAGAAAACCACAAAAGAUAAAAUUUUACUCCUAAUAUUAUUCUUAUAUUAACCUAUUCAUGAAACUUACAUCGAUAAUAAAAAUUACAAUAAGGCCAAAAAGCCAAGCUAAAAAAAAAUAGAAAUUGCCUAUGUUGUUAUCAUAGAAAAAAAUAGCAUAGGCAAUUUUUUGAUAUUUUAUCAUAAGAUCAUUUUUUGAUUAAUCAUUUUAAUACUAGCUUACUAAUAUUUUUUUUUAUAUAAGUAGGCACAAACCACACGAAAAAAGUUAUGUUAGCAUACCUUGAAAUUUCAUCCUCUUUUAUUAAAAAUAAAUUGAGAUUUACGUUCUUUUAUAGAACUAAAUUCAUGUAUAAUUGAAUCAAUGCUAAAUUUUCGAACAACUUUCUUUUUUUAUGUACAUUGUUAGGCAAUUAUUCAAGAAAUUAUCUUUUAUCUUGUUUUAGAGCUUUGUUUUGAUUAUCUUCAUAAUUGAAAAUGUCCAUUAUAUAGACUAUAGAACGGAGCCAGGAUUUUUCCCUUGAGAGGGGGGCCAAAUUUUUUUAAAUAAAAUUAUCUUAAUAUGUUAUAUUCAAAAUAAUUUUCAUCUAUUUAAAUAUAUGACAUCUUAAAAUAUCAAAUAUUAAUUUUAAUUAUAAAAGUAUGUCUAUUUCAUAAAUAUGUAGCAUAGUCAUAACAAAAAUUAGGAUAAGAAAUAACAUUUGAUUAAAUAUCUUAUAACAUCACAAACUACCCAAAUUGUACAUUAUUAAAAAAUGCUCCAAUAUGUCACUUGUGCAAAAACAAAAAUAUAACUAUGCAAUAUAAAUAUAACUAUUUUCAAUUAAUAAAAGAUAAAAGUUAUGUUAGCAUACCUUGAAUUUCAACCUCUUUUUUCAAAAGUAAACUAAGCUUUACAUUCUUUUAUAGAACUAAAUUCAUCUAUAAUUGAAUCAGUACUAAAUUUUUGAACAACUUUCUUUUUUUUAUGUACAUUGUUAGAUAAUUAUUCAAGAAAUUAUCUUUUAUCUUGUUUUGGAUCUUUAUUUUGAUUAUAUUCGUAAUUGAAAAUGUCUGUUCUAUAGUUGCAGUUGACAUAAGAAGAGUGGAAACAAAUGUAAUCAAUCAGUCAACAACAGGAUAGAUCAUUUAAUUUCUUGUUUUUACCAAGCCUUCAAGUAAUUAUUUGUACAUUUGUAUAUGGGUCAAAAAGAGUAUAGAUCACUAAUUUUAAAUUUUUUAUCAAUUAGGUUAAGUUGUAUAUUUGUAUAUGGACCAAUAAAAUAAUUAUUUUUGUUUUAGCCCGUUGAUAAUUAUGAGUUGAGUCUUUUAUUAUAGUAUAUCAAAUUGGGUCAAUUUACUAUGAAUUAUCAAAUUAUAUGUUUAAUUUUUUGAAUGUUAAAUAAUUAGCACAAUAAAAAAAUAAAUAAUUUUUUUGAAGAAAAAAUUAAAUCAAAGUUGGCUAAUUUAUACACACACACAGAUAUAUAUCUAUAUAUAUAUAUAUAUAUAUAUAUAUAAACUCUCAUAAUAUAAACUAAAAUUAUAAAAAAUUAGGGGUGCCAAUUUUGUCUUAUACAUAUAUUUACAUAUUAUGAAUUAAAAUUUUCAAAACUUUUUUUACACACCUCAAAUUAUAGAAAAUUAAAAAAAGGGGUCACAGAACUGAAUCGAAUUAGAAAAUGGGCGUUGAACGUCUGUUUUAUUUCUCAAGAACUAGAAAUAGGCUGAACAAUGUAGCCAAUGUAGAUUGUCAUUUUUCUUUUAUUUAUUAAUAUUUUUUGGUACAUUUUUAUCCUUAAAGACAACAGUUUCUUGUGCAUCUUGGGUCAGUCAGAUCACUAUGCCAACAACCCUCUGAGGUUUUUUCCACAAAUGAAGGCCCCAACAUUUAAGAUCAGUCAAUCAGAAACAACUGUAGGCCUCAGCAAAGCAUACUUGUUUGGAUUGUAGUUUUCUAAGGCAAAAUUUUUAUAUUUUUUUAUAAACAUAUUUCUUAAUUAUUUUUUAUUUCAUAUUGAUCAAAUCGCAAGCCAUGCUAGGAUUGCAGUCUACUACGGAAAAUUUUUAACGUGUUUCAUAAAUACAUAUUUCAAUUAUUUUUUUAUCUCUAGAUAUUAAAUUUCUACAAUAUAUUUUUCUAUAAAAAUUUCAAAAGAUAGCAAUUCAAACGAAAAAGUCUCUAUAAGAAACUUUAAAAAAUAACAAAAUGGGACCUAAGAGCAAUUAGUUUCGGUCCUGUAGAAGUGCACCUUUCUUUAUCAAAUUUGUAUAUUUAUUUGUUUUUCUGUUUAUUUGCCUACAAAAACACCACAUUGUCAUCACUAAACUAUAACACAACUCUAAAAGUUGGAUUUCGUGCAUUGUGUUUUCCUCUCUCUUAUUGACUGAAUUAUUUGCAAUAGUGGUGUGCAAAUUUACCUAAUCUAAAACACUAAUUGCAUGGUGUGCAACUUGCAAUUGCUAUCCAUCUCACCAUAGUUAUCAUUAUUAUUAUCAACCUUCGUCUUUGCAUGCAUUGUUUUCACCCUGUCGUUAUCAUCAUUACGCAAAUAUAUGAAAAAAAUUAUUUAUAUUUACCUGAAUCAUUUUUUUAUUUUACCAGCCAUCAUUCUAUCUCAUACACAUUAUAUCAAGCCACAAAAAGUGUUAUGACAUUAAUCUAAUUUUUUUGUUCAACUAAACCUCUAUCCAAUCACACUUUUAUUUUAAAUCAUAUGACAUCUUUCCCUCUUACAGAUCAUUCAUAUUUUUUUCCUUGGUUUGCUAUUACACUGCACCAAAUUAAUAAAUAUUUCUUAUUUUAACGAAUGUGUCAUAGCUUUUAUGAAUGUAUUGCAACUGAUAUAGGUGUGUUUGGAUCCCUUGUUUUUAGAGUUGUUUUUGAAAAACUGUUUUUCACAUUCCAAAUGCUACAGUAAAUGUGUAUUUCCAAAACAACUCUAAAAACACCAUAUCCAAACAUUAUAUCAAAAACAACUACAUAUGUAUAUUUCAAUUAUGUAUAUUAUAUAUAUAUAUUAAUAUAAAUUGAAAUAUACAAAUUGAAAAUUAUAUAUAUUAUAUAUUAUAUAAAUAUUUAUAUACAUUAAUAUUAUACAUAAUAUUGUAUAUUAUACAUAAUAUAAUAUAAUAUACAUAAUAUGUAAUAUUGUAUACAUAAAUGUGUAAAUAUUUAUACAUAAUAUACGAUGUACAUUAUAUUAUAAUAUAUACAUUAUUAAUGUAUAAUAUUAUUAUGUACAUUAUUGUGUAUAAUAAUGUAUAAUAAUGUUAUGUAUAAUAUAUAAUAUACAUAAUAUGUAAUAAUGUAAUAAUGUAUAUUAUGUAUAAUAUAUUAUAUUAUGUAUAUUAUAUUAUAUAUAUACAAUAUUAUGUAUAUUAUACAAACUGAAAAUUAUAUAUUAUAUAUUAUAUGAAUAUUUAUAUAAUGAAAUAUACAAUAAAUAUUACAAAUUGAAAUAUUAUUUAAACACCAUAUUUAUAAUAUUAUAAUAUUUAUAAUUAAUAUUAAUGUAUAUUAUAUAUAUUUAAUAUUUAUAUAUUUAUUUAUACAUAUUAUUUAUUUAUUUAUUUAUAUUAUUUAUUUAUACAUAUUAUAAAUAUUUUUUUUAUUUAAAAAUAUUUUUAUAUAUUUAUUAUACAUUUAUACAUAAUAUAUAUUAAUGUAUAUUUAUAAUAUACAUUUAUAUUAUGUAUUAUAUAUAAUAUAAUACAUUUAUACAUUUAUAUUAAUAUACAUAAUAUUAAUUUUACAUUUAUACAUAAUAUUAAUACAUUUGUACAUUUAUAUUAAUAUAUAUUAAUACAUUUAUACAUAAUAUUAAUAUAUAUUAAUAAAAUUAUAAUUUAUACAUUUAUAUAAUAUUCAUUUGUAAUUUAUACAUUUAUAAUAAUAUACACUUAUACAUUUAUAAAUAUAUUUAUAUUAUGUAUUAUAUAUAAUAUAAUACAUUUAUAUAUUUUUAUAUAGAUACAUAAAUAUAUUUAUUUAUAAAUAUUUAUAAAUGUAUUAUUAAUGCAUAAAUGUAUAUUUAUAUAAAAAUUUAAAAUUUAUACAUUUAUGUAAUAUUCAUUUAUAAUUUAUACAUUUUCAAUAAUAUACACUUAUACAUUUAUAAAUAUAUUUAUAUUAUGUAUUAUAUAUAAUAUAAUAAAUUUAUAAUACAUUUAUAUAUUUUUACAAAAUAUAUAAAUAUAUUUAUUUAUAAAUAUUUAUAAAUGUAUUAUAAAUGCAUAAAUGUAUAUUUAUAUAAAAAUAUAAAAAUUAUAAAUUAUAAAUUAUCAUUUAUUCAUUUAUAAUUUAUAAUUUAUAAUAAUAUACACUUAUACAUUUAUAAAUAUAUUUAUAUUAUGUAUUAUAUAUAAUAUAUAAUAUAAUACAUUUUUAUUUUUUUUAGCUAAUAUAUAAAUAUAUUUAUUAAAUGCAUAAAUGUAUAUAAAAAUAAAAAUUAUAAAUUAUAAAAAUGCCCAAAAAUAUGUUUUAAAAAUACCUCUAAAAAUAAUCCAAAAAAAUAACAGUAAAAGUUUUUCAUAUAGUUUUUGAAAAAUAACCCCAAAAACAACUAAUCCAAACGGACUUGUAUUUCAAAAAUAAAAUGCUACAGUGCUGUUUUUGAAAAACAACCCUAAAAACAGCUAAUCCUCAACCUCAUUUGCUUUCGCUCAAUUGCUUUACAAAUCUCCCACUUUAAUGUAAAACUUGUCCUAAUACUUUAGAUGUCCCCUUUCGUCUGCUAGUGCACCAAACCGUAUUGUGACUCCUAUACGUGUACAACAUUAAUUUGAACUAGCAUCUUGCAUGUGCCUUGGCAUGGUUUAUUUUUUUAUUUUCUUAUGAAUUCGUGCAAGCAUGAAUAAUUUAAAUAAAAAAUUAAUGAUGAUCUUACAAGUUCAUUCAUAUUAAUUUUCGAAAAUUAAUGGAAUAAUUAUACUUAACUAUCAUACUAAUUUUUAAAAACUUCUUUACAUAGUUUUACUAUAAUACAAUAAUAUUCAUCAAAUAUUAUAACACAUAUAAAAAAAAUCAAUAGAUAUUCUACCUUUUUGUGUACGGAUAUUUUUUAGAUAAUGACAAUUUUUAUAAUAACCAUAAACCUAGUUACAUUUUCCUACUUAACUAAGUACAAAAGAUUUUGCGACUUGUUUUCUACAUCAACAAAUAUUUAAUUUCCAGCAAUAUUGAUAAAUCUAUUAGCUAACAGUUAAAAAUUUUUUAACACUAAUUUAAUCCAUAUGGAUAAAAAAAUUUAUACAAAUUAAUCAUAUUGUUAGAAGAGAGAGGAACCAUAAGAACAAAUAAUUCAAAUUUAUCUUUUUAGAUAAAUUUGUUAGGAGCGAGAAAAACUAUAAGAAAAACUAAUUAUAAAAGAGUCGGAUACAAAAAUAGGUAUCCAAAUAACUGGUUAAUUCCCCAUUAAUUUCCACUCAUUUUCAAUUUCCACCUUUUGAAGUCUCCUUUCGAGAAUCUUCUAUUAACGCAACUCCAUUUAAGUUAAACUUGUGAUCAUAUCAUAGGCAAAUAAUUCAAUUGUAAAAAUUGAAAUCCGCAAGAACACGCUCAUUUCCUCCUUCCCAAAACAUCCAAUUCAGUUAAAGUUUAUAAUCAUAGUGUGAGUUAAAGGUCUAUUUCACUUCUAACUUCAGUUAAUUGUAUAUUGUACCCCAAAAAAAAUAUAGUAAUAAAGAAACUCGUUAAACUUUCACCACUUAAAUUUUGUAUACUGUACAUAAACAAGACAUUUUGACACAAAAUGUUUGAAUUUUUAAAGUGCUAGAAAGCUUGUGGAAUUACGAGCGACUGUUUUGGCAAUUUCACAAGUGUAAAAGCUGAGAAAGCACCCAACCAUUGGCCAAUUAUGUCGCUACAUGCCAAACCAGAUUGCUAAUUCCACUUCAUGUUUUUGAUAAGUGAACCACGGAUUAUUUCUUAAGUUUUUCCCCACAAAAUAACGUUUUUAGUCUAUUUCCCAAGGAUUAAUGGCUGAGGUAAUUAAUGUUGCAAAGUCACCGGCUAUGGUUGUCAUUUCUUCUUUCUCCUUUUACAUUUUUGUCCUUGAACAUAGUUUUUUUUCUUCUUUUUUUUUUCUUGCGGGGUCAGCCUUGGGUCAAACCACUACUCCGACAAACUAUUGAGAUAUUUUCCACAACCAAAGGCCCCAGCCAGCUUUCAAUCAGAAAAAGAUGGAAUACCUAGCCAAGCAUUGAUCAAUAAAGGCCAAGUCAAUAAUGGCAUGCAAACUUCUCCAUGGCAAUUAAUGGCAUCCAAGUUUGUCGAAGAUGUACUACUGCAGCACUUCUUUCUACCAGUGGUUAAAAAGCUGACAAAAGCAUCCACUGUAAAUUUCUAGCUAUUCUGAACUAGCCAAAAGGAAAAUACAUAGCUAGCAUGGGAAUGGAGAACUUUGGGGGUCUGUGGAUUUUAAAGAAAUUGGAGGAUUUUUUUUUUUAAGCAACAAUGUGUUAGCAUAAUCCCCUGCAGAAAGCAAACAAAACAAGGAGUCCCCAUCCGAUGGCCCCUCCAAGCACGUGGAAUGUGGAUCAAAGGCAGCUGAAGAAUCCCGGCAACUACUACACUACAAAGAAAGGUGAAUUGAAAAUGCCAGGCAACUGCCGUUGCAAGUUGCAAGCACUGGGCCAACUGAGCUUUGGCUCAUGGGAAACCAAAAAGAGAUUAAUUUUUUUUUUAGAUUGUAAAUCUGGAGUUCAAACUCUACAUAUAAUGAAACAAAUUUAAAGGAGUUGUCAAAUUACCUCUUUCAUCUAGUCAGGUCCGUAUAGUAUAGUUUUUUUAGGCUCCCCUUCAUAUAGAAUAGAAUAGAUUAGGCUCCUCCUUCUUAUAGAAUUGGAUAAAUUAGGUUGUAGGAAAAGUUAUUGUUGCUAUAAAAAAAAAAAAAAAAAAAACUUCCUUGCAGAAGCAUCCGAUUCAGUCAUGUAGGAACAUGUUUGAUGUAUUUGCUGCCAUUAGUACAAAUAUUAAAAUGAAAUUGUCUUGUUAUCAACAAAAAAAAAAAAAAAAUCAUGUUUGAUGAAGCCUUUCCACAUUCACCCAUUAUUAAUUGAAGGCUUGAAGUUGCUCGCAUAUUCGUAUAACUUAAUUGGCAUAACCUACUUUGGCUAAUGGGUGCCAAUUUGAAAACUCAUUUAGAGUUGUUUUAUGCGUUAGUCUUUUAAAAAAAUGUAGUUAAUACGAAAAAGCAUAUAAUACAAGGAGUACAUUAAUUGUGAUUGUGUGUAUUAACAUAAUAAGUUAUGCUUAAUUUAAAUAUGUCAAGGAAUGCCCAUAGUAAAUACCGGAUUAAUAUGUUUUGUUAUAUUUCUUUGAAUUUCUUACUUCUAGUGAUGACCCUAGAUCUGUAUUAAUGCUGAAGUUAGGCGUAAGAACAAGUAAAACUUCUUCUCUGAUCUUCAAUUGAAAGCUGUUGUAGCAUAUAUGAUUGAGGAUUUAUGAGCUACGGCCCAACCUGCCCAACCUUCUCAAAUAUUUUGGCAAAGAAAAAUCUUGUGUGUGCUUUGUUCUGAUUCUUGGCCCUGCUUCUUUAUGGUUUGAGAAGCUACCAAGAAGAUUCAAAGAGAAUGAUGAAUGAAUUUAAGGGCUAACUAUGCUUUACCUCCUUGAACUUGGGAGUAAGACGUAACACUUUGUCCUUUUGAACUCAAGAUAUAUACACUUUGCUCCCUAAGAUGACUUUGUAAAAUGUUUAACACAAAGAUUAGGUCCAAAAGCUGAAAGAAAUCACGUUAAUGCCCAGAAAUGAUUAAUCCCCAGAAAUGAUAGCUAUAUGGGUGGCAUUUCCCUUCAGGCAGGAAUUUUGGGUGCCUAUUGGCACACUCAAUGUACAUGAUUGAAAAAAAAAAAUUAAUAAGGGACUUGGGUAAUAGUUGCACGGCCAAAAUCCUCAAAAGUGUCCAAAAAUAAACAACUACACCAGACUUGCACGGCUCCUCUUUCUUUCAGAAAACUAGGGAGGGAUAGCCCGCGCGACGUGCGGGAAUUUGGUGCUUGUGAUUCAAGAUAAUUAAUAAUUAUUGUUUAAUAUUUGUAGUAUAGGAACUGAAGUAUGAUGAUUUUAUCAUGUGAUUUUAAUAGAAAAAUCAUAAGUUACAUAGUGAGUCAAUAAAAAUAAUGUUCAAUGAGACAUCCUUAUCGUUAUACUAUAUAAGAAUCCGUUGUGAUUAAAGGUUAUGUUUGAAUUUCAACUGCAAAGAUAAGGGUAGUUUGAAAAUGUUAGAAUAUUUGAAGUGCAAUUGAAAAGUAUCCAAAGGUCUCUUCUAAAACUUAUCCAAGAUGAUAAAACAUUUUAAAGUAUCAAUUGGACCCUUCAUCUCUCGAAUCUAUAUAUAUAUGUUCGUGAAAAAUCUCUCAAGCAAUGCUUCUGAUUUCUCCCUCGACUUAAGCUCAACCUGAAUUAUCAAGUCAAGUUUAUCCAUCAAUCACUUUGCGUCCAAUCUAAUCUAAAAUAAUUUUAUUUUUGACUAACUAUUUAUAUAAUUUGGUGGGCAUAAUACGACUUAAUCACAUGUUUCUUACAGAGAUAAUAAUGCCCAAAAGUGAUAGAUAGAUAAGAAACUUAAGUGAUCUUUUUCAAAGUUUUGUAGAAACUAUUCAGAUUUGGUGUUUUUUGUUAGGGGCAUUUCUUUAUAAUCUCAUAAAUAAGUUCAAAUCUGCAUAAUUGUUAAAGAUCUGAAUUGAAACUAUCUUGAUUAUAAAAAAUUGGUGCAAAUAAUAUUUUCUAAAUUUGAAAUUGUAGAAAAAUGGUAACUAAAAUCAGAAGAAAUUCCUCAUAUGAAUUCGAAUUGCAAACUAUAGGUAGAAGCUGCUUAAUGAUAUUUUCCAAUGUUUACUUUAUAAGUAUCCAAUAUAGCAUUUCUACUUAAUUGACUCGUUUGAACUAUGGAUAAUAGUUGCUUCAAUCAAAUCAAGAAACAUUAUUUAUCAUUGUACAACAUACAAUUAUGAGUAAAUGAAUUAAUACAAUGCAAUCAAAAUGGUGCUAUAGCGAAAGCAUUUAAACUCAUCAAGUUCCAUUACAAAUUCUUUUAGAUAGCAUAAAAAGCAAAUUUUUUGUAUUUGAAACGAUAUAAACAGUAGAAGUUCUAAAUUCAAAACUCUGGUUUCUUAAAUCUCACACCUCGCCGAUUGCUAAUAUUUUUUUCUAGUUUUUUGAAGUUUCUUUUAACUUUUGGAAAAAAUGUAGUUUUUGUCCUUAGUGUUUUGCACUUGCACGGUUUUAGUUCUAAAGUUUUAGCAAAAACAAGUAUGGUCCUCAAUUUUUGGCACUUGAACUAUUUUACUUCUAAAAGUUUGAUCAAAAAUAAUUUUUGUCCCAAAAUGUUUCCAUUUUUAAGCAAAUUUAGGACAAUCGACUAACUUUUUUUUAAUUACUAUGGGAAUUUAGUAACGUUCAGUCAUGUGUACAUUAAAUUAAUUUUGUAAGCAAAGAUGCAAUUCAAUGGCUUUUUUCGUUUCUUAGGGUUGGUAGGGAUAGAGAGAAAAAAUAAGUUUUAAAUUGAUGAAUUAAGUGAUUCAACUAAUUUGAAUUUUGUACUUUUAACAAAUUUUUACCAGUUAAUUAGUUAGCAAAUGAAUUGUUUGUCCUUAAUACUGUUGUUUAGAGUUAGCCACUAUUUUUUCUUUAUUUUUAUAUUUAAUAUAAUGGAAACAUGAAUAAAUUCUGCCAAUAAUGUAAAAAUAUUCAGUUAUGCUAAAUCUACUUUAUAUUGGAUACGUUAGAGACCAGAGUUGUUCUUAUAGAAACUUUAGGGACUACAAUCGUGCUUGAGGACUAAAUUUGUUCUUGUCAAAACUUUAAGGACUGGAGCUCCACAGGUGCUAUAUAUAAUGAUAUUUCUUCCCUUUUUUUUUUUUUUUGUAAUGCUUAAAAUACCCUUCCUCAUACUGGUCAUCUAAUCUAAUUUUUCUAAUGCUUCUGUUCGAGUCCUACAUGAUUAGAGUUCUGUUUGAGUCCUACAUGAUUACCAUCUUCCUAAACAAAUGAUUGUGAGAAAUAUAAUUAAGUAUCGUAUGUUUUGUGUAGUUCCACAAAACAAUCUUUCUAAUCUGAUCUUAUUAAACUAGUUGAUGUUCACCAUGCCCAAGUUGAGAGUACAGUAAAUAUUUAUUUCUGAAGGAUUUGUUGUACAGAGCACUUAUUUAUCUUGGUUGAAUUUUAUUUUUUAAUCCUACAGGUUACUUUAUAUUUAAAGAGAUAGUCAGAACAUUUAAACUAAAUUCGUACAUCAAUGAUGUUGUGUUCUGGGCCAUUUCAAUCAGGUGUUUGUUACUGGCAACCGGAAGUUGAGGUGGAACAUGGAGUUUUCAACAUCUAUGCUAUGCCACUUGAAAUUUCUCACCAAUUAGGGUAAUUGUUUUUCCAAAUAAAAGUUAAAAUUUAUUAAGUCACUUGAAAAUAAGUAUAAGAUGGAGGAGGGCAUAAAAGUUCAAAUGUUUUGGUUAAAUAUCAUUUAUAUGCAUUACAAGCAUGAGUUUGUUUGUUUAUGUGCUAAUCAAUCUAUAUAAAUCACCAUCGCACUGUGGUUGAUUUUUUUAGAUAAAUUUUCUAAAUCAGCAAGGCUGAAUAAUUGUUUAGGCCUCUAUUUGCCGAACUUCAUUUCAGAAUAUAAAGUUUGAAGCAAAUCCACAUUUCAAGUUAUUCUUUGCCAAACUUCAUUCACCACAGCUCAGAAUGUGGCACCACCUUGAUUAUGCAAAGUUGAAAAGGCUCGAUGCUCAACAUCAACAAUAUCAAAAUUUGAAUUAACAAAUAAUUAGAAGCCUAAUAGAUUUUUGUAUUGACUAUUCACUUAAUAUACGUCUCUAGCUAACAGAUUAAGGUGUGCGUUAAGACCAAAUUAUGUUCUAAUUAGUUCAUCUUUCAAGGAUUAACGAAUGGAUGAAAUAUAUGUUAAGCAAACAGCAAAUGUAAUUGUCAGCCCUCAACCGAAUAAAGGUGAAGGCCCCAGCAAGAAAGUUAAAGUGAAAAUCCCAUGCGAGGAAUUUCCAUUUCAAAGCAUCCAAGAAAUUUAAAGUGAAGAUGCCGAGCAAAGAAUAUAUAUUUCCAUUGCGAAGGAAGGCAUCAAAGUCAAGAAUAACUCUGCAUUUCAAAGCAUCCAAGAAAUUUAAAGUGAAGAUGCCAAGCAAGGAACAUAUAUUUCCAUUGCAAAGGAAGGCAUCAAAGUUAAGAAUAACUCUGCACUUUUAAGCGACCAAAUAUCAAUGCUCUUCUCUCUACCCUUUUGUGUAUGGAUAGUUUUUACAUUAUUGCAAUUUUUAUAUUAACCAUAAACAUAGUUACAUAUUCGUACUUAAUUAAGUACGAAAAAUUUAGCAAUUUAUUUAUGCAUCAACAAAUAUUCAAUUUCCAGCAAUAUUAAUAAAUCUAUCAGUUAAUAGUUAAAGUUUUUUGACACUAAGUUAGUCCAUAUGGAUAAAAAAAAAUUAAACAAAUUUAUCAUAUUGUUAGAAGAAAGAAGAACCAUAAGAAAAAAUAAUUCAAAUUUACCUAAAAAGAUAAAUUUUUUAGGACGAGAAAAAUUAAUUAUAAAAGAAUCGGAUACAAAAAUGGGGAAAACUCAAGUAUCCAAAUAACCGGUUAAUUCCCCAUCAAUUUCCACUCAUUUUCAAUUUCCACCUUUUGAAGUCUUCUUUCGACAAUCUUCUAUUAUCACAACUCGAUUUAAGUUAAACUUGUGAACAUAUCAUAGGCAAAUAAUUCAAUUGUAAAAAUUGAAAUCCACAAGAACAUGCUCAUUUCCCCCUUCCCAAAACAUCCCAAUUUAGUCAAAGUGAAUAAUCAUAGUGUGAGCUAAAGGUCUAUUUCACUUCUAAUUUCAGUUGAUUAUAUAUUGUACUCCAAAAAAAAAAUAGUAAUAAAGAAACUCCUUAAACUUUCACCACUUAAAUUUUGUAUGCUGUACAUAAACAAGACAUUUUGAAACAAAAUGUCUGAAUUUUUAAAGUGCUAGAAAGCUUGUGGAAUUACGAGUGACUAUUUUGGCAAUUUCACAAGUGUAAAAGCUAAGAAAGCACCCAACCAUUGGCCAAUUAUGUAGCUACAUGCCAAACCUGAUUGCUAACUCCACUCCAUGUUUUUGAUAAGUGAACCACGGAUUAUUUUUUAAGUUUUUCCCCCACAAAAUAAUGUUUUUAGUCUAUUUCCCAAGGAUUAAUGGCUGAGGUAAUUAAUGUUGCAAAGUCACCAGCUAUGGUUGUCAUUUCCUCUUUCUCCUUUACAUUUUGAUCGUUGAACAUAGGCUUUUUUUUUUUUUUUUUUGUUUUUGUUUGCUGGGGUCAGUCUUGGGUCAAACCACAACUCCGACAAAACAUUGAGAUAUUUUCCACAACCAAAGGCCCAGCCAGCUUUCAAUCAGAAAAUGAUGAAACACCCAGCUAAGCAUUGAUCAAUAAAGCCAAGUGAAAUUGCCAGGCAAACUUCUCCAUGGCAAUUAUUUGAGUCUCAAUGAUGAUUGGCAUUUUCUUUUCUUCAUCAUUCAAUACGGUUUCUUUUCCUUCUUGGGUGGAAUUUUCCACAUCCGCUGGCCCCCCCAAGCAUGUGGCAUGUGGAUCAAAGGCAGAUGAAGAAUCCCGGCAACUACUAUGCUACAAACAAAGGAGAUUUGGCUCAGCGGUAACAAAAAAGAGAUUAAUUUUUUUUGGAUUGUAAAUGUGGAGUUCGAACUCUACAUAAUGAAAAUAAUUUAAAGAAAGCGUCAAAAUACGAUCUAAUUAGGUCUGUAUACCAACUCUCUUAUAUAGUCUUUUUAGGCUCUUCUCCCUGUAGAAUCUAAUAGAUUAGGCUCCCACUCUCUAUAGAAUAGAAUAGAUUAGGUUGUAGGAAAAGUUAUUGUUGCUAUAAAAAAAAAAAAACUUCCUUGCAGAAGCAUCCGAUUCAGUUUGUCAAAGAAGCGUUGCACCAAAUUGGAUCUAAAUUCUUUACUAAUUUCUUGUGUUUCAGGAAUCAAAUUAAAUAAUUAAACAAGAAUACACAUAAGGAAUGAGAAAUUUCUUGUGUUUCAGGUAUCAAAGAAAUUGAUAAGACAUAUCUUAUAAAGUUUGGCAAGAUUUGCAACCAGGAAACAUAAGUUGGGAGAAAUUCGAAAUAGAUGAGAAAAGGAAACUAAUUAGGUGGUGUUUGGAUUGCAUUUUUCUAGAUUUGCGGUAGAAAAAUUAAUGUAGCGAUUUGAUAUAUGUGAGGUAAAUAGGUGAUAGGGAAAUGUGUUUACGGAAAACGUAGCAAUUUUUCUACAAAAAAUCGCUGUCCAAACAGGGUGUUCGUAAAGCAAUAUAUAUAUAAUUACUGUUUGGAUAGGGUAUUAUUUGAAAUAUUAUUUGGAAUAAUUACUGUAGCACUUUUUGUGAUGUGAUGUAUGUGAGAUAAAAAGGUGGUUGGAAAUAUAAAAAGAUGGGUUGGAAAAUAUGUUUAUGAUGCAAGAGAAAUAUUAUUUGGGAUAAAUUGGUUAUCCAAACAACAUGUGAGACAGUCUAUUUGUAUGAAAGUAGUUACAAAAAAAAAAUUGUAUAUUUUUUCGUAAAUACAUUUCUCAAUCAUUUUUUUACCUUAUAUACAUCAAAUCUCUACAGUAUAUUUUUCUACAAAAAAUUCCUAAAAAUAACAAUCCAAAUGGGACAAGUUGCGAGGAAAACUAUUUAAUUGGUGGUGAAAUUUUGAAUUCUUACGUGCAAAAGUGAUGCGCAAACCAAAAAUUUUGCAACAAUUCUGGAACUCAAAUUGGAAAAUGUUGCUUUAGGAAAGAUUCAGAACAUUCCACAAGAAACGGAAACUAUAUAUUAGUAAUAAUUACUUCAAAAGAAUUCUUAUAUACUGGCACUUUCUGGGUUAUGCUGUGAGACAAUAAUGGGAUUAAGGAGAGUUGAUAUAGAAAAGAAACACUGGAGGAAAGAAGGAUUAAGGUUUGUGAUAAAUAAAUGUCAAAGAUAUGAAAUUAGUGUGACCCAUAUGAACUUUAAUUCUUUAAGUGCAAACUUGAUAAUGGCAAAAUGAAAUUCAUCUUAGGGUCCGUUUGUUUCGGGUGAAAAUGUUUUCCAAGAAAAUAUUUUCCUAAUUUCCCAUGUUUGGUUGCGCAAAAGUUACUGAAAAUAUUUUCCUAUGUAAAAUAUUUUCACUCAUCUUAUGGAAAACAACUUCCCUUCCAAACUUACUGAAGUUGUUUUCCGAAAUGCAUGCGGGAUGCCUAUAGUAUGUUCCAAAUUUACUGAAAACAUCUUAUAGUAUGUUCUUUUUUUUUUAAGUGUAAAUAGGAGGACUCGAACCCAAUACCUCUUUGUUACACUCCCUCCCCCGUACCACCCAACCCAACCCUCCCCCUAGUAUAUUCAAAAUAAAAAAAAAAACCUUAUCCUUCUCAUCCUAUACUAGUAAUUAAUUAUGUAUAAUAGGGACAUUCUUUUCUAGAAAAACUUUCAGCAGUGAGAGUGCAAGAUAUAUGUCACAAUAAGCAUUGCAUGUGAUUGAUAUUUGAUACUAAAUGGCCAGCAAUUUGUUUAUUGCUUAAGGAGAUAUUUUUAUUCAUAUAUACAUUUCUCCAAGAUUUUUUAAAGUUAAACAAUGAGAUAAAUUUUCUUAUUUUGCAUGGGAAGAAAUAUGUAGUUAUAAUGUAUAGAAAGUAAAAAUAGAGAUAAAAGUGAAAAUAUUUCAAAAGUUAAACAAACACCAGAAAAAUGAAGUAAGAAAAUAUUUUCAAUAAGCUAACCAAACACCUGAAAAUGAUGAAAGAGAAAUGAUUUUCAUUGAAAAUUAUUUCCACGAAAAAUAUUUUCCUUGGGAAAAUAUUUUACUUCCAACCAAACAGACUCUUAAAGUACGUUGAAUUCCCACAAGAGAUCGAGAGACACCCAGUUUGAGGAGAAACCAGUAUACGCGUCAGCAAAAGCUAAAGAAAAAAGUUAGAAAAGUAAUAAAAAAAGGAUCCAAAAUCAACUAGAAAAAGAAAGUAAUAAGAAAUAAUAUAACAAAAAGGAUUAAUACCGAUCUGAAUUAAAGACUAUCAGAUUUUAAACAGAGGAGUAGAAGGCUAGGGAUUUCAAAAGGUAAUUUAAAAUCUCAAGCCUGAUUACUAAGCCAGGAAGCAAAAUCUCAAACAGAGAACAUUAUUGCUUCCCUUUCAUAACUCACAGUUUUUUGUAUGAGUGUUUCGAUAAAUGGAGUGUGGUCGCUUCCCAAAACCGAACAAAAUUCAGACCAAAUUACUGUAUGUCAUAAAUUCAUUUUCCAAGGAUUAACAAUGAUGACAUGCAUGUAACCAAAACAGAAUCUCACUCUCCUUUUUACGAUUUGAUCGUGGACAAAAACAAAUAUGGUCCACAACCAAAAAUUCUGAAGGCCCCACCAUUUAAUCAGAAAACAUGAUGCCCCAACAACUACAAUAAUUGAGAAAGUUACUCUGUAAACAUGCCAAUGCAAAAGCCUACAAAUUUGUCAGUGAAGAACUCCACGUCUACGCGCAAAAAUUAUUAAUGCUCCUUUCUUCAUAACCAAUUAUACUAAGCCUAGAUAAGACUACCAGUUCCUCGCUGCAAAAAACCUUCCAUAAAAAAAAAACCAUCUUGUUCUCAGAGCUGUAUAUCCACGGAAGAAGAAAUGGCCGACCCUGUUAUCAGUGCCACUGUCCAGGUUGCCUUGGAGACGGCAGUAUCUCUUGCCUCUGACAGGAUGGGUAUGUUAGUUGGCUUCAAGAAGGAUGUGGCCAGCAUGAGACGUUCUCUCCGCCUGAUCAAUGCUGUCUUGGCUGAUGCUGAAGCAAAGCAAAACCAGAACGAAGCAGUGCAAGAAUGGUUGAAGAGUCUCGAGGAGGUGGCUUAUGAUGCUCAGAAUGUGUUGGAUGAGCUCCACUAUGAAUCUCUUCGUCACCAGGUGGAGUCCCGAAACCGACCCAAGCUCAAGGUAUGCUGCUUCUUCUCCUUCUCUAACAUUAAUCUUGCUUUUGGGAGAAUGGCUUCCAAGGUCAGGGACGUCAAACUGAAGUUGAAGGAGAUAAAUCAACAAGCCCGUUUUUUGGGACUGGUUGACAGGGCAGUCGUGACGGCUGCCCUCCCUCCUGCUGCUGGAGACACGAGAAAUCGGCAGACCGACUCUGUUGUUGCUCCAAUGGUUGGAAGAGCCGAUGAUGAAUCAAAGAUAGUGAAGAUGAUGUUGAGCCGGUCCGAGAAGGUUGUUUCUGUUCUUCCCAUAAUUGGUAUGGGAGGUCUAGGCAAAACAACUUUGGCUAAAUCCGUAUACAACAACAAGCAAAUUGAUGAACACUUUGACAUAAAGAUUUGGGUUUGUGUAUCGAAAAAAGUUCCAAUAGUUGAGCUUUUCAAACUCAUAUUAGUGCAAUUGACGGGAGAAAAGGUUGAAGUAGAUGAUAGGAAUGUCGUCGUUGGAAAAAUUGGGAAUCAACUAGGGGGAAAAAGAUAUUUCCUAGUGCUUGAUGAUGUGUGGGAUGAUGAUGAGGCAUUGUGGGAUGACUUUUUCACCACCUUGAAGGGGCUCAAUCCAACCAAUGGAAGUUGGUGUCUUGUCACUACUCGUUUAAGGAUGAUGGAAAAUGAAGCCUAUCCAUUAAGAAAACUACCUGAUGAUCAUUGUUGGUCUAUCCUAAAAGAAAAAGUAGUUGGAGGGGAAGAAGAAACUGAUGAACUAAAAGCAAUUAAAAAGAGAGUAAUCAAAAGAUGUGAUGGUCUACCAUUGGCUGCAAGUGUAAUCGGAGGUCUAUUGUCUUUAAAGAGAAAAGAGGAGUGGCAAUCAAUUUUGAAGAAUAGGCUUUUGAGUUUGAGUACAGGUGGAGAUCAUGUGAUGCAAAUACUUAAGUUUAGUUUUGAUAAUUUGCCAUCUCCAUACAUUAAGAAAUGUUUUGCAUAUUGUUCUAUAUUUCCUAAGGAUACUGAGAUGGAAGGAGAUAUGCUAAUCAAACUUUGGAUGGCAGAAGGUUUCCUCCAAGCAGAUCUCAACAGCCAAAUGAUGAUGGAGGAAAUUGGAAUGAAUUAUUUGAGAAUUUUAUUGCAGAGUUCGUUGUUGAAAGAAACAAGAAAUUAUCAGGGAACAUGUUAUAAGAUGCAUGAUCUGGUCCACGACCUUGCAGAGUCAAUGUCAAAGUCUACCAAAGUCAUUAUUGAUAGGGAUACGAGUAUAGUAGACAAUGGUAAUCAGAUUCGUUACCUUGCAACAGACUCAUUUGGUGGCAGAGAAGACAGAGAAAAACUUUUGGAGAGUCUAUCAACUUCACUUCAUACAUUGCUUGUAUUUGGUGACUUAUCUGGUGAUACGUUAAUGAAGUUGAAGAACUUGUAUGUUUUGAAUUUGUCUCGUACAAGAACUCGAGAGCUACCAGUCUCAAUUGGCAAACUGAUACAUUUGCGGUACGUUAACCUUAAGUGGUCUGCAAUCAGUAUUUUGCCAGACUCCCUUUGCAAGCUUUAUAAUCUGCAGACAUUGACGCUAAGUGAAUCUGUUGAAGAUCUUCCGAAGGGGACGUGCGAUUUGAUUAGCUUGAGACAUCUCCACUUUCACACCUUUGAUAAAAAAUUUCAAAUGCCGCUAGAGAUGGGACGGCUGACUUGCCUUCAGACGCUAGAGUUCUUUAACGUGGGUCGAGAGAAGGGUCGACGAAUUGGAGAGCUUGGAAGCUUGAAGAACCUCAAAGGCAAAUUGGAGAUACGCAAUCUGGAACUAGUAAAGGGUAAGGAAGGAGCUGAGGAAGCAAAACUAUCUGAAAAGGCAAAUCUAUUUGGGCUGGUACUUAAGUGGGCCCGUGAACGAGACGGCGACGACUACAACGAUGAAGAUGUGUUAGAUGGCCUUCGACCCCACCCAAAUUUGGAGCAGUUGCUAAUCUUGUAUUUUAUGGGCGAUCAAUUUCCUCGAUGGCUAAUGGAUUUGCCAACAACACUCCCCAAGUUAGCGCGUUUGAAAUUUAAUUCCUGCCCCCGAUGCAAAGAACUCCCUCCCCUACAAAACUUUACAUCUCUUAAAGAGCUGGAGAUUUUUGAGUGCCAUGGGUUGACGAAUCUGCCCGGUGACAUGCUACACUCUUGUACCUCUCUCCAGAAGCUUCAGGUGAAUUUUUGCUACAAUCUUAUCUCCUUUCCGCUUGAUUUGCAACAAACGCCUUCUCUCUUGGAUCUGGUAUUAUGCGAGUGUCCCAAACUGAAAACAAGUAUGGUGCCCAAAGGAUUUGGUUUCCUAACCAGCUUAAGGGAGCUUAUAAUUGGUCCCUUCUCAGAUGAUGAUAAUGAUCAUGAAAAUUCUUCAAUUUACUAUGAGUUUGAUUGGUCUGGAUUGAUAUACUCCUCCUCCUCUUCGUCAUUCGCACUCCGCGGACUAGGAUUAAUUGGGUUGCCACACAUGGAGUUCUUGCCACAUCAGAUCCAAUUCUUGACCACUCUCACGUCACUAACGCUAGCUUUCUUUGAAGGCAUAAAAGCUCUGCCAGAUUGGUUUGGAAACUUCGCUGCUCUUGAAGAGCUAUAUUUAUAUGAUUUCAAAGAGCUUCGAGAUCUACCCUCUGAGGAUGCCAUGAGACAUCUCACCAAACUAAAACGUCUGCGGGUUUAUGGUUCUCCUCUGUUAAAAGAAAGAUGCACUCGUGAGAGCAGCGGCCCCGACUCCCAGUGGUUCAAAGUUUCUCAUAUUCAAGACCUAGUCAUAACUAAUUAUUAACCAUUCAUCUUCGGAUCAAAUUCAAUCAUGUAAGAUUGCCUCUUACCAACUUUUUAAAUUUGCUUUACAAUCAAUCUCCCCUUCUCUUCACUUCCCUCUCUCAUUAACCUUUUCGUGAGAAAACCUAAAAUGUCCUCAUGGUUAUUUUCACAAUUUUCUCUUCUCCCUUUUUAUCGUCCUAUUUAUUAUUUUUCAAAGCUACAGCAUUAGCAUUUCUUAUAAGGUCCAAAAUAUUGUUGCUCCUCAUUCACUCCUUACAACAUAAUACUCUUGUAACCAUCAAUUAGAAUGACACCAAGCACCUAUCCUAUUUUACUGUAUCUCUGUUCAUAUUCUGUUCUAUGCUUUGUUUUUAUAGGAUUGAUAGAAGAAUAGCUUCACGAACAGGGGUCAGAAUUUUGAAGCUUCUUCAGCACCGUCUACAUGGCUAGUACUCAAUAACUUUUGGCCUGCAUUUCCUACAAAUAGCCAAUCAAUGUUUAGAACAACUAGCAGUGUAUUUUUGUCUGUUUUACAUGCUUUGCUUCUGUGGAUUUUAAGUUAUUAUUGCUAAAGUCAUCUCACUCUGUUUAAAGUUGUGAUUCUAAGGGGACUGAACUUUUGCCUCUUGAUAAUGGACUUGCAUACUUAUCUGAACUAUUUGACUAGUAAUUUCUCCAUCAGAGUCAUAUAUGAUGGUUUUCUGGCUAACUUUUCCUUGAUUUUGGCUUUUUAGCCAUGAAGACAAUGGUCAAUUGAGGAGUUUUCGCAGCUGUUAGUCAUCACUUUCAUGUUUUGGUUCAAAAAUUCUGGUAAUUUUAGAUAUGCUUCUCUUCUUUCACUGCUCAAUUUUGACUUUUAACUGCUUUAAUAUCUAAUAUAUUACGUAUGAAACAAAAGAAAUCUUGUCGUCACGAAGAUAUUUUUGAGGUAGCCAAGGAAGGUGUGCACUGUUUGAGCAAUGAAGUUGCACAAAAUUUGGUGGAGUAUCUUCCAACAUUCAACUCAAGCCUGCUUGUUGUGACUUGCUGAUCUUAAUGAAUCCACCUUGAUAGAGGCUUUCAAGCUAUCUCUGAUUUUAUGAUUGUCGGUUGCUUCUUUUUGUAUGGUAAGUUUCUCCUUUUGGGGGUUUUGUCACAAUGACAGAAAACCUGCAAUUAUCUAAAAAUUUCCACUAGCUUUAUUCUAUUUUGAACGCCAUCUUGAUUUUGAGUUUUUGUGCUUUGCAGCGAUUUUAGGGCCAAAGCUUAACAGGGAACCUCAUCGAUUGCUCUUACUUACUGUCUUUACUAUUUCAAGGUCCUACAAUUCCUUACUGAACAAGAUCCUGCUUCAGUUGGAUAGCAACAUCUAGGAUGGCAUUCUCUUUUUCUCUGUGCCUCAGAUGCCCAAAGUCUGAGAUAUCCAUUGGGGUAUGGUUCUUUUAAACUGUCCAAACGAUUCUGUGAUUUGUAGUCAUGCUAAUGACGUGCUGAUUUACAUGUUUUAGAACUCAAUUUGCAUCUCCGGCAUACUGCUCAUAGUUAGAAGUUAGAACUAACUGGUGUUUUGGUAGCAAUUAAAUGUGGAUCUCUAUUGUGCCUCAGUGGCCCACAGCUUUAAUUGUUCCUCAAUGCCUCAAUGUGAAAUGCUUUGCCUGCGCUACAAAUUGCCCAUUAUUAUUUUCAUUUUAUGAGUUGUAAUUACUUGCUUUGUGGUUGGAACCAAACUACUGUAAUUGUAAAUGCGACUCAGGCUCAAAUGUCAACUAGAAUCUGCAAUUGCUCUUACUUACUGAUUGAAUUACCCAGCUUGUAACUUUCGAAAACUUUGUUGAAUCAAUCCUGUUUCAAUUGGACAGAUAUGAUUAGAAUAGCACGCUGCUGGCACACUUUUCUUUCUUCCUAGAGUCUAAAACCUGAUAAAAUGCUCUAUCUUCGUCAACUGGCCUCUAUAAACUGCUCGCCAGAGUUUCUUUCCCCAACUUAUGUAAUGUCUCUCAAGAUCAAGAGCCAUCAUUACCAUGAAUUUCUGCUGAUGAUCAUGGGCGGUUUGGUCGGUGAUAGAGAUUGUUUUAGAGAAACUGACCGAGAAUGAGAAGCUUACAAAUUUUCAAGUAAGUACUGUAAGGUUAGUGAUUUUAUUUCAAAUGGAUUGGUAGAUGUACUUAGUAUCAAGUCUUAUUUCCUGCUCAUUAGUUUUAGAACAAAGGCAACAAAAAGAAACCCUUUCUUUCUGUAAGAUUCUCAGCUCAAAAAUGACAGGGAAUUUGCUCCUCUCUCUAUUUUAAAGCAGGCGAACAUGCCUUCUUGAAUUUUCAAUCUAAAAUCUCCUCAUCCAACUAAGUACUCUAAAAGUUCAUUUGGUUAUCAAUUUGCUAGAAAAGAAUGAUAAUGUGUUUACAUUUAUGAAAUAGAUUGUUAAAUCAAAGUUUGACGGAACACAGAAAAUUAUAAGUAGGCAAUUAUGGACAAAGGUUUUAAAUUCAAUUAUGGAAUACAGGUAUUCAAGAGCAGAUUAUUUGAUGUGGACAGUUAAGCAAUGUCAAAGCUGAAAACUUUUGUAUUUACAUCUACGGUACAAUAUUCUUUGUGUUAACUAAGAACUAGCAGUUUACUUUUGCACAGCUCAUAUGUCUGCUACCUCCAGUUGUAUAUCAUGACUGCUGAAAGGAGCUAAUUCUCUUUAAACUUGAGAUUCUACCGGGAUGGAAAUGCUUGCUCUGAACUUCCACCUCCUGGAAAUAUAUUUAUCAUCUUUCUCCAAAUUAUCUGAUGAUUGGUAUUCUUAUUAUGUUUCUUAAAUGAUGGGAUUCUACUUUCUUCAGCUGUGAUCUCUUUACAUAAAUCCAAUGGUCAAUCGAGUUACUCUGACUGCCCUUGGUUGUGAGAUUGGUAGUCUGAUAAUUUAUAAUGCCAACUAUCUUCUUCCACCACUUAAUAUUGGGUUUUAAGCAGUUUAAUAACCAAUACAUUAACUAAAACCUUAAAAAAAUUGUCAUGUUUAAGACAUUUUCAAGCAGCAGAGACUUGGUAGACCAUCCUCUUCUGAAGUUUAAGUUCAAAUGCAAUGAUAUGAGAUUUUAAGGUUAAAAUAGUUGUAAUUAGCUCUGCUUGUUGCAUCUUGCAGUCUCAAAUAGUUCGCUUUCAUGGCAAUUCUGGGACUCUCUGCCUCUCCUGCUUGUGGGUGCUAGUCAUUAUUGUUAUAGAACUUUUCUUUUUUCAGUGUUUUGAACAAAAGCUAAUAUAGUUUUUGUGAUGCUUCUGGUACUUGCGGACUGAACAGAGAUUUACGUUAGAAAAGAACAACAAAAACAAAUAUUGAUUUAGCUUUCUGAAUAAUUGACUAAACAAAAAUGUCACGCAAUUUCGAGUUAGCCUCAUGAUUUGCUAUGUGAAGUCCUGAGUCUGAGUUUUCUGUUUUGCAGUGACUCUGGGUUUAUAGCUCUGUCGGGAACCCUGAUGGCUCCUGAUCACCGCCUUUACUUUUCAAAGUCCUUUCUUUCCCUUAAAUUAUAUCAAGUAAUAAUUGGAGCAAUAACAGAGCAGGUCUGCCAUGUUGGAUGCAGAGUCGGUCCUCUCUCUCUUCAUCACGAUUGAAAGUUACAGGUAACUCUUAUCAUGAAUAAGCGCAAUAUUUCAUAACCUUUAUGACUAAUAAGCCAUGCAUGGUUCCAUACCAAUCUAAACUAACGGAACUAAACAAUCAUUUUGGUUAAUUUAAAAUGUCAAAUUGGUAUUUCUCCCAUUGUAGCGCAUCUCAUUUGCUGUUGCAAAGAUCAAACAUGGCAAAUGGUGAUCCAAUUCAAUACCAUCCAUGUUUCAGUACUACAUUUAAAGCUUCAGUUGCAUAUUUUUUUCAGUGACCAAAAUGAACAAGAUUUUCUUUGGUUAACUGAAUAAUGUUUUGGAUGAACCAGCACUAAACAAAUCCACUAAUAUGGGUGGAAUUAAGUAUUUGGUUUUGUUUAUGAUGUAUGUCAGUUACAGUCCUUUGUACAUUGUAAUUGCUAAAAUCAGCGCAGUCUCUUUAAACUUGUGAUUUCACGAGGAUGAAAUGAUUGCUCUCCCUGAAGUUUCACCUGUUGAAAAUGCAAAUUCUGCAAACCUUUUCUAUAAGACUUUAAACCCGCAAUUCUCUACUGCACUCCUUCCUUCUGCAUUAACAAGCAGAUUUUUGAGGUCUCUCCCCUAGAUGAACUUAGAUUAGAUUUUUAUAUCUGGUAUUAAUUAAUUUUUGUUUUGCAUUUCCUACAAGUUACCCAUCCAUAUGAAAUAAGCACUAGGAGUCUCGUUUUGUUGAUUUUAUAUAUCUGCUUUAGUGGAUGUAAGAUGUGAUUGCUAAAGUGAUCAGCUCCCUAACUUAUGUUGCUAGGGGAGUAAAUAGUUGCUCCAAAGUUUAAUCGCCUCUUGAAGAUGCAUUUGUUAAUAUGGCUUCGUCCCACAUUGACGGAAGCCAAAUGAAUUCUUUCCUUAUUUACCAUAAAUAUAGAGGUCCUAUGAUAGGAUUAAGUGCACCACUCAAGAGAGCCUUAUAUGAGCUAUUAGUUUCUUGGGUCAUUUAGUCCAUUUGUAGUCAAAUAUUUUGGACUCUCUUUUUUGAGUUUAGGAAUAUUUCCUAAACUUUUUGUAAGUGCUUUUUUGGCCUAGGAACCACUUUUCUAUGGCUUUUGUAUUUCCUUCUUUAUAGUAAAAUUUUGCUCCUCCUUCGCUUGUGGAGGUCGAUUUGAUCGAACCGCGUAAAUUUUUCAUGUCUCUGUUUCUUUAUUAUGUCUUUGUUAUUUGUCUAUUUCCUGGGCCAGUCCUAACAGCAUUUAGCAAGCUUCUCGAACCAUUUGAUUAGUGAUUUGUUCGAUAAUCUCGUAGAUGGUGGGUUUCUGUCUCACUUUUCCUUGGUUGUGAUUUUCUAGGCGUAAAGAUUUCAGGAGUUUCCAAAGCUGUUGGUUGUCAAACUGGUUUUUGGUUCUAAGAGUCCGGUAAGGUCAGAUAUUUACUACUCUUCUUUUACUACUCAAUUUUUACUUUUAAAUACUUUGAUUCUGAUUAUAUUACAACUAAAACUUGAGAAGUCUUCUCCUAAUGUAGAUGUUUCUUAGAGCAGCCACAGAAGAUGUCUGUUCAUGCAAUAAAGCUGCAUGGACUUGUUAGAGUAUCUUCUAACACAAUCAAGUCUAAGCUGCAAGUUUUAAAGCAUAUCGCCGUAUCUUCUAACACAAUCAAGUCUAAGCUGCAAGUUUUGAAGCAUAUCACCGUAGUUAGUCAAGGCUGUCAAGCAUACUCGUUGGCUGCUGCUACUUGCUGCAAUUAUUUCAUCCGCUGUGAUGAAGCCUAUUAAGCUCAUCCCGCCUUCUAUACUUGUUGGUUGCUCCUCUCUUCAUGGUAAGUUCUUAUUUUAGUGUUUCAACUUUCAAAUACAACAAAAAUGUCAUGCAACUAUGUGUUGGCUUUAUUCUUGACUACAUGUUGUCUCGAGUUUCUUGAGUUUUUGAGUUUUGCAGUGAUUUUACGCUCAAAACCUUCAUAGCUCUUACUUACUAUCCUUGGUACAUUAUUAAAAGUCCUAUGAUCCCGUACUGAACCAGAUCCUGUUUCAAUCAGAUCAGAUGAAAACAUCCAGGAUGGAAUUCUCUUUUGCGCUCUGCCUUGGAUGGCUAAAGCCUUAGAUCUUCUUGUCGGCUGGUGACUUUAAACUGUCCAACCAUUCAGCAAUUUGUAGACAUGUUAAUGAGGUGUUCUUUUACUUCUUUUGGAACUCAAUUUGCCAUAUCUUCCGUGCUGCUUGUAGUUCAAAGUAGCCAGUAUUUUGCAGCAGAAAGAUGUGGAUUAGCUGAACCCUGGUAGCUGCUUGCAUCCUUCUUGAAGUUGUAUCUUAGCUCUAUAACAGGCAACAUAUUUUUUCUCAGUGUUUUGCAGUUGACUACAUGGUUGUGUCCCAUGAUACUUUUCCAUUGCUUAUUGUAUCUGUAAAGCUCAGACAGGACUCAGAGCACAAGAAUCAGUCAGCUUGAGCCCUUCUAUUUAUGUUAAAUCAGAGGGCAGUUUAGAAAACUGAAUUGCUAAGGCGCCAAUUUCUAUUCAAGAAAGGAUCCCACUUGGUGGAUGGGAACGUUGGAGAGAUGAAACUAUGGAAAUCAAUUGAACAGGAUUAUAUAGGAACAUAUAAGGUCAACCUUAGUUCAUCACACUGACAUUUUACAUAGCAUCUAUUUGUAAAAUUACUUCUAUGUGAACUUGUCUCCUUGUACGUCAAUAUUGUUCCAUGAAGCAACAAUGUGACACGGAUCUUACACAUCUUGGCUGCAAAUCCUAUUCAUUCCUAGCUCAGGAUAUGUUACAAGGAAUGCAUUUCUACUUUUCUAUGCCUCUAAGACUUUGACGGUCAAUACAAGUAAAUCUUCUUAUAUCUGUAUCAGUACAGAAAGUAGUCCCCCCUUCAUUGCUAGCACAGGAUAUGUUCCACACUGAUCAUAUUGUUGUGCCUUCUUUUGGAUGUGUAGUCCCCCCUUUCAUUGCUAUUUCUUAACUGCAACAAUUGCUGUCAUUUCUCAAACCUCAGAUAUUUGGCUAUUCGUGUUGAAUGUCGUCAUGUUGGACUAAAUGUUACUUUCAAGCCUCCCUGUAUGAUGCCCUUCUUGAAGGUUAUGUGGCUGAUUAUGAUUAGUUGAUCAUCUUUAUAAUCUCUCUGUCUCUUUGGAAUUUUGGAAUGGCUCUGCCCUUCACUCUUCACUAUCUUCUCUGUUAAUUUAAUGAAACUAACAGCAACUUCCUGAAUAAAUCAAAAAGAUAAACUCAGGUUUGUAUGCCAUUAAUCACAGCUUGUCAUGCUUUAUUUGUUGGAUUCACUGUUUCAUUUGAAGCAUAUUGACGCCUUGUGUCAAAUAACCAAAUAUACAAGGUUUUCUUAAGCAAUCAAGAAUUAUCAUAUCUGAUUCUUAUUAGUCCAUGUUGCAGUCCAGUUUCCUUCAUCAUAUUUCUAUGGAUUGAAAUGGUAGCCAUUUUGGAUUCAGGGCAUUACAUGCAGCCAGUAGUACAUUCAUUCGUCUCAAAUUAGCAUCUCAAUUCAUUUUUCAUGCGGAUUCAGAUCAGCAACUCUUGAAUUGAAGAUCUUAUUGCUUUGCUUGUGCUACAAUUGCCAAUGCCUAAAGGCCUCUCGGAGAAAAUGUUGAGUUUUAUUGCUAAUUUGCCAGAAAAGGGAAGAUAAUGAGUUUAUAUAAAAGAAAUGAAGCUUUAUGCCAAAGUAUGUCUAAGCACAGAAAAUUGUUUCAGGUUUAAGCAAUAGAAUCAUUGCUUCUACUUUCAGAUUCUCAAGGAUCUGACCAUUUUACUGAGUGAACAUUCAACUGCUAUGUACACUCCUCGGGCCAAAAUCAAAUCGAUUGACAUUGCUUUUUUCUUGUUAGUUAGCCUUAUUCUUAGUCGGACCUCUCUUUUUUUUUUUUGUAAAAAAAUAAAUAAAUGAAUACAAAAGUCUAACGUGUUUCACGUGGUGAUAACUAGAGUUGAAAUCACUCAAAUUCUUUCUUUCAAAAACAAAAAAAAAAAAAUAUUUGUCUAGGACCUAAAAAUAAUAUGGAGAGUUUGAAAUGGGUAGAACAUGGACUAUAUGCUCUACAAAUGAAAUUUGUCACUCAUUAAUAAUCAGGGAGAGUUUAUGUGUUUGUGUGUCAAUGAAUAUGUAAUUUGAAGUCACAAAGCCUGAUUAUUUGGCCAAGAAUCAGAAUGUAACACAGUUAGUGCAGAAAGGAAAACUUUGACCCCUAACAAAGAAAUUUUAUUACAAUCACAAUCAAUUAUCUGGCAUGUACAAUCAUUAGCAAAUGAAAUUAAUCAAACAAACAUGGAGUUCAUAAUCUUAUUUGGAUUGUAUAUGAAAUUACUUAAUUUCACUAUCUUAUUUAGAAUAUUUUCAUUAGUCAAAAACUAACCAUUAAUUGAUCCGAUAAAAAUUCUUGCUCCGGCGCUUGAGGGAACCAAAAAAAUAGGAUGCGUGUUCUAAUUCCAAUUCUUGUGGAUCAGUAAUUAAGACCAAAUUAUGAUUCAAGUUGGGGGAGGGUUGGGUGUGAGUGAUAAGGUGGGAGGUGUUGUAAGUAAGGGGUCAUGAGUUCAAUUUUAUCUUGGACAUAAAUGAUUCUCCUUCAUAAAUGCAACAAUCAUUGAGAUAUUGUCCACAAUCAAAAUAGUUGAGAAAGUUAAAGUGAAAAUGUCAAUACAAAAGUAUCCAAAUUUGUCAAACUACCACAGCCAUUUCAAAACAAACAAUAAUAUGUUUUAAGUAAUUGAGAUGACAACACAGACAAGCGAUUGAAAUUUUUUUUAAAAAAAUAGAGAAUCCCAGCAUUCACCUGGGAAAUUUUUUCAAUAAAAACCCAAGCAACUUCCCAACAUUUAAGUUUGUACUUUAGUUAAACUAACUCGUCAAAUUUGACAACACUUAAAUGUUGUACAUAAAACAUAAACGAGACAUAUUGAGUCUGAAAACUAAUUAUAAAUAGGAUAGGAGGCUAAUUGAAGAGUACGGUCUAAGAUAUGAGUUGUUAAAUUCCUUCUUUCAAGUUUCAUUGAUGCUUUAGAAAACUUCCUAAAGUAUGAGAAAUUAUUUGAACAAUUUUCACAAUUUAAAAUGCAAACAAUUUCCGGCCAAUUACGUGAUUUAUGACCAAGUCUGAUUAUUGAGAAUGAGAUGGACAUCCAUCAUACACAUUCCUCCGCACUAACCCAGCCAACCAAGAAGCCAGAUAAGCAGUAUGGAAUUGAUUACCUUGUGGUCUCUGGAUUUUGACCAAAUUCUAAAAGAUUUUAAGCAAACAAAAUAUUACUUAUGCUGAUAGCCUAAUUCUCAAGGAUAGUUAGUAAGACCAAUUUAUUAUUUUUUUGAAUUUAUUUCUGGAUUAACAGAUUACAUGAUUGAUCACCAACCAUGAUUGUCAUUUCCCUUCUCAUUUAUUUUUUGGCAGUUUUUUUUUUUUUUUUUUUGUCAAAAGUCAACUUCCAUGUAUAACUUUUUGGCAGUUGAAACAUAGCAAUUUGGAGAUAGCAUCCAAGUUUGUCCAAGAUGUAUGCCUCAUGCACUGUGUUUUAAAACUCGGACCGGACCGGUCGAACCAGGAACCGUUCACUUGAUCGGUCCGAGUUAUGCUAAAAAAUCGGGUAAGUAAAAACCCGGUGAAGCCCGGUCAAAAAUCGGGGUUGACUGGGAAAAAAUAGGAUUUUCUGGUUCAAUCAAGCAUUUAAAAAAAAAACUCAAAAUUUUUCAAUAUUAUGUUUUGACCCCUAGAUUGUUAAAAAUUAUUAAUAUACCUCAAAUAUUUCAUACUUUAUCAAUGUUGUCUUAAAGUUUGGUGUUAUAUUUCAAUUAAGUCCAUAAUUUUGAUUCUAAACUUGUUAAUGCUCAUUAAAUAAUAUAAAUUGCUACUUGAUUGUUCUAAUUUCUUUGUAUUUUCUUGUUAAAUAUAUUUGAAACAUCAAAUAUAUAUGAAAAUACCUUUAUUAAUAUUAACAUGUUAUUAGGUAUUUUACAUAUAAUAUUUUAAUUUUUAAAUAAUUUUUAUUUAUGACGUCAUCCGGUUCAACCCCGAUUGAACCCAUUGACCCCUGACCCCUGAGCUUGACCGAGUCGAUACCCGGUCCGGUUCUGAAAACAUAGCUCAUGCAUUGAUUAAGAAAGGCCACAUGGUGAAAUUGCUAAGCAUCUUCUAUGGCAAUUAAUAGCAUCCAAGUUUGUCAAGGAAUUAUUAUUAAUUUAGCUGAAGUCGGUUCUAUCCUUGUGUCCCAAGAAUUAGCCGGUUAGAUUAAAAAAAAGAAAAGUGUAGCCUGAGUUGCAAUUAUGAUUGCCAUUUUCCCUUUCUUUUGUCAUCACAAGUCCUACUAUUAGUAUGUAAGCUUAUAAGUAAGAUAAGUAGUAUUAUUUUAAAAUUGAACAGAGGAGUUUUACUUCAAUAUCGACACGUGUAACGUAGUCCAUUUUUCCAGUGAGUAUUUAAAUUUAUGAAAGUUUGAGGUGAUGGAAAACUCGCAAAUAUAUUAGAGACUCUUCUUUUAACUAUUUCCACAAGUGAAAAAUGCAAAGAAUUCCAACCAAUCUGUGGCCAAUUUACUUGAUCAGAAUUUGGAAGCUUGAAUCUUAAGAUGACAAUCCACAUCAUAUACAUACAAUGCUGUAUAGUGUAAUAGAAUCAAACAAGAAGCAAAAUAAGUAAUACUAGGGAAAUGGACAACACAAAGGACACCAGAUUCUAGCAAAAAAUGGAGCAUUUGAUAAAGCCCGGUGCGAUGCAUUGCAAAGAGCCAAGAUAGUGAAAUGGUUUUAUUUUGUUUCUCUGGAACUAGAAAAAAGGGAUGAAUAAUGUAGCCAAAAUCACAACAUCAUUGUCAUUUUCCCUCUUUUGUUUUUAAUAACAAUCUAAUUGUUAAGGACAAUAAUUUCUUGUGCUUCUUGGGUCAGACCAUCAUUCUUUUCAGAUUUUUUGCACAUAGAAUGCCCCAGCAGUUUAAGAGUAGGCACCUCAGCGAAGCAUUAAGUAGGAAAGGUGAACUGGAAAUUCCAUGGAACUUUCAUGUCAUCUACAGAUAUAUAGUGUCAUAAUGGAGACAAAAAUAGACGUGUAUACACUAAGAUAUUAAAUGGAGACAAAAAUAACAAUAUACAAAAGCACAAUAAAUGUUUCAUUCAUUAAAAGUUUUGUGUGCUAAUCAAUUCUAUUCAUCCAAUUUCAAAUUUACCUAAUCUAGGAUAUAGAUUGCAUGGUCAUCAAUUGCAAGAAGUAAUUGCGCGUUAUCCAUCUCAACUCGCCAUACUUAUCAUUGGUAUCACCUUCGUCUUUGCAUGCACUGUUUUCACUCUAUCAUUAUCAUCAUUAGACAAAUAUAAGGAAACAAAUUGUUUAUACUUAUUCCAAUCAAUUUUUUUUUUUAUUUUACCAGCCACUAUUCUGUCCCGCAUGCAUUAUAUCAAGUUACAAAAAAUAUUACAUUGUUAGUCUAAUUUUUUUUAUUUAACUUAUCCUCUACCCGAUCACACUUUUAUUUGAGUAAAAUGAUACCUUUCCCCUUUCGGAUCAUUCAUGUAUAUUUUUAUCUAGGUUUGCAAUUAGACUGCACCAAAUUAAUAAAUAUUUCUUGUUUUAACAAAUGUAUCAUAGCUUUUGUGAUUGUAUGGCGGCUGAUAUAAUUUUUUCCUCAACAUCAUUCGUUUACUCUGAAUUGGUUUACAAAUCUCCCACUUAACGCAAAACUUGUUCCAAUAACCUUAGAUGUACCCUUUUGUCUGCUAGCACACCAAACCAUUUUGUGACUCGUACACAUUUGCAACAUUAAUUUGAAUUAGAUGUAACGCUUACAAUCACAGAUUUUCAAUUAAACACCUUCCAAAGUCUUCUUUCGGGUUUAGACAAUUUUCUAUUAUUACAACCCAUUUAAGUAAAACUUGUGCUCAUAUCACAGGCAAAUAAUUCAAGGAUAAAAAUCAAAAUCAACAAAAACAUGCUCAUUUCCUCCUUUUGAAACAUCUAAAUUCAACGAAAGUGUAUAAAUGUAGCAUAAGAUAAAAGGUCUAUUCCACUUCUAAUUCCAGUCCAUUGUAUAUUGUACACCAAAAAAUAAUAAUAUAUAAUAAAGAAACUGCUCAAAUUUUCACCAGUUAAAUUUCUUAUAUGGGACAUAAACAAGACAUUUUGCGUCAAAAUGUGAGUUCUUAAUUCCUUCUUUGUAAGUUCAAAGAGCUAGAAAACUUUUGGAAAUAUGAGGGACUAUUUUGACAAUUUCACAAAUGUAAAGAGCUAAGAAGAGCAUCCAGUUGCUGGACAAUUUACAUCGUUUCUGCUUACUGAUUCGACUUCAAAUUUCAGGUAUUUUCCACAACCGAAGGCCCCAGCUGGCGUUCUUCAAUCAGAAACAGAUGAAAACCUCAGCUAAGCAUUGAUUAACAAGGCCCAAUGAAAUUGCCAACCAAACUUCUAUUGCAAUUAAUGGGAUCCCAGUUUCUCAAAGAUGUACUGCUGCAACACUUCUACACUUGCGGAAAAGCAAAAAAGUUCAGAACUUUGAAGUCUUUGGACCGUAAAUAAAUUCAAGGAUUUUAAGCCACAGUUAGUGUUAGCGUAAUCCCUUGCAAAAAGCCAACGAAAGGUGUACUUGUAUAUGUUUUAAAUCUGAUCCCCAAGGAUUAGCAAUUUAGAUGAAAUUAAUACUAUGUUUGAGUCCCAAGAAUUAACUAGUGAGAUUUGUCGGAGUCUCAAUUUUUUCUCCCUUAUAAAAAAUUAUUUUGGACCUUUCAUUUUUCAGCACAGUUUCUUGUCCUUCUUGGGUGGAAUUUUCCACGACCAGGGGCCCCAAGCAUGUGGAAUGUGGAACAAAAGCAGAUGCAGAAUCCCAGCAAUGACUAUGUUUUAUUUUCAACUGAAAAUGCCAAGCAACUUCCGUUGCAAAAGCAUCCGAUCCAGCUUGUCAAAGAAGCGCAGCAUCAAAAAAUCUUCGUAAGUCUUGUAACUUGCGUUUGAGUAAAGCGCAGUUCCUUUCAGCUUCUAGCUACAGCUAAAACCAACCGCUGCAAAAGAGUAUCCUGAUCUGAAGACUCGCCCAAGGAACAAAAAGAAUGGCUGAUGCACUUAUUACUUCCACAAUAAAGGUGGCACUGGAGAAGACACUUGUCCUUGCCAAUGAAAGGAUUGGCAAGUUAUUCCAAUUCAAGAAGGAUUUGGAGACCCUGAGAGGAUCCGUUGCCAUGAUCCAAGCUGUCUUGGCUGAUGCUGAGGAAAAGCAAACGCAUGACCAGGCCGUGCAACUGUGGCUCCAGAGGCUGGAAGCCGUGGCGUUUGAUGCUGAGAAUUUGUUGGACGAGCAGAAUUAUGAAGCUCUUCAUUGCCAACUCGUGGGCAAGGUACGCUCCUUCAUCCUGUCCUCUGACAUUAAUAUCGUUUUCCGAUGGAGAAUGGCCUCUAAGAUCAGCGACAUCAACAAGAAGUUGAAUAAGAUCAAUAAAGAAGCCAAUGAUUUUGGACUGAUCAGAAGGGCAACUUUCCCCGCUUCUACUACUGUCUACUGCUAAAGUCACUCUAAACAGAGAGACGGAUUCUAUUGCUGGCCAUUAUGUUGUAGGAAGAGCUAAGGAUGAAACAAGGCUGGUGGAGACCUUGCUAAGCUUGUCAGAAAAAGCCGUUUCUGUAAUUCCCAUCCUUGGGAUGGGCGGAUUGGGAAAGACAACUUUAGCUCAAUCUAUAUACAACAAUCGUCAAGUUGAUAGCCAUUUUGAGAAAAAAAUUUGGGUUUGCAUGUCCGACAAUUUUGAAGUGACCAGGCUUUUGAAAAUGAUUUUAGAAUCACUCACGCAAAGAAAUGAUGAAAUGACCAGCAGGGAUGUCAUCGUCCGGAAAAUUCGGGAACAACUUGUGGGAAAAAAAAUAUCUUCUUGUUCUUGAUGAUGUCUGGACCGAAAGCCAUAUCUAUUGGGAUGACUUUUUACAUUCGUUACGGGGGCUGAAUGCAACUAAUGGAAAUUGGUGUGUUGUGACUACUCGUAAACAACAAACUGCAUCCAUUUUGGCUACACAUGAUCCUUAUGUGUUAGGAAAGCUAUCUGAUGAUGAUUGUUGGUCUAUUCUAACAGAGAAAGCCAAUGCAGGUGGAGAAAUUCCCGAAAAAUUGCAAGUCAUGAAAAAGGAAAUUAUAAAAAAAUGUGGUGGCCUACCGCUAGCUGCAAGUGCAAUGGGAGGUUUAUUGCGCAUGAAGAGAAAAGAGGGGUGGAAAUUGAUUUUGAUGAAUAAGCUUUCAAAUUUGAGCGGAGAUGAAGACAGAGUCAUGGAAAUACUUAAAUUGAGUUUUGAUUGUUUACCAUCACCGGCCAUUAAGAAAUGUUUAGCAUAUUGUUCUAUGUUUCCUAAGGAUACUGAGAUGAAAAGAGAUAUGCUAAUCGAACUUUGGAUGGCAGAAGGCUUCCUUCAAGUAGAUCUCAAGAACAAAACAAUGGUAAACAAAACAAUGGAAGAAAUUGGAGAAUAUUAUUUGGAAAUUUUAUUACAGAGUUCUUUGCUGGAAGAAAUAAGAAAAUAUCGGAGAAGGUAUUAUAAAAUGCAUGAUAUGGUGCACGACGUCUCAAAAUCAAUAAUGUCAAAGUCUACUAAAGUCAUUAAUUCGGAGACUGGUUCAGAAGACAAUAGUAAUCAGGUUCAUUGUCUUGUAAUAGACUCAUUUGGAGAAGGCACAAUAAAUCUUUUUGAGUGUCGGUCAAAUUUGCUUCAUACAUUGUUUCUAAGUGAGGGUAGCUUAUUUGAUGAUAUGCUAAUGAAGUUGAAGACUUUGCAUGUUCUGAAUUUGUCCGGUGAAGAAAAUCAGAAUCUGCCAAUUUCAGUUGGCAAACUGAUACAUUUGAGGUACAUUAACUUUGAGGAUUCCACAAAUGAAAAUUUGCCGGAAUCCGUUUGCAAACUUUAUAAUUUGCAGACACUGAGGCUAAAUAGUUUCGCUCUUAAGGUUCUUCCGAAGAGGAUGCGCGAUUUGAUUAGCUUGAGACAUCUCCACUAUUAUGCAAGGGAUGAAGCAUUUCAAAUGCCGCUAGAGAUGGGAUGACUGACUUGCCUUCAGACACUAGAGUUCUUUAAAGUGAGUCGAGAGAAGGGUCGACGAAUUGGAGAGUUUGGAAGCUUGAAGAACCUCAAAGGCAAAUUGGAGAUACGCAAUCUGGAACUAGUAAAGGGUAAAGAAGGAGCUGAGGAAGCAAAACUAUCUGAAAAGGCAAAUCUAUUUAGGCUGGAACUUAAGUGGGCCUACAAUCGAGAAGGCGACAACUACAAUGACGAAUUUGCCAGGUGACAUGCUACACUCUUGUAUCUCUCUCCAGAAGCUUCGGGUAAUUUUUUGCGGCAAUCUUAUCUCCUUUCCGCUUGAUUUGUAACAAACGCCUUCUCUCUUGGAGCUGGAAUUAUUUGAUUGUCUCAAACUAAAAACAAGCAUGACGCCCAAAGGAUUUGGUUUCCUAACCAGCUCAAAGGAGCUUGUAUUUGGUCCCUUCUUAGAUGAUGGUGAUGGUCCCUUCUCUUCAAUUUACAAUGAGUUUGAUUGGUCUGGAUUGAUAUCCUCCUCCUCUUCAUCAUCUGCACUCCGUCAUUUAGAAUUAAUUGGGUUGCCACACAUGGAGUCACUGCCACAUCAGAUCCAAUACUUGACCACUCUGACAUCACUCUCACUAAGUGAGUUUGGAGGUAUAAAAGCUCUGCCAGAUUGGUUCGGAAACUUCGCUGCUCUUGAAUUGCUGUGGUUAACUCGUUUCAAAGAGUUUUGACAUCUACCCUCUGAGGAUGCCAUGAGAAGUCUCACCAAACUAAAACGUCUGUGGGUUGAUGGUUCUCCUCUAUUAAAAGAAAGAUGCACUCCUAAAAGCAGCGGCUCCGACUCCCAGUGGUCCUGACAGGUGCCGAGCCUGUGUAAUAAUAAAAACCUGCCCAAACGAAAGCUAAAUUCUGUAGAUAGCGGUAAGUAAGGUCGAAUCCACAUGGACUGGGGUAAUUCAUUUCUUUAAAAUUCCAAUUAGCAACAGGGGGUUUUAUCGGGAUGGAACUAAAAAUAAUUAAAUAAUUCAACCAAAACAAGCAAUUAACUAGUACGAAAAUAGACAGGGAUUAAAUCAAGAAUAGAUAAAUUCUAGCCAAGGAUACAACUAUUCAGACACAGUCCAUUCAUCCGAUCAGUGAUGCAAAGAAUGUUCACUUAAUUUUAUUAACAGGUCAGUUAUAGUUGCCGACGAGCUCUGACGACCAAUUUUUCCUUAAUUUAUUGAUAACCAAGGUACGACCAUUGAUUACCACUAACUAGAAAAUACUCCUAGGUACGACCGUAGGAAUUAAUUCCCCAAUUGCAUUAAGAAAUAGAAAAACAUAACCUUAAUCAAUAACACGCUACGAGGGUUAUUUAAAUCAGAUCGCACGUUCCCCUAGGGUAUAAAAAUGCUAGUUGCCACUAAUAUUAAUCAAUUUAAACAAUUACGGGUUUAAUUGACUAACUUGGCAGGAGAUUAAUAACUCGCAUUGAAUAUCGGGCCCUUGACAUUCAAUUAACAAAAUAAUCCCGUAGAAAUUCAAAUAGACAACGUGCAAAUAUUAACAAAUUAAGGAACACAUGAAAAUUAAUUCGAUCUCACAGAUAUUCGGGACUGCGUCAUCGCGUUAAUCCUUGACUAGAUGGAAAGUUUAACCACGCCGCAUAAAUAAAUCUCCACGCAAAUUAAUUGAUUGCAAAGGCAUCACGUUUUUCACUAGAAAGUAAGAAGUCAAAGCUGUUUUCCAAAAGGGAAUAUCGUCGAGCAGUUCGUACGCAUGAAAAGGGAACAGGAAAGAAAACUAAAACUAUCGCUAAAACCAAGACCCAAGCCCCUGUACGUUUGCUUCUAAAACAAAUUGACUAAUUCUCCAGUGGUCCUCGCCAAAAUUGAAAGUAAAAGGAAGUACAAGAGGUGCGGCUCUGUCGAAGUCCUUGUUUUUAGUUUCCUCUUCAUAGGAAAACUCCUAGUAGCAACUUUUCUAAUCAGCAAAGGAAAUGCAAUCCGUCUGUAGCACCAUGUGGGCCAGGGUCCAUGAAGCUUUUAGGAGUCUCCCACGUGUGGAGCAAUUUUCUCCAACAGGUCCCCCUUUUUAGCACUUUUCAGUCAUCUUCCUGUAGAUCGGUCCAAAUAUCAAAUAUAAAUAUAUAUAUUAACACUUCAAAACAAUAUUUGGUAAGGAUAAAUGGGAGAAAUUAACAAUAAAAUUGUUAACAAUUAACACCCUAUCAGGUCCAAAGUUUCUCACAUUCAAUACCUAGACAUAACCGAUUAAUAAUCACUCAUCUUCAGAUCAAAUUCAAUCAUGUAAGAUUGCCUCUUACCAACUUUCUUAAUUUGCUUUACAAUCAAUCUCCCCUUCUCUUCACCUCCCCCUCUAAUUAACCUUCUCGUGAGAAAACCUAAAAAGUCCCAAUGUUUAUUCUUCACAAUUUUCUCUUCUCCCUUUUUAUCGUCCCAUUUAUUAUCUUUCAAAGUUACAGCAUUAGCAUUUCUUAUCAGGUCCAAAACAUUGUUGCUCCUCAUUUACUCCUUACAACAAAACACUCUUGUAACUAUCAAUUAGAAUGACUUCAAGCACCUAUCCCAUUUCGUGCUUUCAUGUUUUACUGUAUCUCUGUUCAUAUUCUGUUCUACGCUUUGUUUUUGUAGGAUUGAUAGAAGAAUAGCUUCACGAACAGAGGUUAGAAUUUUGAAGCUUCUUCACACCAUAACUUUUGGCCUGUAUUUCCUACAAAUGACCUAUCAACGUUUAGAACAGCUAGCAGUAAUUGCUCAUUCAAUUGCAAACCCAGUAUCUUGGACAGAAAUGUUUAUGAUGGCCCUUUUUUCUUUCAUAUUGCUGCCUCAAAUGGCCAAAUAUCCUUAUUGUCGAAGCUUGCACACUAUCAAUCCGCCAUUUCAGUCACGAGGUCUAGCAAUAAGAAUUUACCUGCUAUGUUACUACAAAUUUUCUCUUUUUUUCCUGACUUCUUGUCCUUGAAACUAGUUGUUACCUAAUUGCAGAAAGUUUUCAGUCUAUGUUUUUGAUUGCUCAAGACUGUCAGCUGGCCUGUACGAGCUGCUCGGAAAAAAUUCAUUGCCCUAGCUUAUUGGAUGUUUUUGAAUAAUUAUCAUCACCAGGACUUUUUGAUGAAGAUUUGCCUUCAUGAAGAUUCUUGAGGUAGUAAUUGGUUGCUACUCUCUAGGAAUUCGCUUCAUGAAGAUUCUUGAGCUGUCUCUGCUUGUCAUGUUUUUUGGUUGUAACAAUUUUUUUUAAAUUACUCAACCGGUCAUUUUUUGGACUUUUUGGGCACAAAUUGGAACAAUUUGCAUGACAAUACUUGGUUCUUGUAGACUGACCAGAAAGAUUUUGUAUCUGCUUACUAAUUUAGGUUUGAUAUCAAUGACAAAAUCUCUCGCUCUCUUUCUCUCUCUCUCUAACUUUCUGUAAGAUUUGUUGAACAGAAAUGUCCUGCAAUUACCCGGAUUUUCUAGUUAGCUUUAUGAUUUUCUAUACACUGUCUUGAGUUUUGAGUAUUCUAUUUUGCAAUGGUGUUAUGCUCAGAGCUCACGGGAGACCUCAAUGGCUUAAUUACUGCCAUACGUAUCAAUAUCCCAUUAUUCCUUCUUCAACCACAUCAUUUUCAAAUUGGAGACAAACAUAUAGAAUGACACUCUCUUUCACUUCUAAGUGACUGAGAUGGCCAAAGCCUGAGAUCUACGGUGAUGCCUUCAACCUGUUGGCCAUGACAUGAGGUAGUAAUUCAUCAAUUAUGGACCUCAUUUGCUAUUCUGUCUCAUACUGCUUGCCUCUCAAAUUAGCUGCAAUUUAGUUGCAGAAAAUUGUUAGUCUGUCUUUAUGACUGCUUAUUGUCUGUUAGUUGACCUCUGCAAGCUACUCACCACCCUUCUUGAAGUUGUAUCUUAGCUCCUUUAGAUACAACAUGAUUUUAUGAGCUUGCCUGUUCUCUUUUUGCAGUUAAAAAUCGUAUGUCUAGAAUGAUGCUCUUACUUUAAGAUUCAUAGUUAUUCCAAAAUUACUGGGUCUAUAUGAUGUUGAUUAAAUCUUAUGUUGGUAGUCGCUUGACCAAAAAGAAGAAUUGCAUGAAGUUGUUCUUUUCAAUUUUGUCUGGCGUCUUUCUUAGGUUUCUGUAUCUUGAUUGAAAGUUAUAGGUACUUCAUAAACAUUACCAUAAAUAGGUGAUGCUUACAUGUCUUCAAUGGAAGCUUGACUUAAUAUCUUGUUUGUGCCUGAAUAACCAAAGGCACAAGAUUUUCUUGGGUGACCAAAGCAAGUUCUGCAUAAAAGAGUGAUAGGUUGCAAUUUUAUUAUUUAUUUUAUUAUUAAUUUCCCCUAUUACCUGAUCUGAUGUGGAUUAAUUGUUACAUUCUACUCACUUUUGAAAAUUUACAUUUAUUACAGGGAGUAGAACGAAAAUACCAUAACAAGUGCCAAUUUGGCAGUCCUCAGGGAAGAGUUCAAGUAACAGGCGUCCAGGGGCAUUUUUGGAAUAUGAAGACGCGACCCUUUUUGGUAAUUUGCAGAAGAUAGCAUUGAAAAAAGAAUGAAAGGCUGAAGUUUUUCUCUCCACGGGAGCCGCCGCACAGUAGUAGUUGACUACUUAGAUAGGAAAUAGAAAUAGUAGAGGAGAAGCACUACCCUGGAGUUUUUUAAGCUUUGACUUUUCUUUUUGAUUCUUGGUAGCUCUUUGCUCAGCACGAAUGUCAGGGGCACUGGAAGAAUUGAAUGAUUCCCUAUAGUUUUCCUCUUUUGACUUUUGCCUUUCAUCCUUAGUAGUUUUCUUCUCGUAUGUCUAGACAACUAGAAAGAAUUGGAUCAAUUGCUGUAGCUUGCCUUUCCCAUUGAUUGAAAUGAAUUGAAUUCUCCCAAUUUCGGAGACAAUGGCCGCUACUCUCUCUUCAAUUUUGUGUGGGUGUUCCUCACUAGGGAUGAACUAAAUCCCUUUUUCUAGUCAAGGAACAACGGAGGUUUUGGUGCGCCUAAAAAUUGUAAGAUCGAUUUAAUUUUAUCAUUUUCUUUUAUUUAUUGGUAUUCUCAUAUUCCCUAAUCGCAGUGCUUAUAGUUAUUUAAUUGAUUGAUUGUCUUAGAUCCGGAUAAUUAGUUAAUUUGGUAAUCUAUUGUCAAUUAGGGCAUUAAAUCUGUAAUUGUUUAAUUGCCCUGAAAUAGUGACAACUGGCACGAUUAGAUUUGUGUUACAGGGAUACGCGAGCUAAUCUGAAAUAACCCUGGUAGUGUGUUAUUUGAUUAGAAUAGGGCUUCUCUAAUACGUAAGGCAAUUGGGGAAUUAAAUCUUAACGGGCGUACCUAGGAUUAUUUCUCAAUUAGAGCAGUGAUUAACGGGCGUACCUUAAUCACCGACACCGUAAGGAGGAGUUGACUGUCAUCGCUUGUUUGGCAGUUAUAAUCUUUUUAUUAAUAAACAAUUGGAAUUGCCUUUGCAUCGAUGAUCAAUUGGGUAAACCAUUACUGAAGUUAUUUUUUGGCUAGACCUUUAAUUAUCAUUACUCUAAUUUUAGUGAAUUGUCAUUUAAUUUUUUGUUGGCUAUUUUAUUUUUAGUUAAAUUGUUUUAAUUGUCAUUCUUUAUGCAAAAACACCCCGUGUGUUACUUUGGAUUUCUAAAGAGACAAAUAUCCCCAAUCCUUGAGGAUACGACCCUACUUGUCCUAUUUACAAAUUAAUAAUUAUUUGUGAAAAAAUCAUCCCAUUCGGGUAUAUCAGAUCAAGCAAACUAUUCGGGAAUAGGGUGAAUCAAGUAACUCAUUGCACACCUAGAGUCCCUGCUUCAGUACUUGGAAUCAGAUUUUGGUUACUUUAAUUGGCAAUUAGAUUUAAUUUUAUUAUUGCACAGGUUUCGACAACCAGUCAAUUUUUGAUUCCCCCCACACCUAAACCAUACUUGUUCUCAAGUAUAAGAACAACAGACAAACACCAAUAUUUGACAAUGGCUAUUGCUCUUUCUACCAUAUUGCCAAGAUAUCAAGAAAAAUAUAUAUCAAGCAUCAGUGAUCAAAAUUCGAGAAAUAUUACCCCGGUUAGCUUCUAGACCACAAACUCCUUCAAUUCCAGGUUAACUAAUCUAAGAAAAAGGAAUGGCGCACAACAUUUAUCAGCAAAUGGUCCACUAUUAACCAAAAUCUCAACAUGAAAUCCAUAAAUCGGCAAACUGACUUAUAUCACACACUAACUCAACCUUCACUUUUUUUUCACGCUGUUUAUAUAUAUAUAUAUUUUUUCAAUAGCACAAAAGACUUAGUCUCUAGCCAUUGGAGCCUUUUGACCGAGUUCUAACAUUUGUCAGAUGAAAGAACCCGGUUACUCAGCUCCUAUUGCCACGCGACCACGUACUCAUAGUAAUUACUACUUUUUGACGCGAGAAUCGACAUUUUUGGUGAAGAUCCCCGGUUACUCAGUAGUAACAGCUAGAGGAGUACAGUCAACUCUUAUUUAUAUCCCAACAACACAAUAACUCGAAAUAACACAGCAUAAACAAACAAAAACAGCAGCCGCUAGCCUCAUUUCUUCAAAAAUGGAGAACUAAAGUUAAUAUUGGACCAAUUCACAUGAAAAUGCCAAUAAUCAUUCCCUAUGCCAACAAUCAUUCUUCAAUAUGGUAGAAGUGAAACCAAUUAACUAAUCAAGUAACAAUGUAAAAGAUUAUUUCUAAGAUUAGCUCUGUUUAUUUUUACUAUUUUAUUUUUAGUUGAAUUGCUUUAAUUGUCACCCCCUGAUACGAAAACACAUCCCGUGUUACUUUGGAUUUCAAAAGAGACAAAUAUCCCCAGUCCCUGAGAAUAUGACUCUACUUGCCCUAUUUAUAAAUUAAGAAUUAUUUGUGAAAAAGCCAUCCCAUUCGAGUAUAUCGGAUCAAGCAAACUCUUUGGGAACAGAGUGAAUCAAGUAACCCAUUGCACACCAAGUGUCUCUGCUCCAGUACUUGGGAUCGGAUUUUGGUUAUUUAAAUUGGCAAUUAGAUUUGUUUUUAUUAUUGUACAGGCAUUGACAACCUGUCAAUUUUUGGCACCUCUACCCCUACCUAGAUACACUUUACUGGGUCUAUAUGAUGUUGAGUAAAUCUCAUGUUGGUAGUCGCUUGACCAAAAAUGAAGAAUUGCAUGAAGUUGUUCUUUUCAAUUUUGUCUGGCGUCUUUCUUAGGUUUCUGUAUCUUGAUUGAAAGUUAUAGGUACUCCAUAAACAUUACCAUAAAUAGGUGAUGGUUACAUGUCUUCAAUGGAAGCUUGACUUAAUAUCUUGUUUGUGCAUGAAUAACCAAAGGCACAAGAUUUUCUUGGGUGACCAAAGCAAGUUCUGCAUAAAAGAGAAGUGAAACCAAUUAACUAAUCAAGUAACAAUGUAAAAGAUUAUUUCUAAGAUUAGCUCUCGCUUUAAACUCACGAUUUGCAUCAGGAUGAAAUGAGUUCUCUGCACUUUUGUCCGUGGAAAAUGCAUUUGCAUUUUAUAUUCAUAGCAUACGCAGAAAAUUUGUGAAACAUUUUCUAUAUGUCUUUAGAUCAGCAAUGCUGAUGACACUCCUAUCUUUAAAACUUUCCAAGCUGAUUUUUGUGGUCUCUUGCUUAGACAAACAGAGGUUAGAAUUUUGAAGCUUCUUCAGUAACAUCUAUAUGGAUGGAACUCAAUAACUUUUGGCCCGCAUUUCCUACAAAUAUCCUAUUAAUGUUUAAAACAACUAGCAGUCUAGUUUUGUUUUUUUUAAAUGUCUGUUUCUAUGGAUUUUAAUUUAUUAUUGCUAAAGUCAGCUCACUCUAUUUAAAAUUGUGAUUCUAAGGGGAUGAAAUGGUUUCUCUGAACUUUGACCUCUUGAUAAUGAACUUGCAAACUUAUCUGAACUAAUUGAUUAGUAAUUGCUCUAUCAGAGUCAUAUAUGACGGUUGUCUGACUCGCUUUUCCUUCAUUUGGACUUUUGAGCCAUGAAGACAAUGGUCAAUUGAGGAGUUUUCGUAGCUGUUAGUCAUCACUUUCAUGUUUUGGUUCAAAAAUUCUGGUAAUUUUAGAUAUGCUUCUCUUCUUUCACUACUCCAUUUUGACUUUUAACCACUUUAAUAUGUAAUAUAUCACAUAUAAAACAAAAGAAAUCUUGCACAAAACUUGGUGGAGUAUCUUCCAAGAUUCUUGUCUAAGUGGAAUAUUUUGAAGCAUUUUGGUACUUUCAGCUCUUAAUGAAUCCACCUUGAUAAAGGCUCUUAAGCUCUCUCUGCUUUUAUGAUUGUUGGUUGCUUCUUUUUUUUUAUGGUAAGUUUCUCCUUUUGGGGCUUCAGUUACAAUGAUAGAAAACCUGCAAUUAUCUGAAAAUUUCCAUUAGCUUUAUUCUGUCCUGAAAGUCGUCUUGAGUUUGAGUUUUUGUGCUUUGCUGUGAUUUUAGCACAAAGCUUAACAGGGAACCUAAUCGAUGGCUCUUACUGUCUUUACUUUUUGAAAGUCCUGCAAUUCCUUGCUGAACAAGAUCCUGCUUCAGUUGAAUAGUGACAUCUAGGAUGGCAUUCGCUUUCGCUCUGUGCCUCAGAUGGCCUAAGUCUAAGAUAUCCAUUGGGGUAGGUUCUUUUAAACUGUCCAAACGAUUCAGUGAUAUUUAGUCAUGAUAAUGAGGGGCUGAUGUACAUGUUUUAGGAUUCAAAUUGUCAUCUGUGGCAUACUGCUCACAUUUAGAAGUUAGAACUAACUGGUGUUUUGGUAGCAGUUAAAUAUGGAUCCCCAUAGCUCUACUGUUCCUCAGCGGCCCAUAGCUCUACUGUUCCUCAAUGCCUCAAUGUAAAGUGCAAAUUGCCUAUCAUUAUUUUCAAGCUUAUGAUUGUGCUUACUUGCUUUGUGGUUGGAACCAAACCACUAUAAUUGUAAAUACGACUCAGUACUUGCUUAUCCAUUUAGUUUCAUAACAAACAAGACAUAUUUUAGCCUUCUGUAAGAAUGACAGAACAAAACUAUUGUCAAAUUUUCUGAACUUUCUGAUUAGCUUUCUUGUUCACAUAUUGUCUGAACAUGUUGUCUGAUUAGCUUUCUUGUUCACAUAUUCUCUGCAAUGAUCUCAGGCUUAAAUGUCAACAGAAAUCUACAAUUGCACUUACUUACUGAUUGAAUUACACAGCUUGUAACUUUUGAAAACUUUGUUGAAUCAAAUCCUGUUUCAAUUGGACAGAAAUGAUUAGGAUGGCACGCUACAGGCACACUUUUCUUUCUUCCUAGUGCCUAAAACCUGAUAAAAUGCUCUAUCUUUGUCAGCUGGCCUCUACAAAUUGCUUCUUUCCCCAACUUAUGUAAUGUCUUUCAAGAUCAGGAGCCAUCAUUACUGUUAAUGUGGCAUUGUCCCACAUCGGCUUUUGUAUGAGGGAACUCUUCCCUUAGUUGCCUAUAAAUAUAGUAGGCCUGUGAUGGGGUUAAGGGCACCAAAACCAAGAGAGCAUUAGUGGGCUAUUUGAGCCUUUGGGUCAUUAAGCCUUUUAUUUAGUUAAAUACUUUUGGGCUCUCUUGUGUUUUAGUAUUAGGUGUUUUAGGCCUAGAAACACUUUCCUAAGGCAUCUUUUGUACUCUUUUCUUCAUAGUAAAAUAUUGCUCCUCCUCCGCCCGUGGACGUAGGUCAAUUUGACCUAACCACGUAAAUUCUUGUGUUCCUAUUUUACUUAUUUCUGCUUUGUUAUUUGUCUUUUGGGAUUACCAAAAAUCCUUUCGUCAAUUUUCUGGGGUCAGACCUAACAAAUUGGUAUCAGAGCUUCUUCGGAGGCUUUGAAUUUUGUGGCAACAAUGACAAUAACAAAGACUGUCGUCGAGAAAUUCGACAGGAAUGUCAACUUCGGGAUGUGGCAACUCAAGAUGGAGGCCAUUUUGGUUCAAGAUGGAGUUAAUCUAGCGAUACACGGAAUUGAGAAAAAAUCAGAGAGUAUGACAGAAGCAAAUUUUGCUGAAAUGGAUAAGAAGACAAGGUCCAGUAUUAUCUUAAAUCUCUCUGAUGAGGUUUUGCGGGAGGUAGCCACUGAGACUUUGGCAAAGGCCAUGUGGGACAAACUUAAGGUCUUGUACAUGAAGAAGACAAUUGAGAAUCGGAUUUAUUUAAAGCAAAGUUUGUAUAUGUUUCGCAUGACUGAAGGUACAUCUAUAUUCUCACAUCUUGAUAAAUUUGAUUCCAUUAUUAUGAAUUUAGGGAACAUAGAUUCAAAAAUUGAUGAUGAGGAUCAGGCCUUGUUACUUUUGUGUUCCCUUCCCCAAUCUUUUAAACAUUUUCGCGAUACUAUGAUUUAUGGAAAAGAAAUAAUUUCGUAUCGGGAAAUUAAAUCUGCAUUAAAAUCUAAGGAGCAGAUAUACAGGGAUAUUACUGAGAAAUUUAGUGGAGGCCAUGCAGAAGGUCUGGUUAUUAGGGGCAGAACUGAGAGAAGAGAAUUUGAUAAAAGUAGAUCUAAAUCUAGAUCUAAAUCCAGACAUAGGAAUGUGGAGUGCAAUUAUUGUCAUAAAAUGGGGCACAUUAAGGUAGAUUGUUUCAAAUUGAAAAAUAGAUUGAAACAAAAGGGAAAACCUGGUGAGAAAAAUAUUGAAACUGCCGAAACUGGUGUUGCAGCUGAUGAGAAUGAAGGAAGUAUUUUCUUUGUGACUGAUGACAGGACAAGGUCUAAAAAUGAAUGGAUUUUAGAUUCGAGGUGCUCUUAUCACAUGUGUCCCAAUAAGAAUUUAUUUUUCACUUAUGAAUCUUAUAAUGGUGGAAUUGUUUUGAUGGGCAAUAAUGCCACUUGCAAUGUUGUUGGUAAGGGUACAAUUCGAAUUAAAUGCAUGAUGGUAUUGUAAGGAUGCUCACUAAUGUUAGACAUGUUCCUGAUUUAAAAAAGAAUCUUAUCUCUUUGGGCACCCUAGAGGUUCUUGGGUGCAAAUACACAGCUGAAAAUGGCGUUCUGAAGGUUUCUAAAGGUGCUCUCGUUGUAAUGAAAGCUUGCAGGGUUGGUAGUUUAUAUGUUUUGCAGGAAUCUACUGUCACAGGUUCGGUUGCAGUUUCGUCAUCAUCAUCUUUAUCUGAUUCUGACAUCACUAAAUUGUGGCAUAUACGUUUGAGACAUAUGAGCGAGAAAGACUUGGGCAUACUAAGCAAAAGGGGAUUUCUUUGCGGUCAGAGUACUGGGUCACUGGAAUUCUGUGAAUAUUGUAUCUUUGGGAAGCAAAAAAGAGUUAGCUUCAGUUCUUCAGCAAUUCAUAAGAUGAAAUGUACUCUUGAUUAUAUUCAUUCAGAUUUAUGGGAUCCAUCUCGUGUUCCGUCUAAGGGUGGUGCCAGGUAUAUGUUGACUUUCAUUGAUGAUUAUUCAAGAAAAGUUUGGGUGUAUUUUCUUAAACAUAAGAAUGAUGUUUACCUCACUUUCAAGCAAUAGAAAGUUUUGAUUGAGAAAUAGACAGGUAAACAGAUCAAGCGGCUUAGAACAGAUAAUGGCAUGAAAUUUUGUGAAAAAGAAUUUCAUGAAUUUUGCAAGAAUGAAGAAAUUGUUCGGCAUCACACUAUCAGGAUGACACCUCAACAAAACAGUGUGGCUGAACGUAUGAACAGAACAUUUUUGGAGAGAGCGAGAUACAUGAUCUCUAAUGCAGGGUUGGUAAAGGAUUUUUGGGAUGAGACAAUUUCUAUGGCCUGUUAUAUUGUCAACCGUGCUCCUUCUGCUACUCUUAAUUUCAAAACUCCUGAAGAAGUUUGGUCAGAUACUCCUGCUGAUUAUUCUGAUUUUAAAAUUUUUGAGUGUCUAGCAUACAUACAUGUAAAUGAUGGAAAAUUGGAAUCUCGAAUUAAAAAGUGUAUUUUUCUUGAGUAUGCUUCUGGGGUGAAAGAUACAGAUUAUGGUGUCUUGAUCCUAAAUUUCCAAAAUUUAUAAUCAGUAGAGACGUUACUUUUGAUGAAUUCUCUAUGUUAUCUUCCAAGAAAGAGUCUUCUAGUUCUUGUCACACAGAUGAUAGUAUGCAGAAUCAGGUGGAGCUUGAGAUUGGUAGUUCUGGUCCUUCUAUUCAACAAGUGCCAGUAGAUGCAUCUGAAUCUACUAAUAAAAAUAAUUCAGAAAAGGAAGAAUAUUCCAUUGCCAGAGAUAGACCAAGGAGGAAUAUUCGACCACCACAAAGAUAUGCAAAUUUGGUUGCAUAUACUUUGUCUAUCGCAGAAGAAACUGAUGUAGUUGAUGAGCCUACUACUUAUUCAGAUGCGAUUUUUUGUGAUGAUUUUGCUAAGUGGUUGUUUGCGAUGAAUGAAGAAAUUGAGUCUCUCCAUCGAAAUGAAACUUGGGUUCUUGUGAAAUCGCCUCCAGAUAAGAAAAUUAUUGGAUGCAAAUGGGUUUUCAAGAAAAAAGAAGGUAUUCUAGAGGUUGAUGAUGCAAGGUACAAAGCACGUUUGGUUGCAAAGGGCUCUAGUCAGGUACAAGGUGUUGAUUUCAAUGAAGUAUUUUCACCUGUUGUUAAGCAUAACUCUAUUCGUGUUUUGCUUGCUUUAGUUGCCAUGUAUGUUUGGAGUUGGAGCAGUUUGAUGUUAAGACAGCUUUCUUACAUGGUGAACUCGAAGAAAAAAUUUAUAUGAAACAAUCUCAGGGAUUUGAAAUUGAAGGAAAGGAAGACCAUGUUUGUUUAUUAAAGAAAUUCUUAUAUGAAUUGAAACAGUCUCCAAGACAGUGGUAUAAGAGGUUUGACACUUUUAUGUUGAGUCGUGGUUAUUCAAGGAGCAUGUAUGAUAGUUGCAUUUACUUCCGAAAGUUAGAUUAUGGUUCUUUUAUUUAUUUGCUGCUUUAUGUUGAUGACAUGCUCAUUGCUGUCAAAAAUUUGUUAGAAAUUCAUACUUUGAAGUUGCAGUUAAGUAGUGAAUUUGACAUGAAACAUUUGGGAGCAGUUAAGAAAAUUCUUGGCAUGGAGAUCAAAAGAGACCGAGGAGCUAAAAAAUUAUUCUUGACUCAAGAAAAUUAUCUUGAGAAGGUCUUGGAGAAGUUUGGCAUGAAAGAUGCUAAACCUGUGACUACUCCCCUUACUAGUCAUGUUCGACUAUCUGCUGUUCAGUCACCACAGUCAGUUGAAGAGAAAGAGUAUAUGGCACGGGUUCCUUAUUCCAACGCAGUUGACAGCAUUAUGUAUGCAAUGGUUUGUACUCGUCCAAAUAUUGCACAAGCAGUCAGUGUGGUUAGCAGGUAUAUGUCAUGUCCUGGAAAAGCACAUUGGCAGGCUGUGAAGUGGAUUCUCAGAUACUUUCGAGGGACUUCAAAUUGUAGUUUGGAGUUUGGAAGAAAUAAUGACACUUUGAUUGGUUUUGUAGACUCUGACUAUGCUGGAGAUCUUGACAAGAGAAGAUCAUUUUCAGGUUACGUAUUUUGCAUUGGUGGUUGUGCAGUUAAUUGGAAAGCUACUUUACAACCCGUUGUAGUUUUAUCUACUACGGAGGCAGAAUAUAUGGCCAUGACGGAGGCAGAAUAUAUGGCCAUGAUUGAGGCAAUCAAAGAAGCCUUGCGGUUGAAGAAUAUGUUUGGCGAACUUAGUCUGCAUAAAGGUGUUACUACUAUUUAUUAUGAUAGUCAAAGUGCCAUUCAUUUGACUAAAGAUCAGAUGUAUCAUGAGAGAACGAAACACAUUGAUGUGAAAUUUCAUUUCAUUCGAGAUACUAUUGCUGAGGGAAAAGUUCUUGUUCAGAAAAUCAGUACCAAGGAGAAUCCUGCUGACAUGUUUACAAAACCUCUUCCAGUUUACAAGUUCAAGCAAUGCUUGAAUUGGGUUGGUAUUCGUUGUUGGUGAUUUAGACCCAUUGGGGCUUAUGUGGAGAACGUGGAGCAGUUUUGCUAUUGUUGAUGUUGGGGACACGCCAAGGUGAAGAUUUGUUAAUGUGGCAUUGUCCCACAUCGGCUUUUGUAUGAGGGAACUCUUCCCUUAGUUGCCUAUAAAUAUAGUGGGCCUGUGAUGGGGUAAAGUACACCAAAACCAAGAGAGCAUUAGUAGGCUAUUUGGGCAUUUGGGUCAUUAAACCUUUUGUUUAGUUAAAUACUUUUGGGCUAUCUUGUGUUUUAGUAUUAGGUGUUUUAGGUCUAGGAACACUUUCCUAAGGCAUCUUUUGUACUCUCUUCUUCAUAGUAAAAUAUUGCUCCUCCUCCGUCCGUGGAUAUAGGUCAAUUUGACUGAACCACGUAAAUUCCUGUGUUCCUAUUUUACUUAUUUCUGCUUUGUUAUUUGUCUUUUGGGAUUGCCAAAAAUCCUUUCGUCAAUUUCCUGGGGCCAGACCUAACAAUUACCGUGAAUUUCUGCUGAUGAUCAUGGGGGUUUGGUUGGCGGUAGAGCUUGUAUUAGAGAAACAGAUUGACAAUGAGAAGCUUGCAAAUUUUCAAGAAGUAUUGUAACGUUAGGGAAUUUGUUUUAAAUGGAUUAGUAGAUGUACUUAGUAUCAAGCCUUAUUUCCUGCUCAUCAGUUUUAGAUCAAAGGCAACAAAAAGAAACCCUUUCUCUCUGUAAGAUUCCUAGCUCAAAAAUGACAUGAAAUUUGCUCUUCUAUCUUUAUUGUAAUGCAGGCAAACAUGCCUUCCUGAGAUUUUUAAUCUAAAAGCUCCUCAGCCAACUAAGUACUCUAAAAGUUCAUUUGGUUAUCAAUUCGCUAGAAAAGAAUGAUAAUGCAUUUACAUUCAUGAAAUAGAUUGUCAAAAUCAAAGUUUGAUGGAACACAGAAAAUUAUAGAGAGGCAAUGAUGGACAAAGAUUUUAGGAGUCAAUUUCUAAUUUUUUGUUUCUUCAGGACAACAUACUCCAGUAAAAUCAUUACUAAAUUCUUUUAAAUCUAUCCAAUAUCAGGUGAUAAAUAUUGUAUGGUAAGAUGAUUUUGUUGCAAAAUAUCUGAAGUUUUAAAACGUCUGUUUCCAAGAUGUUGUCUAGUAAUGUAACAGUAAGGACUGAAGAAUUAUUAUUUUGCAAGUUGAUUGCAGGUUGCAAUUAGAGAUCUCAAUCAUUAAUUGUACUACCUUAUAAGCUGUGAAUUUUGGAAGUAAAUUGGCAAUUUUAGAACUUUAGUUUGUCAAAGCUGAAAACUCAAUAGAUGUUCAAGAGCAAGUUAUUUGAUGUGGAGUGUGGACAGUUUAACACGAUGACAGUUUAACACUGUACAAAAUUCUUUUUUUUUUUUAAAUAAAAACUAACAGUUUACUUUUGCUCAUCUCAUAUGUCUGCUACUUCCAGUUUACUUUUGUAUUUCCAUCAUGUCUGCUAUUUCUCUUUAAACUUGAGAUUCUACCGGGAUGGAAAUGCUUGCUCUGAUCUCUUUUAAAUAUAUAUAUCAUCUUGCUCCAAAUUAUGUGAUAAUUGGUAUUCUUAUUAUGUCUCUUAAAUGAUGGGAUUCGACAUAAUUGCUCCAAUAUAUUUAUCAUCUUUCUUUAGCUUUGAUCUCUUGACCUAAAUCCGAUGGUCAAUCGAGUUACUCUCACUGCCUUUGGUUGUGAAUUGGUGGUCUGAUAAUUUAUAAUAUCAACAAUCUUCUUCCAUUACUUAAUGUUGGGUUAAGCAGUUUAAUAACCAAUGCAUUAACUAUAACCUUCAAAAAUUGUCAUGUUAAGAUGUUUUUCAUCCUCUACUGAAGUUGUCAUAUGAGAUUUUAAGAGUAAAAUAGUUGUAAUUAGCUCUGCCUGUUGCAUCUUGCAGUCUCAAAGAGAUAGCCUUCAUGGCAAUUCUGAGGCUCUCUUCCUUUCAUGCUUGUGGUGCCACUCAUUGUCAUUAUUGUUAUAGAACUCCUCCUUUUUCAGUGUUUUGAACAAAAACUAAUAUAGUUUCUAUGAUACUUCUGGUACUUGUAGACUGACCAGAAAGAUUUGAUAUCUUCUUGCUGAUUUAGGUUAGAAAAGAACAACAAAAACAAAUAUUGAUUUAGCUUUCUGAAUAAUUGACUAAACAUGAAUGUCAUGCAAUUUCCAUUUUUCUGUUUUGAAGUGACUAGGAGUUUUGUUUUGUUGAUUUUAUAUAUCUGCUUUUGUGGAUGUAAGAUGUGAUUGCUAAAGUGAUCAGCUCUCUAGCUUAUGAUUCUAGAGGGAGUAAAUAGUGGCUCCAAAGUUUAAUGGCCCCUUGAAGGCACAUUUAUCAAGCUUCUUGAACCAUUUGAUUAGUGAUUUGUUCGAUAAGUCUUGUAAAUGAUGGGUUUCUGUCUCACUUUUCGUUGGUUGUGAUUUUCUAGCCCGAAAGAUUUCAGGAGUUUCCAGAGCUGUUGGUCAUCAAAUUGGGUUUUGGUUCUAAGAGUCCAGUAAGUUCAGAUAUACUACUCUUCUUUUACUACUCAAUUUUGACUUUUAAAUACUUUGAUUCUGAAUAUAUUACAACUAAAACUUGAGAAAUCUUCUCGUAAUGGAAGAUGUUUUUGGAGCAGCCAUGGAAGAUGUUUUUUCAGAGCAUCUUCUAACACAAUCAAGUCUAAGCUGCAAGUUUUGAAGCAUAUCGCUGUGGUUAGUCGAGACUGCCAAGCAUGCUUGUUGGCUGCAAUUAUUUAAUCCGCUCUGAUGAUGGCUAUUAAGCUCAUUCUACCACCUAUACUUGUUGAUAUUGCUCAUCUCUUCAUGGUAAGUUCUUAUUUUAGUGUUUCAAAUACAACAAAAAUGUCAUGCAACUAUGUGCUGGCUUUAUUCUUGACUACAUGCUGUCUUGAGUUUCUUAAGUUUGAUUUUUUGUGUUUUACAGUGAUUUUACACUCGAAGAUCAACAUUAACCUUGAUAGCUCGCUCUUACUAUCGUUUGUAAUGAAGUCCUGUGAUCCCUUGUUGAACCAGAUCCUGAUUCAGUCAGAUCAGAUGAAAACAUCCGGGAUGGAAUUCCCUUUUGCUCUCUGCCUCGGAUGGCCAAAGCCUGCGAUCUUCCUUGUCGGCUGGUGAUUUUAAACUGUCCAACCGAUUCAGCAAUUUGUAGACAGGUUAAUGAGGUGUUCUUUUACUUCUUUUGGAACUCAAUUUGCUAUAUCUUCCGUGCUGCUUGUAGUUCAAAGUAGCCAAUAUUUUGCAGCAGAAAGAUGUGGAUUAGCUGAACCCUGCUAGAUAACUUUCAUCCUUCUUGAAAGUUGUAUCUUAGCUGAAAAUUAAUAGAAAAGAAAAUAAACAUAUUUGACAUUUAAAAUUUCAAAUCAAUAUUACCUUCACCACCAUAAAUCCAGCAUAUUUCCUUUCCAAAAAUCAAGAAUAUUAAAUUUCUUAUCUCUUAGAAGUAAUUUCUCCUCCAAGUAAAUACCUAAUUGGGACUUGGAAAUAGAUGCCUCAUGUUGGCUAUUAUAGGAAUGAAACUCCAAAUCUAACUCAUCUCUUAUUUCACCAUCAUUUUCAGCAUUAGCAAUCCUAUCUUGGGAUUCUAAACAAGCAAGAGACUGGCCUUGUAAAUAUACCUCAAGCAAUGCUUCUAACUUGUCUUUAAGAUUUUUAACCUUUUCCUCAGCAGUCAAAGGAUCAAGCUUUUCAAAACAAAAUUGCAAGUAGCGUAAUUUAUACCUCGGGUCCAAAAUGAAAGCCAAAGAUAGAAUGACACUGUAGCAGUCCCAAUACUUUUUAAACUUCUCAUUCAUAAACUCAGCCAUACCAUGUAUAAAAUCAUCAGAACUAUGAAGAUUUUUUCGAAUCAACAAUUCUAUUCUCCACACCUUGAGAAAAUACAAAUUUGCAGUAGGAUAAUAUGACCCAGAAAACAGUAAUGUCAUUUCAUAAAAAGGUUGUAAAAAUUCAGCAACCUUCUUAAUCUUCAUCCACUCAUAAUCUGAUGGGCAGUGUUCGUACAGUCCAUCUACUCUCUGCAAACGAUGAAAUGCUGCUCGAUAAGGUAACGCACUAUCCAACAUCAAAUAAGUGGAAUUCCACCUUGUUGGCACAUCUUGUUGUAAUUUCUUGCUAGCAUCCAAGGAAACAUAUUUCACACAUUCAGCAAAUUUCAUGCCUCUCAUCUCCGAACCUCUAACAAAUUUGACACACUCUCUAAUCUUGACCACAGAAGAAUCAAUAGCUUUAAGACCAUGCUGAACUAUCAAAUUUAAAAUAUGUGCACCACAACGCACAUGAAGAUGGUCACCAUUACAUAUUAAAGAAUCUAUCACCAAAAAAUGAUCCUUUAGUGCUUCUAUUAUCCCACUUUGGUAACUUGCAUUAUCUAAUGUAACACUAAAAUUUUUUCGCUCAAUACCCCAUUCCUUCAAAAACUGAAUCAACGGAUCACCUAAAAAUGGACCAUUAUGUGGGGGAGGUAAGUGGCGAAAAAUCAAUACUUUUUUUCUCAAAGUCCAACUCUCAUCAAUAUAGUGUCCUGUCACAGCCAUGUAGCCAUCUGUAGUUAACGAACUCCAUAAAUCUGAAGUUAAACAAAUCCUACCAGGAAUCAUCUCUAAUUCCUUUUUUAAUUUUUCCUUUUCCCUAUUGUAUAAUUUUAAUAUAUCAGACUUGGCUGUAUUUCUUGAGAGAGUUUGGACAGUUGGAUUCAAAAAUUUGUGCAAGUCUCUUAUACCUUGAUGUUCUACAAAGCUAAAAGGAUAGUUAUGCCGUGCUAUUGCCAAAGAUAUAUGCUCUCGAUACACGUCAUGGUCAACCAUCAAGUAUUGUGUUGCUUGUUCUUUGCUAUUCGAACAUCCUCUAGAUAUGUGAUGGUUCAUUCUUGACGUACCUGAUAUGCCGUCUGCCAGUAAUACAGCACCACAUAACAUACAUUCAGCUCUUUGUCUUCCAUCAGGAUCAACCUCCUUUUUUUUUGAAAACAUCCCAAACUUUAGAAUAUCUUCCUCGCUUAGAAGAACUUGCAUGGCUUGCUUGACUAUAGUCAUCUUCAGGUUCUAAACUACCUUGUUGAUCCAUUGGAACCUAUUAAAUAGCAUGAACACAACCCAAAAAAUUACAACCACCUAGAGCAAUACGAUUAGAAUCAGAAAAUUAUGUUGCAUCAGCUCAUAAAGAGAGAGGAAUCUGUCUGGAAUCAAUGUUCCAUUUUAUCAUCAUGAUAUUUAUGUCAUAGACAUAUAACAAGAGCUAUUCGUGUCAUUUUAAGUAAAGGUAGCGAACAUGUUCUAUAUAUCUACAUGUCCAGUAUACUAAUUGCGGUCUCAUUUUGUUGUAAAGUACAUAAGAAUCAACAUUGCAAUUUACACCAUAAUAUUCAGUGUAAUAAAGUCAAGUCUAUUCACCUAAUAGAAAUCACGAUAAUCACAUAAAAUCAAUGGCAUAAUAAACUAAAUGAUUUGUAAAAUGGAACUUGAAUAAAAACAAGGAAUCCAAAUGGACCCACAGGAAUUUCUCAUCAAGAGGGGCUAUGCAUCUUGGAUAAAUAAAUGUGCAGAUUAUUUGAUUUACACCAAUCUUUAAUAUAAAAAUACAACACUAAUUUAGGAGAAAGCUUUUAGAGUUUUUAUCAUUAAAGUUUAUAGUUGAAAGGGUUCAAACCGUCACUGUCCUUUUCCUCUGCUUUUCCCUUGCAGCAGAACAAGGUCGGCUUGUAACCCUUUUCACUGGUUUGAAAGGAGAAUCCAGCAAACAAAAGGAAAGUGCUGGCAAACCUGUAGUAUUACAACACGUACAAGUCAUACCUCCCUUUAUGCAAUUCCAAAGAUAUUUUAAUGUAACAAAGGGGAUUCAGAGCCAUUGAAAAAUGUUACUCUGGGGAAACCAAAGGAAGAAAUAUCAUAGCAAUUGAAAAGAUUGAAAAUGGUCUUGCCUCAAGAUUGGGAACAGAGCCUGAAGGCCGCAGAAUGGAGUUGUAAUCCAGCAAAUCAGCCUCUACAAAAAAUUUACAGCAAUGCCCACAUCAUCAAAUAGCGAAGCAGACAAUUCACAGCAGGUACUUUUCUAUAUUUCCUCAAUUAAACAUAUUUCUUAUCCUUCACAACACAUUUACAGCAAUUCCCACUACAUCAAAUAGGAAAAUACCCAAAUAUAAACAAGAAAACCGAGUAAAUUAGGAAGGAAGGGAUAUGAGGAUGAAAUAACUACCGGGAGAGCGGAGGUCGGAGUAGCCGUGGAGAGCAGAGGAAGAGGUGGAGGAAUCGUUGAGGGCUGCGGAGGAAGAAAGGAGAGGAGUUUCGAAAUAUAUUUUUUGGGAAGAUAUUUGGGCCCGUGGGUACCCAAGGAUUUCCCAUCCUUUCCCGUUCAUUAAUGGGUAUAGUUGGGAUGUGUCCCAACUUAAACCCAACACCAAAUUAUAAUACCCAUCCCGCCCAAAGUCCCUUUGGGCAUGGGUAGCCCAUUGGGACUUGGGACAAAUUGCCAGCUCUAGUUACUGUGUAAAGUAAGUGUCAUACUUUCACGGUUUUAAAUAAAUUAUUGGCUCAUAUCGAUACUUAUCCAAUCUAACAAUUUCUAUGUUGCUUAAUUAAAUUCUGAGUAGCCUACCUUGUAUUGGCUAAUAUUCUCUAAGUGAUCUUCAAUAUUAAGUUCUAAACAAUAUUUGUAAAAAGCAUGAAAGUUUUCAAUUCCAAAUAAUUUUCAUGCAAAUCUUGACUCUAUUUGAUUGCAAAUGUUUUAUAUUCUAAUUAUUCAUAUACACAAAAGCCAAGAUAAUAAAAUUAGGAGUUAGAGUUUUUGGUGUUAGAAACACUCUUAGCAGAAACACAAAUUUGGUGAUUUUAGAAUAUCUUUGUGUUUUAAAAAAAAUAAAACAUUAAAUUUAAGGGGUAAUAUCAGAAACCUCCCUUGAGAUUUCUCUUAAUGUCACGUAGCACCCCUAAAUUUUUAAAAAUAUCACUUACCUCUCUUAUUUUUGUUAUUUGUGUAAAAAAAUUUUAAAAACCCUAAACUACCCUUUUGCUCGCUAAAUAAAAAUACUCCUAAGCCUUUUUUUUAUUUCAAAAAAACCAUCACCUAAAAAAUAAUCUCUAGUAGUACUACCACGUUACAAUGCUAUAGUCCAUAAAAAUAUAAAUUAUAAAUUUAGAAAAAUAAAAAAGAUAUUUGUAAAGAAAUACACUAGCACCAAUUUAACUUAGUAUGUUCAAAAUCGAUUUUUUAUGAAUCUAAUAUUUUUUUCCCAACUUCUUCUCAAUCUGUGUCCAAAAUUUUAAAUCUUACUGAUCAUUAUGCAAAUCAACUCAACAUAAACAAAGAAACCAUACCAUAUUCUAUUACAAUCACAAAAAGCAAAAGAUAGAUAAAAUUCAAUUUACUAUAUAAUUUACAAAUAAAAAAUUGUAUAGUUAACCAAAAAAAAAAGAGUAAGAGAGAAUGCUGAAAAAAGGAGAGAGAACAAAGUGACUUUUGUUUCUUUUCUAUAUUCCAUUUAUUUGAUAUUCGAAUUAUGUAUCAAAUAAGGGUUAAUAUAGUCUUUUUACAAUUACUAGGGGCGAUAAAUGAUAUUUUUCAAAAUGUCAGGGGUGCCAAGUGAUAUUAAGAGAAACCUCAAUGGAGGUUUCUGAUAUUAUCCCUAAAUUUAAUCUUUUUAUCUCAUAUUAUGAACUAAAUAAAGAGAUAAAUACAAUUAUAAAUUAUAAAUUAUUCAUUAUCCAAUAUAAUAAGUACUUGUUGAACUAUGUAUUCAAAUAAUAUACUUAAAAGCACUUGAGCAUUUAAUAAGUGCUUUCAUUAAAAGUUCUAUACCGCAGCUCCAAAUAGAUCCUAAGACAGAUAAUAAAUUGAGCUCAUUGAGCAAAAUAUCAAUCUUAAGGCCUUGGAUUCUAAGAAAAACUACACAAUCUUUUUUUUCUUUUUUUCCCAUUAUUUAGUUCUUCGAUCCAUUGUAAUUGUACGUUUUGAUAAAACUAAAACUAAAUAAAUCUGUAUGUUCGAUGGAAAGCAAUGGGAAUGGUGGGAAAAAUGGUCAAUUUCGUCCCUGAACUUUUUCAUUAGUACCGAUGUAGUUCCUAACUUUUACUCUAAGCCAAUUUAAUACAUGAACUUAUAAGAUCGGUUCCAACUAAGGACUUUUGUGGCGGUGCCACUACCUAAAAUCGAUCUAUCUCCUAAUUGACCAAAUAAAUAGGAUAUUUUGGGAAUGUCACUUUCGGGACUAUAAUAAAUCAAGUAAGUCUUGUAAAAAGUCACAAGAUUAAACUUUAAAAUAGUUUUUAUGUGGUGAAUUUUUAUAUGAUUUAAAUGUUUUAUCUAGUAAUUUUUUUACAUGAUUUACUUGUUUUAUUACAAUCUUAUGAGUGACAUUCUCAUAAUACCCCUGUUUAAUUGGUCAAUUAGAAGCCAAAAUUGUUUUAGGUAAUGGUACCACCACAGAGGUCCUUAAUUGAAACUGCAACAUAAGUUUAAGUAUUAAAUGGGUUAAAAAUAAAAAUUAGUGACUAAAUCGAAACCAGUGAAAAAAUUUAGGGACAAAAUUGGCUAUUUAUUCAAAAGCUAUGGCAUAUGGUAGUCGGCCCAUGAGACGGAUCAUGCGAGAAGAAAGGAAAAGGGAAAAUUUUUAAGGUUUGCCCACAAAUUCUUGUAGCAUUUUACUUUCUCCCUAAAACUAAAGUGCUGGCCAAUUCAAAGUCACGCAAGAGUUUACAGGGCAAAUAGGUAAUUCUAGAUUUAUGACUUUUUGGUGUUGGCGAUCACAAAUAAUAGAAAAGUGGGAUAAUUACAUUUAUCUUCCCUGAGGUUUGGCCAAACUACAAGUCAGACCCUCAAGAUAAGUCAAACUACGAAAAGAUCCCUAAAUCUCACAACUUAAUAACAAACACACCCUUGCCAUUAGUUGACCGGUGUUGGCCAAGCAACUGUGUUACCCUAUUGACACAAAAAUAUUAGGACAAAAAAUCUCAGCGGCCAUUAAGCUAUAGCAGGAUCAUGUUUUGGCCAUCGAACUGUUUUUUUGUCAAUAAUUAACCACUAAAUAAUUUAAUUCGUAAAUUUGUGACCAUUUCAUCGUUAAUUGCUCUUAAGUUCUGAAAUUCACAUUACACGUGGCAAUGUCCGAGGGCAAUUUUGUUUAGUAAUUUACUGACCCUGCAACCCAACUCCUCUGUUUCCUCCCCUUCUGAGACAGGGUACCCACUAGAGAAUUGACCGUCUCUGAACUGAUAGCCGACACAGGAUCCCCCAGCAUAUAUCAACAUAAAAACAUGUCUUCUUCCUUCCAAUAAUUUCCCCAUAGAUUGAGAAUCUAAAGUCAGAAAAACCUACAUAACAACAACUCUGAAAUUGCAAAAAGCAAUGCAUAAUUAAAGAACCAAAGAGAAGGAGGGAGCGGGGAACAUACUGGAGCAUAAGGAAGCAAGAAGAGCCACAAAUGUAGACUCCCUCAGCAACCCAUAAGACAGCUUGCAGUAAUUUCCUUAUAUUGUCAUCCAACUCUGUAACUGAACCGUCGCCACCGACGCCGGCGGUUGUUGUAAUGGGACUGGAAUUCCGGCGACGGCGAGCCCCAUUGGAAAGAUAAAGUUCAGUACUAGCAAUUCCAAAUUUAAACCACCCCUUAUUCUCCUUGGUCUUGAAUUUAUCAAAAUUAGUAUAACUCUGCCUUUUCUUGGUGUUAGCAGCUGCGACGUGGUCAACGCUGCUAGGCGCCCAUGAAGGCGGUCUUGAGUUGAGGGGCUUGCAUAGAAAGGUUCCCGUUGUCAGUAUUUUCAGAUUUCACCGCCGGUCGCCGGUGAAAUUCUCUCCGGUGACUCAAUCCCAGUUAGAAAGAAAGAGAGGAGGUGCACAUGUCUAGUGCAGGAUGGUGGAAGUUCAGUAGCUAUUUCAGCAGGACUUGGCAACAGUGGGACUUAGGAUGGGGCUACGGCUACGUGGCGUAGCAUUAUUCAAGUACUUUUUCACAGACUACGGUUCCACGCCUUCUAGUAAGGUCAAUAAAUUGCUGGACAAAAUUGCCCUCAAAUAUGGUCAUGUGUAAUGCUAAUUUCAGAACUUAAGAGUAAUUAACGAUGAAAUGAUCACGGGUUUACGGAUUAAAUUGUUUAGUGAUCAAUUAUUGACAAAAAAUAGUUCGAUGGCCAAAACAUGAUCUCGCUAAUAGUUUAAUGGCCGCUGAGAUUUUUUGCCCAAAAUAUUAUGAGGUACGAAAGGAUAGCUAUUCAAAGCAUCUCGGCCGAGUAAAUUCCCAAAAAGUGUGACUUUUUAAACUAACUUCCCAAAGGGUGGUGUUUUUUUAGUAUCUUCCCAAAGGAUGAAAAACGCAUCCAGGGAAUGCGUUUUUAUAAAUAAAAAUGCAAUUGUCAAAUGCGUUAUUUUAUUUUUCAUCAAUUUAUUUUAAUAUGAACAAAUUGGUCAAAUAACGCAUUAUUAGAAUGCGUUUUUUGAUCUCACCAUAAAACGCAUUUCGGAAAUGCGUUAUUUUAUAAUAAAACGCAUUAGAUGAAUGCGUUGUUUGUUUACAAUAUGUACCACUUUUUUUCAUUUCUUCAUUCUGGACUUCGAUUAUGUAAGGUUUUUGUUUUAAAUAUUAUCUUAUUAUUUUAUCGAAGUUAUUAUUAAUUUAGCUCACUAAUGGAAGUCAAGAUCCAAAAAAAUUGUUAUUUCAUAGUUGUUAUUAAUUUAGUUGGUAGAGAUUUCAUUUCAGGUUUGCAAAAGGCUUAAAGGUUUUGAACUUUGGAUUUUACAUAUGUAUACACUAAUUUUGUAUCUCAAAUGUUGGUAGUAAAAUUCAAAAAGUAUUAUAAUAAUAUUAUUACGAAAGGAAAACUAGUAGGUUUUGUAUUUAAUAUAAAUUAAAUACGUGAAAGUAAAAAAAAGAAAUUACCCACUUUUUACCAACUCUUUAUGGGUUUCUUCGAUUAGUUGAAUAAAGUACUAGCUAUGGGGGCAGGCAUUUUACUCUGAAUCAUAUAAAUUAUGUUAAAUAUAUAAAUGUUUGUAAGUAAAAUUUAAAAAGUGUUAUACUAAUAUUUUUAUGAAAGGAAAACUAGUAUGUUUUGUAUUUAACAUAAAUUAAAUAUUUGAAAGUUAAAACAAAAUUAAAUUGCCCAUGACAUACCAGUUCUUUAUGAAAAACUUGUAGGUUUUAUAUUUAACGUAAAUUAAUUGCGCGAAAGUAACACUCGUAGGUAAUUUAAUUAGUUUAAUCAGUUACUUAAUUUGUUGACAAGAAACAAGUUUCUUUUGCAAAAUUUGGCCAUUAGGUUUCUCCAAAUAAUUAGGGUAUAAAGGUAAAUUUUCACAAUCUUUUCUAUAGUAGUCUCUUAUUUCUUUUCAUUUUGACAUGACCACACAUUAAUUUAGAUUAAUAUCUAUAGUGCCAACAUUCAUAUUCGCCAAUAACCAGUAAAGAAUAAGAAAAUAUUUCAAGAACGACCUAACAAUAACUGAAAGAGAGUAGACAUACAUGUAUCAAAAGUGUUGAAUGUAAUAUGCUGCUACGUUUUGUAUCUAAACUCUUGCAUGUAUCUAAGUCUUGAGAAUUUAAAAAAAGCACACAAGAACGCACACAACACAUGCAGUGGGUGGCUCAGAAGGCAAGUUGUUGGACUGAUUAACAAAAUCCCCUGCUCCUCUUCUAACAAAAUCAUGGUUCAGACCAGUUAAAUUGACAUUAAGUACAUUCUUACAAGUAAACUGAGAGAAAGUUAGAUAUCUUCAAAUAAAUUAACUGAAUGCUAACUACACUGACAUGUAAAAAAAAAAAAGAAAAUUCGAAAACAAGGUGAAAAAUAUAUCUCCUGCUUCAGUUUUGAAGUAAUCUCCAGCAAAGUGUACAAGGUGUGGAGUCUAAUUUAGCAUCUUGACAUAAUCAUCUCAUAUUAUGGUCUGUUGGGGAUAUCUUUUCCCAAAUCUUUUACUUUUUGUCUGCUGGGGUUUGCUGGAUUGCUUAAUUCCUUUGUAUUCUAUAAUUCAUUAUUGUGCAAGAGAUUAUGGAUCAAUACAUUUUUGAAUCUAAGUGAUGCAUUACUGGGUGAUGUAAAAAAUUUAUGAAUUCAAGUAGUAAUAGAUCCGGAUUUUAGAAGUUUAAUUCAUGAUGCAUUAGUUGAUGGCACGUACUUUGUCUUUUUCUAUAAAUGUACGGGAUGCAUAUUGCUCUAUACUAUUUUGAUUGCUUCACCCUUCUUAUUGGUUUCAAGAACAACAGGAAGCAAAAAUUCCAACCUUGGAAGCUCAACAUAUAAAAGUAUACUAGUAGAAGAAAUGUCAUAAACACACGGAAGCCAUUUAUAUUUCAACCAAAAAUAGUGUAUGAAAAAAAAAGAAAAAGAAAUUCAGCACUCACUUUGAAGAGAAUGAAUACUCUGGCAACAAUUUAUCCUUUGAAUCUGCAAAAAAAUAAACUUACUUUAAGUUUGAGGGAAAAAAAAAAUUUCAGCACUUACUUGAGAGGGAAAAAGAAAGAAAGAAAGAAACCUGAGAGUAGAUGAUCUGUAGAAUUUGAGAAAAUUCCAGAAUCUCUUUGUCUAAUACUCUCGCCCUUUGUAGGGUAUCUUCCUCUGUCAAUAAACCCCAAAGAAUCAUCUCAGGUUUGCUUUUUGCUCUUUAAAAUAAUUAAAUGCAUCCAUUACAUAAACCCUAAAUUUGGGAUUUUAAGUAUUACCUGAUAAUAUGCCUAAUUAGCUCAGCAGUCUCCCAAUCACCACCCUUGCUCUUACGUUGGCUGCGAAUGUGGGAUAAGAUGUAAGAAAAAAUUGAAUGGGUGGUGCGUUUUGUUUGGCGCCUGAAGAAGUUAGGGUAGAAAAAGAGAGGGAUUGAGGGGAAAUUAGUUUUUAGACCCCUUAUGAAGUACCGGGGAGUAGAACAGGCUUCUUAGAUAUGCUAAACAACUCAUUUAGCAAAUGCGUUUUUUUAUUAAUAAACGUAUUUCAGAAAUGGGUUUUAAGGACCAAAAACGCAUUCAUCCUAUGAGACUUUUUAAAAUAAGGCAUUCUAAUAAUGCGUUAUUUAACCAAUUUUUUUAUAUUAAAAUAAAUUGAUGAAAAUUGAAAUAACGCAUUUGACAAUUGCGAUUUUAUUUAUAAAAACGCAUUUCCUGGAUGCGUUUUUCAUCCUUUGGGAAGAUACUAAAAAAUCACCACCCUUUGGGAAGUUAGUUUAAAAAGUCACACUUUUUGGGAAUUUACUCCAUCUCGGCCUGGCUAGAGAUGGAAUAGUAAGGGUGGGGUUAUUAAAAGGGCUGUUGAUUAACAUAUUGGUCAUCCCUAAAAUGCCCGCCAAAACCUGACGUUCUUCUUCCAUCCCAACACCAGUUCUAAGCCUUUUCCGAUAGCAAACCAGUAACUAUUGGAAUUGCCAAUUCCAAUCUAUUUGUCUCUCUCAAAUCUUUUUUUUUUUUUUUUUUUGAAAAUUAGCUUCAAAAUCACGCCAAUCCAGCAAAACAUGUGUUUAUAUUCAAGCCAAAUUCUCUACAACAAGGAAAUUGUCAAGCUCCACGUUUAAUAAAUGAGCACUCAGAUUCAAAGGCAACGCCACAGCUGAGAUUCAACCAAACAUGGAUUAAGCACAGAUAAGAAUAAAAAACAAGCAAGAUUUGGUUAUGGACAAAAAACCAUAUUCAAGUCCCCAGAGAAAAUUUUAUUAAAGUUUCCUCAAUUAACAGAUCCAUUAUAUUCCAUUAUAUUAAAAUCGUGCAAAGUUUGCCGUCAAUCAGGUUUUCUAAGCCGAGCUUUAAAAAGUUGAAUUUUUAUAAGUUUAAACUCGACUCAUAAAUUAUAUAGAGUUAUUAGAUUUCGUACUUUCAGAUGUCGGAUUCAAAUCAAAAUAUUCAAACUUAGCUCACACUUUUGUAUGAGUUCGGAGUUCAAAUUGAACUAAACCCAAACUUAUAAUAAAACACAUACUUAUAUAGAACAUAUAUUCAAUAAUUAUGAAUUACUAUAGUACAUAUUUAACAAUUUUAUAUACACAUACAUACAUGCAUGCAUAUAUACAGAUACAAACGAGUCGAACCUUAAUCGGACCUGAGGCUUGCAAGACCCAAACUCAAGUCACGGUUAAUUUGGGUGUAAUAUUUGAAUCUAAACUUUGUCCGACCUAAUUAAAGAUUAGAUUUAACAGAUCUUUUCAGAUUGAACGAAUCGAGUUCAAGUUGACCUAACCUCGUCAAGAGCACUAUGUUUCAGUACCUAAUAGGCCCAACCCAACUAGUAGGACGGAGUUGGAACCUCCCUUGUACUCAAAAGAUGGAACAUCCUGGGAGCAUAGGCAUUCUCUAAACAAAGCAGAAUAUUAUCCGCAUCUACAAGCAAGGAACUUCUCUAGGGGAAGAAUGCUGUGACAUGACUUCAUAAACUAGAAGAUGACAUCCAAUCUCCAUCAUCAAUUGGAGUAAUAAAUCCUUUGUUUCAUGGACAAAGGGGACGGAUUAUAGAUCUCAAUCGAAAUUAUGCAAUUGCGCAUAUCAUAAGUUAUGUCAUUAUCCCUUUAAUUUCUCUGAAAGAGUGUCUAACAAAUCGACCCUUAGUUUCCUCAUAUCAGAAUCUCUACUCUUAAUAUAUAAUUAGCAUAACUCUUAUGUUAAUAACUUCUAAAUAACAAAAAGUACUCUAUAUAGACUAAUUCUUUAGUUUUCUUGCAUUAAAUACUAUACAAAUAGUAGGAAGCAAAAAGACAAACAAAGGAAAUUCAAUCGACAACUUUAUUUAUACCAGACGCUAACCACGUAAGUGCCUCUGCCGUCUAGAUAUCAGAGUAUCAGACAAAGUCACCAAAAGUUUGUGAUGCAAGUCUGACCAAGAUGAUUGAUGAAUGUCAAAUUCCUCAUUAUCUGAGGCAAAUAAUGCAAAUAUACAGAUACAUCAGGCCUCAUACUUUUUAGUAAAUACCCUAUUCCAAACUACAAGGCAGGUUAGGCAGCUGCAAUUGCAUUCACUUCCAGGAUUGGUUAACUUCCAGGGGCCUGCAACAGUAAAGGAAUUAUAAUGCAAAAGGAAAAUUGAAAAGCCCGGAAAAUGGAUCCAUAAAACAUAAAGCUUUUUCCCCUGAUCUGAGUCACCCAUGGGAGCAACCCAUGAACAAGAUCAAUCCCUACACCAUGCAAAUACUUGGCGCAUGGAGAGACUGGAGCAGUUUGAGGCCUGCAACAUAGGCAAACGUUCACUCACUCACACACAAAAUGGGGAAUCAUUGACAGCAAAAAGCCAAAGCAUUAGAUAAGAGUCAACAGAUGCUAAAAGGAAGCUAUAAAAGCUAGCUUUUGUUUUGUAUAUUUAGUGUACCAACAUUCCCCACCGAAUCAGCUAUCCUUUUAUGCACAGAUAUUCCAUUUCCAGAGGUCAAGUUUAGUGAGUCCCAAGCCCCCUUGCUCGUGGGCGAGAAAUUAUAAUCCAAAGGUCAAGUUUAUUCAGUCUCAGGCUACAUUGCUCACUGGUUAACAGAUGUCAGACCAAGUUUAGCUCCAUAGUACUUUCUUUCCUCACCAGACCAAAAAAGUUGCUGAUAAACUAUCUAAUUUCUUAAAUACUUACUUUGGAAGUACAAACACAAUAGUCCAAUACACAUGAAUAUUUAGAACACAUUUAACGAGCUGAAGUCUGUCCACAUGAUCAGCAUCUUGACAGACCAACUCUAUUAUCUUAUUUUGCUAUCAUAACCUUCCAAUCAGUACAAGACAGCCUGAAGAGGUUAUUGAAAGUCCUAGAUAAGUCACAAACAACUGUCCAAGAUUCAUACAAACACUAUCACACAGCUGCAUACUUCUCCCGAAAGCACUGCAAAUUAGGACACAGAUCAGACAAUCCCCAUAUUCAAAAGCUUUAUCAGAGGUAGCACAUAGAACAAGGAAAUAGUACGAACGUGCAGUAUGUGACAAUUUCAUAUCAGCAUGCUUAGGAUGGUAAUCAAAUUAUUAAUUAUCAAUAUUCCAUUGGAACAAUUGAACUGAUGAUUUAUAGUUAUUCUACAGACAUCUCAGAGGCUUAUUUAGACAUAUCAGAGUUCCCAAAAUCAUUUAAUGCACUUUAUAUUGCACUUUCUUUUUCUUCUUAGUCAACUAUCAAAUCUUCAUUUUCUAUUCAACGUGAUGCUGGACAGAGGUCUGCCAAUGCAGCAUUGGACCCUAUGCAAUCUUGAGAGGAAGUAAAUCCAUGAUAUUGCUAAUUUACAUUGCAAGGUUUCAAUGUUUGCUCACUUAUACUACUGUAAUUACUCAAAUAAGUUGUGCAUAAGAUAUUUAAUAAGAAAGGUGAAACACUUGAUGAAUGAUGACUUCUGUUGAAGGUGAAACACUUGCAAGGUGUAACCGUUUGCUCACUCAUUGUUUUUUGUCUCUAUUUAUUCUCCCUCCCUUGUUGUCAAAUGUCAUUGCAGGCAGACUUUUACAAUUGUAUAAGAAAUUUUUGUUAGAAAAUUAGCUUAAUUUCUUUUAGGUAGGUUUCUUGUUUUGUGUGGAAGUAACUAGCUUCAUAAUUGAUUUUAGUUGAAAUAGUAGCCAAAGAAUUUCCCAUUUUGUUUAGAAUUAGAAGUUAUUUUCUAUUCUGUAUAAGUUUAAAAAUUAGAAUUGCCUUCCUGUUGUUAUUUGAGUUUUCGACUCAAUAAUAUUCCCUAUAAAUAGGUGGGUUGGAAUACUACAAGGGACACACAAAAGGGCACACAAGAGGCAACCUGUAGCCUUAUACAUGGAUGGUGAAAAAGGGUCACUGAGAGAUGAGAGAUGGUAUACAAGAGUUGAGCUUGAAUUCAAAUUGUAUUCUCCUUUCAUAAUAAAGAACGAAUUUCUCUCCGUGGACGUAGGCUCAAUGGUGGAGUUGAACCACGUUAAAUAUUGUGUAUCAUUUAUCUUUCAUGCUUGUGACUUGUUCCUCAUUAAAUUGUUGUAUACUUGAUAUGUCAAUAGUUAUUUAUUCAGCUUUUGGAUCCUAACAAGAAAAUUUGUUAGAUUCAUGAGUAAAGGGUUAUGUCCUACAUUGGUCCGAGAAAUGGAGAAAGAACGAUUAAUGUAUAAAUAAGGGUCUGAGACCUAAUGACUUAAGCUUUUGGGUGAGAGUUGGAUUUCUGACUUACAUAUUGGACUUUUUGGUGGACUUUCUCGAGAUGUUUCUCCCUAUCAAUUUUCUUUCUGGCUGAACCUGGAUUUUGACAUGUCAGAUGGUUGGCCUAUUAUGUAUGUCAUGUCUAUCAACAAACCUAAUCCAAUCCUACAUCUUGUGACAGGAGAGGCUCAAUAGUCUUAUAAACAAUUGCAAAUUCACAAUUCUCUUUUUCUACUUGUUCUUCACGCUUAGGUAGUGGAACUGUUACAACUGUAAUAAAGUCGGCUCUUUUCCCAUCUCUGUAUUAAGUACACAGUGAUAAUAAUAGCUUUUCAAGAGAGACAUUAUUAUUUAAUGCCAGAGUUUACUUACCAGGUACUCCAACUGAUUUAAUGCAUAGAAUUGAUAAAGAUGCCUGCAUAUGGCUCUAUAAGAUUAUUGGUCCUCUAGUAAUUUCCUUUUUAAUUUUCACAAAGUUGUGGCACUCAAUAAAAAUAAAAUAAACAGCAUUGUAAUGUAGUGAAGAAAAAACUGCAUAUGUUUUAGACACUCGAGCAAAUAAUUACAGCCAAAAUCUCUUUGAUCUAAGUAGCCAAAGAAAUUCACAGGCUAGGCAGCACUCUGAAGAAUAUAGCUCAGGUUUCUGAGGCCUGAUUCAUGAUAAUUGUUGAAGAUGACUGACUAGCUUCAUUGGGAAUUUGGCCAUUGACCCCUUUAUGCGACCAAACAAAGAUGCAAUUGCUGUUACUUCAAUUAAGACUUUUAGUUCAGUUUCCUAAUUAAUCUAAUCAAGAGGAGAGAAGGUCAAUCAGUUGGCUAUCAUGAGAGGAAUGGAAACUGAAAAAGGUCUAGAAUAUGCUGUAAAUUAUACUCAAUAGUAUAGUUUGGGGCAAGUGAGUGUAAGAAAAGGAUGGAAAUGCCCAUCAUAAGCUGGAAGGCACCAUUGGAGAGCUUAUCUCAUGAUAUUGCAUCUAUAAAAUGUAAAGACAUGGACGUGCAGCAUUAUGUUGAUUUAUGGACGAGAAAAACUAUCCUUAAAUACAAAAGACAAUAAUCCAAUUUUCCCACAACAAGAAAAAUAUUUCAAUCGCAAAUAUGAGCACCAAAUGAUUCAUUGGUUCUUUGUUUCACUCUACUUCAUCCUGUUUUUACUUUCAACCUGCACUCAAGAUUGCUUGGAUCAAAGAGGCAUGCUGAAACCUCAUGAAUAUCCUUUUUUCACAUUUCAAAUUUAAAGCAGGAGUUAUCCAAGCAGCACUUAACUCCUAGCAGCACUUUCUCUUUCUCCUACUCCUGGGACCAUGCAGGUUAGAUUAACUUUGUCUUGCCAAAAUAAGAGUAAAAGUAAUUUCAUAUAUGUUUUUCCUCAGAUAAUGUCUUUCCACUAUUCAUCAGUUUUGAGGGUAGGCUACUUAAAAAUUGAAACAAGUACCUUGCUCUGACAGGUGGAGUUAGGAGGAGAAAUUUUAAUUGAGACUAAAAACAUGAGAUUUCAGCACUAACAAGAAAAUUUCAGUUAUUUCUUCUGGCAAUAAUAAUCUCAAAAUAUUAACAACAAAAAAUCUUACAAGGAUUGUAGGGAAAAUAAAAAGAGAUACACAUAUUACCAACUGACACUAGAACACUCAAUCAUGGUCC